rnacentral:lncRNA from 1 species
AAUGUAAAAUGAGAUCUUAUGAGUGGUCAUCAGGACAGGACAUCUAACAUUUUUGGAGUGAUAGCAUGAGUCAUGACUUGGAUGAGUGGUGAUGUAAUUAAAUGAUGUGAACCAUUUGGCGUUUGCAUGCAUGAUGAUGAUCUUGGCGUUCUGAAGCGAAGAAGUCGUCGAUAUUAACAGCAACUGCAAGUUGCUGCAGAUCAGGACAUAUGUUAUCUACAUCCCCAAGUGAAUGAGAAAAUUCAACAACGGCAAGUUGCUGAUGAGGAAAGCGUAUGCAGAGACUUGGUCCAAAUGUAAAGUUGGUGUGAGAAUGUGAGGACAAAAAGAGACUAAAUUGUGUAAUUGCUUAUUAAGAGAUUAGAGUACUUCUUAUAUUGUCAAUUGAUUUUACAAAAAUACCACUCUUAUCAUAUAUUUGUAUCAUUAUUUAUAAGGAAAAUUAAUGAAAAGAGUUUGAAAACUUUGAGUUUUGAUGAUAAGGACAAAAUAAAGGGUAAAAUGAAUAGUACCAUGAUUGACUUUUUAGUGUAAAAAUAUGGUUUUUCGUUAAAGUGAACAGUACCGGGAGCUUUUCGUUAAAGUUCCGUUAUUUAUAUCCUCCUUCUAAUAGAGAUAGGAUUCACUUGCAUUGGUGGACACUACCAUUAUUAAAGAGAUAAUAUAAAUAAUGGUAUAAAUAGGUUACACUAGGUAGUAAGUAUAACAUUACUUUUAAUUUUAUGAUAAAAUCUCAACUUUCUUGAGAAAAGUGUACGAUACAAGUCGCAUCUUUUAUAGCCACCCUUCUUUUAAGGACAAUUCUAGAAUUGUACAUAAAUAUUUCAAUACUAAAGCAGCUCAAUGUGUAAUAUUACAGUAUACAAUUCAACUAAUAUGAUCAAAGUCUUGGCCAACUCUAGGUGGGAAAUUAAAAAAGUGGCCGCCAUUUGAUCAUGCAACUUGGACAAAAUAUAUUAUAGGGCAAAUUACAUAAAAUUACCUUAAUUAUCGGUCGAACCACAAUUUUAUAGCUCAUGUUUUAAACAUUUCAAUGUCAUACCUUAACAUAUGAUGAUGUGUAAGAGUGGGAUUCACUCAUUUGCCACCUUGAAUAAAAAAAUAAUAAAUUACUAAUUCUUAAUUAAUAAUUAAACUUAAUUAAAAAAAAAAAAAAACUCUCUUCAUUUCCCCAGAAAUCGUCUCCUCCCCCUACUCCCUCCUCCGUCCCCCUUCUUCCUCAUUCGUCCCCUUCACUCCCUCAUCCGUCCCCCUUCUUCCUCGUCCAUCCACCGCCUUCGAGUCCACCGAUUCGGACCAGCGAGUUCGUCAUAUCAGAUCGGCAAAUAUUCAAUCUGUUCGACGGGAAAGAUCCGGUGUUUUGACUCCCUCCCUGGUUCUUAUGGAGGUUGCAAUGAAAUGAUCUGGCUACGACGUCGGCGAGCACAUACAUGUCUUCUUCGGUAUCAAAAUCGAUCCGGUUUUCUUUGAAACGGCAGUGGAUCGAUUCGCAUGAUGGUUGGGAGAAAUCGAAUGGUGGUUGAUGGAGAACCGAACGGACGGAGACGGAAAUGAGAAGGUGUAGAAGUUGACACGCAUCGGGGAAGCGAAUCUGUAGCAUUGGUGGUAACCCAGAAAAUGGGAAAAAAAAGGGGAAAGAAAAAGAAAAAAAUUGGACUGUAAUGAACUUCCAUUCUUCAAUUAAUAUUAUGGAGGAUUUAAAAAAUCCGGAGUUCUGGGCGAAUUUUCAAAUGGCCACUUCUUGAAUUUUUGAAAUUUUAAUUUCUCUAAUUAAAAAAAAAUGAAUUUCUCUAAUUUCUUGAAUUUUGUGGGUUUGUAUUUGUGUUUUUCGUUUUGGGUUUUGUUUUUGUGAGGUUCUACGUUUUGGCUUUCUGGAACUCUCCCUUUGCAAUUUUGUUUGGUGGUUUUUCUUAGAAAAAUGGUGAAGAAGAAGAAACUGAAGAAAUGGCAGUGGGGCGAAAGCCCCAGUCGGUGAUGGGAUUUGAAGAGAGGGAAAAUGAAAAGGGGAUGGUUUCUAAUGCUCAGUUUUGCGAAAUCUUAGUGAACUUAUGAUGAAGAAAUCAAUUAGUUUUAUGUAAUUGGAGCAAGAUGAAUUGGGUCUGGUUUUGGUUUGCCAUCGUAACCCACCUGCGUUUUGCGAUCGCCGGUGUAUCAGUUGUUCCCGGAGGAGGACGAAAAUUAGCUGUGUUUAAGGAGGACGAGGAAGAAGGGGAGCGGAGGAACGAGUGAUGGGAGGACGAACGGGGACGAUUUCCAGGGAACAGGGAGGAGAGGUCUUUUUGUUUUUUGUUUUUAAGUUAAUUUUAAUUGUCAAAUAAAAAAUUAAUAGUUUAUUAAUAAUUAAUUAAUUUUUUAUUCAAGUUGGCAAAAAAGUGGGUCUCGUUUCUACUAGGUCAUCAUUUAACAGUUAGAUUGACAGAAAAUUUAACGGAGGUCUGAUAUUGCAACAACUUCAUAAGUUGAGGAAUGACAUUUCAAUAUUUAAAACAUGAUGUAUGAGAUUGUGAUUCGACUCAUAAUUGAGAUAGUUUUUUGUAAUUUAUCCUAUAUUAUAUAUGUAUACGUUGUCAAUAUAUGACUAAAAUCUAAUAUAUAAUGGUCUUCUUCUUCUUACAUGCAAUGCAUGAUUCAGCCAAUCGAAAUAUAAGUGUUGGCAGUGGCGGAUCCACAGUGGGGUCAUUGGGGUCGCGCGACCCCUUGGAAGCCAUGGAAGCAACCUUCGAGACCCCUUGGAGAUGGUGGGGCGACCCCUGGUGCGACCCCGUUGCCGUUGGAGUCGUCGGUUUUCUGGGCAGGAGGACGAACGAAGAAGACGAAGGCGCUGUGCGCCAGUUUUGAUUUUGAAAAAACCUGGGCAAAACGACGUCGUUUUGGGCCAGGCCGAAAAAAAAAAAAAAAAAAAAAUUCCCACCGUGUCCCUCCCCAUCCCAGCCCUUCCUACCCGAUCCCUAUACAAUUAAAAGCCCCAAAUUUUCAUCCUUCAACCCUAACUCAAUCCCCCCAAAUCCUCAACUCCUCUCCUCCAUAGCUGCUGCCGCCCCCAACGUGAACUCCAUCUCCUCCCUCCUCUGCUGGCGGCUCCAACUCCAUCUCCUCCCUCCUCUGCUGGCGGCUCCAACUCCAUCUCCUCCCUUGGUUUUUAUAUUGUGAUGUGAGUAUUUAUUUUGAAUAUUUUGUAUAUGUAGAAUAUAUUUAAUUAAUUGAAAUUCAAUUCAUAUUUAUCUUGUGAGUUUUUAUUGUGAGUUUUUAUUGAUGGUUUGUUUAUAUUGAUGAUUUGUUUAUAUUGUGAGUUUUUAUUGGUUUGUUUUUAUUGAUGGUUUGUUUAUAUUGUGAUUUUUUAUUUUCAUUAUUUUGUAUAUGUAGAAUGCAAGAUGAGAUAUUUAAUUUAAUUGAAAAUCCAAUUCAUAUUUAUUUUGAUUAUGUUUAUGGUUUGUUUAUAUUGUGAGUAUUUAUUUUGAAUAUUUUGUAUAUGUAGAAUAUAUUUAAUUUAAUUGAAAUUCAAUUCAUAUUUAUUUUGAUUAUAUUGAUGGUUUGUUUAUAUUGUGAGUUUUUAUUUUCAUUAUUUUGUAUAUGUAGAAUGCAAGAUGAGAUAUUUAAUUUAAUUGAAAAUCCAAUUCAUAUUUAUUUUGAUUAUGUUUAUGGUUUGUUUAUAUUGUGAGUAUUUAUUUUGAAUAUUUUGUAUAUGUAGCAAGCAUUAUUAUGGAACGGUUUUUUUAAGAGAAAAGUCAUCAUCGGGUUCGGGUAGUUCGAAUAAUGUUGAUAGUCCAAAUACUGUUGGUAGUUCAAGAGCUCCAAGUUCAAGACAAAGUCAGUUAGAUGGUGUUUUGGGUAAUCUUGAAGCAGAUCCUGGAUUGAGAACUCGAAUAAUAGAUUAUGAUGCUAAUAUAAGAGAUGAGGUCCGAAGAUCAUAUCUACAAAAAGGACCUUGUCAACCUAGAGGUCAUAAUUUCCCAAUAACUAAUAUGUCGGGAAUUAAUCGACGCUUCAUUUCCCAAUGGUUUGAUGAGUUUGAUUGGUUGGAGUAUAGUGUAUCUAAAGAUGCAGCAUUUUGUCUCUAUUGCUAUCUCUUUUAAAACCAAUUUUGCACAAGUGGGUAGUGAAGCUUUCACUGGAGAUGGAUUUAAGACUUGGAAGAAAGGGAGAGAAAGAUUUAAGAUGCAUGUUGGACCGGUUGGGAGUGUUCAUAAUAAGGCUAGAGAAGUUGCUACAAAUUUGAUGAAUCAAGCUACACAUAUUGAAACGGCAGUGAGCAAACACUCUGACCAAGCUCGUAAGGCUUAUCGCACAUGCUUGAUUGCUUCAAUCAAGUGCACUAAGUUUUUAUUGAGACAAGGUCUUCCUUUUCGUGGCCAUGAUGAAAGUGCCACUUCAAGCAAUAGGGGAAAUUACUUGGAGUUAUUGCAAUUCCUUGCAGAUAAUAAUGAUAAAGUUAGAGAAGUUGUGAUGGAAAAUGCUCCGGGGAAUCUCAAAUUACUAGCUCCUUCCAUUCAAAAAGAAAUUGUGAAUUCAUGUGCCCUUGAAACACUUAAUGCUAUCAUGGAUGGUCUAAAAGAUAGAUUCUUUUCAAUAUUGGUGGAUGAAGCACGUGAUGUGUCUGUGAAAGAGCAAAUGGCUAUGGUGUUGCGUUAUGUGGAUGACAACGGGCAUGUAAUUGAAAGAUUUGUGGGUAUCCAACAUGUUACCGACACUACUUCAAGUUCACUAAAGGAUGCUAUUGACACAUUGUUUUCUCACAACGGUUUGAGCAUUUCCAAGCUACGAGGACAAGGUUAUGAUGGUGCUAGCAAUAUGAGAGGUGAGUUGAAUGGCCUUAAAACAAAGAUAUUGAGAGACAACCUUGUGCAUAUUAUGUUCAUUGCUUUGCUCAUCAACUUCAACUAGCUCUUGUUGCCGUAGCAAAGAAUAAUAUAGACAUUGCCUCUUUUUUUGCAAUGGCUAAUAGUGUGGUUAAUCAUGUUGGAGCAUCUUGUAAGCGGCGUGAUUCACUUAGAGGGCAACUUCAAGAAGAGCUUGUGAUAGCUUUUGAAAAUGAUUGUCUUAUAACGGGGCGAGGCUUAAAUCAAGAAACAAGUCUCAAAUGUGCCGGUGACACACGAUGGAACUCACACUAUGGUACCUUGAUUAGCAUCAUUUCUAUGUUUUCAUCCGUGGUUCAUGUGCUUCAAAUGGUUAUUAAUUAUAAUCCCAAUGAAAGUGCGGCUGAAGCAAAUAUGUUAAUGAGAGUGAUACUUACUUUUGAGUUUGUGUUUCACCUUUUCUUGAUGAAAGUCAUAUUGGGACUCACAAAUGAUUUGUCACAAGCAUUGCAAAGGGAAGAUCAAGAAAUUGUGAAUGCAAUGGCUUUAGUGAAAUCAUGCAAGGAAAAGCUAUAUUGGAUGAGGAAUAAUGGGUUCGAUGCAUUGGUUGAUGAAGUAUCUUCUUUUUGUGAAAAACAUCAUAUUGAUGUUCCUAACAUGGAAGAAGCAUUUAUACUUCCAGGGAGGUCAAGGCGUUAUGCUCCAAUAAAGACAAAUCGUCAUCAUUAUCGUGUGGAGCUCUUUAUUUAUGUCAUUGAUGAGCAAAUUACGGAGUUAGAGGAUCGCUUUAAUGAGGUAAAUACCGAGUUGCUUAUUUGUAUGGCAUGUUUGAGUCCGAAAGAUUCAUUUGUAGCUUUUGAUAAACCAAAGUUACUUCAUCUUGCUCAAUUUUAUCCUCAAGACUUUUUGGAUGAAGAUCGUUUGGCACUUGAAGAUCAACUUGAGAUUUAUAUUCAUUAUGUGUGUUCCAGUAGUGAUUUCUCUCAAUUGGAAGGGAUUGGUGAUCUUGCAAAAAAAAUGGUGGAGACAAGGAUGCAUCAAGUAUUCAAUUAUGUAUAUUUGCUCAUUACAUUAUCUUUAGUUUUACCAGUUGCAACUGCUUCAGUGGAGAGAGCAUUUUCUGUCAUGAAUAUUGUUAAGGGUCCACUUAGGAACAAAAUGGGAGAUCAAUGGUUGAGUGAUAGCUUGCUUGUUUAUAUUGAGAGAUAUAUUUUUGCUUGUAUUGAAAAUGAAGCUAUAAUGCUUCGUUUUCAAAAUAUGAAAUCUCGUCGUGGACAAUUAUAAUUUGUAAUAUUGUUUCCGUUAUGAAUUAUGAAUGAAAGUACUAUGAUUUCAUUUUCAAUAUGUUUUUCCAUCCUAAAUUUUUAUUUGAACUUUUACACUGCGACCCAUUGGAGUAAGAUUCCUGGAUCCGCCACUGAGUGUUGGUCGCUUAAGUUCACCCCAUCGAGGAGAGCAAGUUCUGCACAUGUACGAUAUGAAGAUGAAGUUGAUGAUGAGGAUACUAUUACUCUGCUUCCUCAGCUGCUUCUGGUUUCAGCUGUCCUUUACUCAAAAUGCUACCACUGAUCCAUCUGAAGGUUCUCUCUCUCUCUCUCUCUCCCUAUACACAUACACACUUUGCCCCAUAUAAGUGUUUUUGACCAGGAACUGGGCUUCUUUCCCUCAACAAAAUGAUAUUUUAAGUGUUUUUCGACCAUAUGAAAUGGAAGUUUCAAGGAACUUAUUUGUAAAGCCUUUUUUCUUCCCAUAUACAAAACAUCCAAAUUAAGGGUAAUUUUCCUUUGUAAUAAUCAAUUUGAUCUCUCAUUUGAUUCGAGAUAGUCUAGUAAGUGGUAAACAAGUCAAAUUGUGGUGUGAUAUAAUGUAAUACACACAAGGACUGAAUUAACUGAGAGUGCAGUGAGGGCGUUGAACUCAAUAUUUGAACAAUGGGACACACAAGCGGCGCCGGGCCUGUGGAAUAUCAGUGGAGAACCCUGCAGUGGAUCUGCCAUCAACGUCACCGAAUUUGAGUUCUCCGAUAACAACCCAGCCAUCUAUUGCAACUGUACUUACGACAACAAUGCUACAUGCCACAUCACCAAUCUGUAUGUUAAACUACUCUCUCUUGACGAACAAGAUUUCCAUGCCAAAGCUGAUUUUUCACUUGCUACCUAUAUAUGUUAACGUCAUAAUUUGACUGUGUCGCUCCAUUUUAUGUAGUUCUAAAUGUUCAAUCUUUUUGCUUUCCAGGAGCAUGAAUUAUCUUUACAAACAGGGGGUGUUUCCAGAAGAAUUUGUGGCUCUGAGAUAUCUCACAUCUUUGUAUGAAUUUUUUUCAACUCCCUUCUCUGUUUUCGGCUCAUCAAAAUCAUAUAUUGGAUAUUAAAAAUUGUAGAAUUAUCAAAGAGACGGGCCAAAAACUCACUUCCAACAACGCUGAUACUGUUCCCAACUUGGUAAUUACCACAUGCACAAUCCGUCAAGUGUGAGGUUUAUCUCAAAAAGCCUCAGUAUUAGUUGAAGUGGAAUUUGGAUAUUUAAAUUAUUCUUUCUUUAUUUCUAUGGCCAAUGUGGGAUUUCAACAAAAAUAUGGUGAUGUUGUAAGAUUAAGAGUUAACGAUUACACUUCCUUUCAAUUUUUGUAGGAGAAUCAGUCAAAAUUAUUUCACCGGUCCCCUACCGGCAUUCAUUGGCAAUAUGUCUGCAUUGACUGAAUUGUAAGUAGUGAGAGAACAUUUCUUUAAGUACUCAUACUUCUGAUGAGACCCGUAGCAAUUUGUAUACUUCAUUUUGAAUAUCAUAAUCUACAGUUAUGUUCUUUACACCUUUUUGCUACUAUUUAUGCCGUAAUCUACAAAAAAUCAUUAUGCUUUUAUUGAAUAAUGCAGUACUAAUUUCCUGUUAUGUAAUGUAAUUAAGUUUAAUGAUGCUUAUCUUUCACUAACUCAUAUCUCCAUUCAGGUCAAUUAAUGUCAAUUCAUUCUCUGGGCCCAUCCCCAAGGAGCUUGGAAACCUUAAGGAGCUAACUCUGCUGUAAGCCACGAAAAAUUGGAGAGCAUACAAUAAAAUUUUAUGUAAAAUUUUGUUAUAACAAUGGAAGAAUUAUCUGAAGGUUUCUCUCCCUCUGCAAAAUCUAGCAGGGCAUAUUCUCUUCAUUUCUCUACAAUUCACACACACUAUGUGCUUUACAUAACCGUUAGAAUCCAAGGUGGAUUCUCUCUCUUGACAAAACAAUCUCAACCUUACAUCUAGCUAGUUGCUAGGAUCAUUACACCUGACAUUAUUUGCCUUGCUACAUUAGAGCUGCACACUUGGUAUUUUAAACUCAAGUGAAUACACAAAUUUGAUACACAACAUAUUUCCUAAUCAGCUAUAGACUUACAAUUCAACACAACCUUCUAUCACUCUUCAAUAAUUGCUUUCAAGUAAGUGUUUGCCCGUUCAACAUGACUUGCAGGGACAUCGAAUCAAAUAAUUUCUUCGGAACACUCCCUCCAAAACUUGGUAAUUUAGUCAAGCUCGAGCGACUGUAAGUGCUUCGUUAAAUCAUCAAAUUUGAAUUACAAAUUUUGGUUCAUCACUCCCUCCAAAACUUGGUAAUUUAGUCAAGCUCGAGCGACUGUAAGUGCUUCGUUAAAUCAUCAAAUUUGAAUUACAAAUUUUGGUUCAUCACUUCAUCAAAAUUAUCUAUUGGAUAUUAAAAAUGGUAGAAUUAUCAGAGAGACGGCAAAAGGCUCACCUUUCAACAACACCGAUAUUGUCCCUAACUUAGUAAUUACCACCUGUACAAUCCGUCAGGUGUGGAGUUUAUCUCAAAAGACCUCGACAUUAGUUGGAGUGGGAUUUGGAUAUUUAAAUACUUCUUUCUUUAUUUCUCUAGCCGAUGUGGGAUUUCAACAAAAAUAUGGUGAUGUUGUAAGAUUAAGAGUUAACGAUUACACUUCCUUUCAAUUUUUGUAGGUAUAUGGAUAAGAAUUAUUUCACCGGUCCCCUACCGGCAUUCAUUGGCAAUAUGUCUGCAUUGACUGGAUUGUAAGUAGUGAGAGAACAUUUCUUUAAGUACUCAUACUUCUGAUGAGACCCGUAGCAAUUUGUAUACUUCAUUUUGAAUAUCAUAAUCUACAGUUAUGUUCUUUACACCUUUUCUCUACUAUUUAUGCCGUAAUCUACAAAAAAUCAUUAUGCUUUUAUUGAAUAAUGCAGUACUAGUUUCCUGUUAUUUAAUGUAAUUAAGUUUAAUGAUGCUUAUCUUUCACUAACUCAUAUCUCCAUUCAGGUCAAUUAAUGUCAAUUCAUUCUCUGGGCCCAUCCCCAAGGAGCUUCGAAACCUUAAGGAGCUAACAUAUUUGUAAGCCAUGAAAAAUUUUCUGAAGGUUUCUCUUUCUCUGCAAAAUCUAGCAGAGCAUGUUCUCUUCAUCUCUCUACAAUUCACACACACACUCUGCUUUACAUAACCGUUAGAAUCCAAGGUGGAUUCUCUCUCUUCACAAAACAAUCUCAGCCUUACAUCUGGCUAGUUGCUAGGAUCAUUACACCUGGCAUUAUUUGUCUUGCUACAUUAGAGCUGCACAUUAGGUAUUUUAAACUCAAGUGAAUACACAAAUUUGAUACACAGCUUAUUUCCUAAUCAGCUGUAGACUUACAAUUCAACAUAACCUUCUAUCACUCUUCAAUAAUUGCUUUCAAGUAAGUGUUUGCCCGUUCAACAUGACUUGCAGGGACAUCGGAUCAAAUAAUUUCUCCGGAACACUCCCUCUAGAACUUGGUAAUUUAUUCAAGCUCGAGCGACUGUAAGUGCUUCGUUAAAUCAUCAAAUUUGAAUUACAUGUUAAUUCCUUACGGAUGAGCAAAAAUUGCACUUUAACGUAUGAAAUGGGUAUUAAUCAGUUGCCUUAUGAUUUUCACAGUUACAUGGACAGCUGUGGACUCGGUGGUAAAAUUCCUUCAACAUUUGCCAAGCUCACCAACAUGCAAUACCUGUAAGAACGGCUCAUAAAUCGUACUUUGAGAUUGCUUUUCUUGGAUGAGCUUAGUAUAAGUCAACUUUUUGAAUUUUAGCUCGGCAUCGGACAAUCCUUUCUCAGGAAAGAUACCUGAUUUCAUAGGGAAUUGGACACAACUCACUGAUUUGUAAGUAAAGAAACCUUUGAUCUUUUGCAGUUUAUGAAAGCAGACCUGAGGUGGAUAAUUUGUUCACAAGCUUCUUAAUAUGUUUCUGUAGGGAAUUUCAAGGGAACUCCUUCGAAGGCCCAAUACCAACCAGCUUUUCUCAACUGACCUCAUUGGAGUAUCUGUAAGUACAAAUGUUUCAUGAAUUGUAAUUUUCUCUCUUUCUCCGAAGAUGAGAUUUCAGUUUAUUUUGCAUAUAAUGAUGUAGGUAUAUCAGUGAUAUAUACAAUGGGAGCUCCUCUCUUAAUUUCAUAAAAAAUAUGAAAAACUUGACUGAUUUGUAAGUGAAGAUUCUCAUCGAUCCAGAUACUUUCAUCUGACUUCUUUUUUCUUUUUGAAAUUUGAUAUCUUACUCCAUCUACUUUUUAUCAAAUUUUAUGUUUUUGGAAUACAGAAAACUACGAAACGCAUUAAUCACUGGUACCAUCCCAUCUGAUAUUGGAGAAUAUCGAAGACUACGGGCACUGUACGUACCAGCAAAUAUAAGCUUGAGUCCCAACGAGACCAAUUAGUUUUCUUUCAUUCUGAUUGCUCCUCUCAACUUAUCGUCGGUGUUGCAGGGAUCUGAGUUUCAACAAUUUGACAAGCCAACUCCCAAGUUCUUUGUUCAGCUUGAGUUCUCUUACAUCCUUGUAAUCCCCGUCCUUAUUAUUAUCUUUUUCUUGCCUUAUCAUACAUAAGUUAUCAAAUCUUUAACAUUCCCUACUUUUAUUGAAGAUCUGGACAUCUGACCUUUUGUUUGUUCAUCUCUUUUUCUUUUCUGGGUGCCUUUCUACUAUAAUCAAAAUGGCCAGGUUUCUUGGAAACAAUAGUCUCUCCGGACCUCUUCUGAACCAAAAGAGCGAUCAACUUCAGACUAUGUAAGUCCUCGUUUCUUAAAGUAGUCAUAAGCAUUCUAAUCCUAUCUUACACAAGCUCUUAAUAACUUUCAUGCAUUUUGUGUCUUCUGAUUCUAUUUUGUUAUUUGCAGAGAUUUGUCUUACAAUUUUUUAUCAGGAAGCUUUCCCCAGUGGGUGACCAAUAUAUCGCAAGUGUACGUGUCCUUUUAUCUUUCACCUUCAUUUUACAGUUUAAAUCACCAGAAUAUGUUCGGACAAAAAAUUAUCGCUGAGAUUCGUUUUCACAGUGCUACUUGCCUACUAAGUUUUGAUCUUGUAUUCAUUUGAUAAAGAUACAGUUCUUCAUAUGUUGAUUGAUUAAUGAUUUUAUGCAGGAACUUAGUGGUCAACAACUUCACAUUUGACAAUUCAAACAUAACGUGAGUUGAAGUUUCUCUUACUCGUUUAGACAAGCAAUACCAUCACUACUCUUCCACUACAUGAUUCUAUUUGGAUAACUAAUAAUUGUUCUCUGUGUUUGCAGUCUUCCUGGAUUGAAUUGCCUCCAGAGAAAUUUUCCAUGCAAUCGAAAUACCCCACGAUGUAAUCUGCUCUUAUGUCACCCAUCAUUUACUAUUUUAACGCAACAUCAUGUUAGAGGAAAAGGCAUUGCUUCUCUAGUUAUGUAUACAUAUGGGUAUAGAUUGCAAGCAUGUUUUCAUAAGUUCAGUAAUACGCAUAACUGGUUAGAAAUAUGUGACUGAAGAACAUUAGUAUGAGUCUUCAAUUUGAAGUUUCAUCGCUAAUCAUGGGCAGAUUCUGGUAAAAAAAAAUUACAUGAAACUUUACAGAUGCAAGCUUCUCAAUCAACUGUGGUGGACAGCAAAUGAAGGGAGAUGGCAUAUUGUAUGAGACUGAUGAAUCAGUUCUUGGCUCAGCAACAUUCAGUGUAACCAGUGCAGAGAAUUGGGCAGUCAGCAAUGCCGGUUUGUUUUCUGCCCAAUAUACCUCAUCGUCUCGGGAAAAUAACCCAUCGUUGGAAAAUACCCAUGCACAAGUCAGCGGAACAGACGUGACCCCGGAGCUUUUCCAGACUUCAAGAGUGUCCAGAGGAUCACUGAGAUACUAUGGCCUGGGCCUUGAGAAUGGGCCCUACACUGUAACAUUGCACUUUGCAGAGACGGUUUAUGAAAGUCGCACUUCGCAAACUUGGAAAAGUCUAGGACGGCGUGUAUUUGAUAUCUAUAUUCAGGUAAGACUGCUUAUAGAAUAAAAAUUCUAACUUAUUUGAAGUAAACACCUCAUUGGACUGGUUUUUGAUGUUUUAAGCUACAUUAACUAAAGACAGUGAUUUAAAGAAGACUAGAAUUAUCACCUACCUCUUCAUUUGGUUGCUAGGGUACCCGCAGGAUGAAGGACUUUGACAUAUCGAAAGAGGCAGGUGGUGUUAACCGAGCAGUUGUGAGAAAAUUUAAUGUUAGCGUGUCAGAGAAUUAUCUUGAAAUUCAUUUGUUCUGGGCUGGUAAAGGGACUUGUUGCAUACCCAGUUAUAAUGAUUACGGCCCACUAAUAGCAGCCGUCCAUGCUGCUUCAGGUAUAAUUUGUGUUCACUUAUAGAGAUUUCCUAUGAGUGGUUUAAAUGUAUUUUUCUGCUAUUAAUUGACAUUGAAGAAUUCGUCUGUUUUAUCACUUAGAUUUUACAAAGAAGAGCAAUACUGGGUUGAUAGUUGGUAUUCCAGUUCUUGUUGGAGUUGUGAGCUUGCUAUUAAUAUUUGCAAUUCUAUAUAUGAGGAGGAAAAAAUCAGAAAAAGAAGACGAUGAAGGUAAACGACCAUAUCAUUAACACAUAGAAGUAAGAAUGCUUUCAUGAAAGUAAAACUUAUGUCAUACUGUUUUGUGAAUGUGCAGAUAUUCUAGGAUUAGGCCCCCGGCCAUACUUUCAGUUAUGUUGAAUUAAGAACUGCAACUGAAGAUUUUAAUCCUUCAAAUAAGCUAGGAGAGGGAGGAUAUGGCCCCGUUUAUAAGGUGAAAUCCGUAUUACAUCAAUAUCAUGUACUUGAAGUAAUGAAGAGAAAAAAGAGAGAGCGAGAGAAGAAAAUAUAGCUUCUGUUUUCUUUCCUUUCACGUCACUUAAUUGUGUUUCUGUGUACAUUGUAGGGUACACUUUCUGAUGGUAGAGUAGUGGCUGUGAAGCAACUUUCAGUAUCAUCUCACCAAGGGAAGAGUCAAUUUGUAUCUGAAAUUGCUACCAUAUCUGCUGUGCAACAUCGGAAUCUAGUGAAAUUGUAUGGAUGUUGCAUUGAAGGCAGACACCGCAUUUUGGUUUAUGAGUAUCUUGAAAACAAGAGCCUUGAUCAGGCACUUUUUGGUACAAACCUAUCUACUUUUAGGUUGCACAUAAAUAGCAUUGUCAGCAGUUUCAAGCACUCUAAAAUUGUUAAGAAAUGUUUUUGAUUGGAUGUGUUCACUAAUAUUUCAGGAACAAGUAACUUGCACCUUGACUGGCCUACUCGAUUCAAUAUAUUGUUGGGAACAGCAAGAGGAUUUGCUUACCUUCAUGAGGAGUCAAGGCCAAGGAUUGUACAUCGAGAUGUCAAAGCGAGUAAUAUUUUGCUUGAUGCAGAACUCUCCCCAAAAAUAUCAGAUUUUGGACUGGCAAAGCUUUAUGAUGACGAGAAAACCCACAUCAGCACCCGGGUUGCAGGGACAAUGUAAGCCAUCCUUUAUUGUUUUUCCAAAGGAUACAUACAUUAUGGCCACACACAUUUUUACUUGCAUGAAAUUUUCACACAUGUUAAUAAUGCCUCUAAUUAUCUCAAGUAACAUUGUGCAACCGUUUGAUUAUCUUGCAUUGCAGAAGCUAUUUGGCACCGGAGUAUGCAAUGUUUGGACAUUUGACAGAGAAGGUCGAUGUGUUUGGUUUUGGAGUCGUCGUUUUAGAGAUCCUCAGCGGGAGACCAAACUCUUAUAAUAACUUACAUCCAGAAAAGAUUUCUCUUAUUGAAUGGGUAGGAAUUGCAUUCGCCUAGCUUCAUUUAGGCAUUGUUGUGAAAAACUUAUUUAUACUUUCCUUUGACUGUGGCAUAAUGUUUUUUCAGGUGUGGACUCUACAUGAAAACGACCAAACUCUAGGGCUGGUGGAUCCAAGAUUGACAAAGUUUGAUGAAACUGAAGCAACUAGAUUGAUAAGAGUAGCUCUCAUGUGCACGCAGGGAUCACCGAUGGCACGGCCAUCUAUGUCACGCGUGGUUGCAAUGCUCUCUGGAGACAUUGACAUAGGCACUGUCAUGUCGAAGCCAAGCUAUUUGACAGAUUAUGAUUUUAAAGAUGUAACAACAUCGUUAACAAGUAGAUUUUUGGUGGAGGAUGAUACCCCAUCAACUUCAUCCAAGGGUAGUAAUGUUCGCCUCAACUAUCAAUCGAGAGGCAGCAAUGCAAGUGGUGCUAACGCUCCCUGGAUUGACCAUGCACCUUCUGUAAACGUCACUCAAUCACUGCUCGCUGAAAUUAGAGGAGAAGGAAGGUGAUAAAUAUCAGGAACUGAUUUUCGCAUGCUCUCUCUUUUGGUAGUGGGUAGGGGACUGGCAUCACAGGCAUCACCGAUGAGAACAACUCUCCUGUGCACGCAGGCAUCACCGAUGACGAGGCAGUCUAUGUCACGCGUGGUGGCAAUGCUCUCUAGAGAUAUUGACAGGCAUUGUCAUGUCGAAGCCGAGCUAUUUGACAAAUUAUGAUUUUAAGGAUGUAACGACAUUGUCAACAGGUAGCUUUUUCAUGAAGGAUGAUACCCCAUCAACUGCAUCCAAGCAUGGUAAUGACCGCCUCAACUAUCAGCCCGAAGGCAACAAUGCAAGUGGUGCUAACACCCCCGUGGUUGACCUUGCGCCUUCUCCAGUAAACGUCACUCAAUCACUGCUCGUUGGCAUUAUAAGAGAAGGAAGGUGAUAAAUAAUGGGAAAUGAUUAACGCAUGCCAUUUAUCCUUUUGUGCACCCAUGUACUUGUCCUUGGGUCUUUUUUGCCUCUAAGGUUUUGGCUAUGAUGAUGUAUAUCUAAAAAUAGAUACGAUUUUAUAGAUAUUUGGUUCAAACUUACAUGUCAAUUUUGUGUUAGUAUGUUGCGGUGUAAAUCUCCUCUUUUAAUCAAAAGGAAAAAAAUGGAUGUUUCUUUUUCUAUAGUUGAUGCUAUUCACUCCCAUUUUAAUUUCUCACACAUUUUUUUGGUAAUUUUUGUCUUUUGGUCUUUUUUAAUUCAUUCGAUCCGACAGCCGAAAAUUAAGAAGAGUGGAUGGAGAUAAAAUAGGUGUGAAUAGCACCACCCUUUUCUAUCUGAUAGCCAAGUAUGUAUAAUAAAACAUAAGCAAUCUUAGUAGAUGCCUAUAAACAAAAGCCACAAGUUGGCUCUAGAUUAGUUAUUGUCAAUUGUUGAUUGAUUACGGUGUCACCCUAAUGUGACUCUUUGGUAGGGUUUUUGCAUAAGCCAACUCUUUUACAUGAAUGAUUAUUAAUUGUUGGUCGAUCAGUGUCACCUGAGAAAAUCUUUGGUUAAAUUGCCAUGCAAGUGUCGCCUUUCUCACAUGAGUGGUCUCAACGGUGGGGCCAGGUAAAACCAAAAUGUAAGGAAGUUCAUGCUCACCAAAGCAAGAUCAACCCGUUUAAGGCUGUGGUACUCGUCUAGUUGUCUUUGUGCCUUUUUUCUUUACAUUUGGAAGUACCAGUGCCAGAUCACUUGAGGCAACAAGUCCAGCCCCAUAUUUUAUUCGUUUCUAUUACCUCCAUUGAAAGUGACCGAUAGAAUUUGAACGUUAUAAGCCUACCGUUUCCAGUCCCACUUUUGUCACUCACUUUGCUCUUCUCUACAAAAGUAUUAAUUACAUGCGCACACGCACACGCGCGCGCGCGCACACACACACACUUAUUAGCAGCACAUAUACACCUAUAUAUAUACUGUUUCUUAGUCUCAUCAGAACUCAAAGAAAGAAUGAGAGCUUUGGAGAAGUGAAAGUAGUAGCAGAAACUAGAAGAACAAAGGGAGACAUCUUAAUCUCCCCCCAGAAGUUGAAGUUGCUGCCUGUCAAGAAGUGUUUGUAUGUGGUCAAGGCAAGCACCUUCUUGACCAUCUUAUCUGGCUUCAAAUUCUCAUUCACUACCUCUUCUAGAAUCACAUCGAACACCUUCCCGAAAUCAGUUGUCCAGUCCUGGCUUUUGAUCAAAGUCUACAUAUAUUCAGCCCUCGAAUUAAGAUCCUCACCUUGUAUCGAAUGCAGCUAAGGGUUUUGGCUUUAGGUGACCACUUUUCCCUUCCAUGGCUCAUCACUCAAUUGAAGCAACAAAAGCCCCAAAGCCAAACUUGCCGACAAGGUGUUGUCGACAUCACAUAGCCAACCAAUUCUUAUACUUUCCCUACUUUGAGUAGACCUCCAUCACUUUCUUCCACUUAACAUCAGCCUCAUGUUCGAGCUCAAGUUACUUGAUAUAGCUUAAUAUGUCAUGCGAAAGCAGCUGCAUCGCCAGGAUCAACCUCAUUGGUUGCAGCCAGUUGCUCUUGCUUGUACUCCGCUCUAUAACCCCACCGGUUGGCAGGUUCCCAGCCCUCUGAUGCCAUAGUUUUUCUCAAGGGCGACAAAACCUCCUUCCUCAGUCGGUCAAUACAACAAAGACUACCAUCCCCUUCUCAGAGGCAUGAUUCUGACAACAUAUGAUGAUCAGCGAUGGUAGGCAAAAAGGUAGUCGCUUGGGUAAUCUCCAAGCAGUAAUCAUCAUGAUGGUCAUGGUCCUUGUGAUGAUGAAAUUUUCAAUAUCAAACUCAAGGCACAGGGCAAAAAUAUCCGAAACACAUUCGUGCAAUAAGCGAUAAUCAACGUCGCACUCGUAUCUCUGAGCCGCCUUGUUGGUCGUGUGGAUCGCCUUCCUCCUUAACAACAAUUCGCUUGCCUUUGAGUUGACGUUCUUUUCCUUGACCUUCACCAUUUUGUUUGAAUCUGCCUCCUCCCUCGUCCUCCCAGUAAAUUUCAAGUGAGCUUCACCCCGUAAAACCUGCGAGAGAAUGCAAGGAAGGUCUAGGAUAUGUCCAAAUGAGCCGGAAAUUGGCACAAGAUUGUAGGCAAGGGUUUUGGGGUGGUUCUGGUGGAGCCAAACCGCUGCCGCGAAGAAAGCUUCGUCUUGGUUACAUUUUCCACCAUAGUCGCGUAUGUCUAUGAAGUUGCAAAUGAGUUUAUGGGUGGUUAGAGGAUUGUGCGACCAGCUGAGGGAAACACUUGGUUCAUCAGAGUUUUGUGGAAUUCCACGGUCGACAUGGCGUCCUUGGCGCAGUGGAAGUACAGAUCAACGCAUGGGUUGUUGAUGUUGUGGAAGCCUAAUUGGGGUUGUUUGAAUUUGAACCGAUCGGACCGCAGCAGAGCAAUUCUUGUGAAUUGCGGUCAAACGACCUUAUUUCAGCAUGCUUUCAGAAUCGAUAUCACUAGCAGGAAUGCUCGCGCUUUGCUGCGAGUUUUCAAACCAUGGAUAAUAUUCAUAGAAAAAAUAACUGAAAAUGCUACAGAAUUACAAUAACAUUCUUAAACGUAGCAAUUCAGACAACACAUGUUUCACAUGAGUAACACUCACAAAACCACACAUUUACACAAUUAUCUCCAAAUGAAAGAAAGCAAGAGAUAGGUGAAUUGAUCCAUAAAAUAAGUAGUUCAAUUUACAUUGCUACUAUCUUGUAACUUAUUAGAGCUUCUUUGCAGAUCAAUCAUAAUGAUUUCUUCAUUGCUUUCACCAAAUAUUUCUAUAGUUCUACUCUAGUAGUCCAAUCGACAGAACAAAUAGCAAGUGCGAUUUUAUUCACUGCUUUGAAUGUGUUGUAAAGAUAAUACCACCAACUAUGGGUGGCAAUUGAUUCUUGUGAUAACAUACUAUAAAAGUAAAGGUAUGGAUAAAAAAGAAAAUGCGUCCUUUGAAAGAUCUAGAACAAACCUGAAGAAGAACCUGAAGAAGCACCUGAAGAAGAACAUCAAACAUCCCUGUGGUGAUCAUAACAUGCAAUACCCAAAGAAAAAUAAUUUAAGAAAAAAUAAACCUAUUCAUCACAUAAUGCUAAAAUACAUAUGCCAACAUAUCCAUAAUUUCUAUGUUUACGGAACAUCUUUCGAUAAAUCACAACCUUCAUUUUAAAAUGGACUUUUGUAUUUGUAUUUUGCUUGUGAGUAUGGUCUUGGUUAAAACUUGGCAUUCUAGCAUUUACUUAUAUGAUAUCAUAUAGCAAGAAAGCUAUGAGACCCGAGUCAGUUUAUUGUAUUCUCAGACCCUCAAAAUACUAGAGCUAGACAGAGAUAAACAACAACACGAAAGAGAAACUUCUACUUUACAUGUACACUAACAUUUGCAUGUGCAAAGCUCUCUUUCCUCCUUUCCUUUCUUUUCUUCCUCACCUUUCGGUUCUUUCUCCUAGAUUAAGGAGAUUGUUGUUUUGUUGUUAGUGGUUGCCAUCAUCAUCAUCACAUUCAAAUCAACUUUUGUAAUUAAGGCGUUCUACGCGCGACUUAUAUAAUUUAAAUGAUAACAAAAGAACGGUUGAUCUCUGAUCUAAUUGCAGACACAAUCUGCAGAACCGUCUUCUAUGGGAUUUGAACUUAUGAAGUGUGAGGUGGAGACCUGAAUGUAACAAAUUGGUUUUAAGUGAAUAAUUCCAAACAUAUAAAAUUUAGAUCAUCACACCGAACGCAAACCGAACAAUUAAAUAAAGAACUGAAGGCAUAAGCAAUCUAACUAGACAAAUAAGUGAACUUUCCCAUGCCAAAAUCUGAAAGGCCAACAGAAAUAUUUCAUUACAGCACAGAAGACAAAACUUAAAACUAAUCAAACUUAGGUGAACCAAUUAUAGAGAACAUAACCCUUGUAACCAAUCGGGAAAAGAUGCUUAAACAAAAUUAAGAGGAGUUUUUAAAAAAACCAUCAUUUCAAUUAUUUUCCAGUCUUACAUUUGGAUUAAACAGAAAAUAUAAGUAAAAAUGCCAACUUUCUUAAAAAACUACGACUAUUUUUACAAAUUUCCAAUACCCAAUACUGAAAAAUGAGAAUCACGAAGCAAUGAAGAACGGAACACGCGAGAACCAAAAAGUUAAAAACAACACGUAACCAUUUCAAAGGCCCAAAAUCCUGCAAGGACAAAAAAAUCCGAUAAAAUAAGUACAUCAGCACUCCCUGCAAAACCCCAAAAUCAGAAAAUUAUAAAAAGAACCCAAAAUCAGUGGCAUGGUCCUCGUUUCUCCAUCAUUCAGUAGCUAAUGACCUAAUGGAAAAGAACCCAAAACAUACAGCUUAAAAUAUGGAAAGUGCUUAUAAAAGCUCAUGAAUAACUUUCAAAGCCUGCAUAGAAAUGGUAUAGCGCAGAUAACAACAGACAAUAAAACUAUGCACAGUAUAACCUAAAUCUGAUAUGUUGCAUUCCACACACACAGAUUGUUCAAAAUUAAUUUCGUCUCCGUCUUUUUUCAAAUCUGAUAAAAUCCCCAAAACACAAAAAAUAGCAGCUAACUAUUUUUUAAACUCUGUAAACAACGAUAUGCAUCUUAACCCAUUUAACAUAUUCAUAAAAUAACAUCAAACACAUUUAUGCAUGAGAUAAUAUAGAAGUGAAGUCUCACAACUUUCAUAAAAAGUUAUUACUUUGUUAGAGAAAGGCUUGAAAAAAUAUGUAAAUUACUCACGUCUAUUACAAAAAUGUUACAACAGCAGACAAAAAAGGCCAAAAAUACCAAAAGCCGCACCUCCUGAAAUAAAAACAUAACCAAACGACACAUUCACAGUAUCAAUCUAAACGAUAUCCAGAAAAAAAAUGAAAUGAACAGACAAAACCCAUGUAAAUAUACAGAACAAACCAAAAGAAAAAAAAAAGAACUGAAGCCAGUAAGAAGAUCACAAAUCUGAUAAAGCAAAAGGUAACAUAAUCUAUAUCGAUUUAAUUAUCCAUCCAAAAUGACAGAAUCUAUAUCGAUUUAAUUAUCCAUCCAAAAAGACAUUUGAACGAAGAAUAUUUUUAAGGAUCCAAACAACCAUUAAACUAAACAAUUAAAAGUAAAAACAGCAAAGCAUUCAUUGAAGAAAUAUAUAUAUAUUAUAACGUAUUUGGUUUUUUAUACCUAAAAGAAAAACAUUGGCUUUCUUGUAUGCAUUGAAGUAUGCAUGUGUCGGAAAUUUACAAUCUAUAGAGACUCAAUCUUAGACUCAAAAAGACAUUUAAAGGAAAAGUAAUAAGAAAAAUAAGUAGUGGUUUUACCUAUACUCCAUGUGUGGACUCCAAUUUUCAAUCACAAUUCAAAAUUCAAGAGGCCUAUAAAUCAACCAAAUAGGAAAUGAUCAGUGGAAGAAAAAGAAAAACAACUGAAGCCAAAAUAGCAUCUAACAAAUCAUUUAGAACCAUCACAGAAAACAAUUUUUGCAUAUAAGUAAUUUAAAGGAAUACCAUCAGGUCAUGCAUAUAUACAACGUACCCAAUUAGAUAAGAAGCACAUCAACAAUUGAUGAUCAAAAAGUUAGUCAGCCUCAAUUGCUUGAAUCCAAUUAACUCAAAGAUAAUAAACAGUCCAUUUAACGCACGGGCUGACUGUCAAUUUUAUAAAGCUAUAAUUCUGUGCAGUUCAAAAACCAAGUGGAAGAAUAGGCAAAAACUAUCUCAUCGCCUGUAAAUGUAAUUAACUAAAUAUUAAACUUCACAGCCACAAAUAAACCUAAAUUCCUCCUAAAACUAUCUCAUUUAAGCUUGAUUUUACUAUAAUCUAUAAGUGUGGUAAAAAAUGGGAGGCCAAACGAUUUGUUAACAAAAAAGGUAGACAUAGAAGUAAAAGGAACAGGGCAGACAUUAGUUGAGGAGAAGCUAAUGUCACCUUGAAUUGACGACAAACAGUUCUUAUCUUCUCGAAUUAACGAAGAUAAGUACCAUUUUUCUUUAAUUCAAGGUAAUAUAAAAAGAAAUUAUACCUGUACAGUGUUCAGAUGUAGCAAUCCUAUGCAAUCGGCUAAAUGAUGUGUGUCCUCUCAAAGAUCUGUAUAUCCAUUACAGACUAAUCUUCAGUCUUGCAGAAAAUGAUAUGUUGACUACAAUUUCCCAUACUACUAAAAAACACAAAUAAUUCUAUCUACAAACCAAAUAAUACGUGCAACUUUAUGCUACAAUGGUAGAAUAAGAUGGUUGUACAGGACGACACAAAGAUUGAGACUUUUUUUUACUUCUAAAAUUCUACACACUUUCGAGCCCUAAAUUUUCGCGGAAACAAAAGAAAGUGAAAGAAGUCGUACCUGGUUUGAGAGAGUGGGACGCCAUCGGCGAGUUUGGUGUAGCAGUGAUGGCGGAGAUCUCUGGUGAGAAAGCUAAUAAGAUGGACAAAAUCAUUGAACAAAAAAAACCUCGAUUUUUAAAAUUAAAGUCAACAAAAAUUUGAACAAAGAAAAGAGAACUCAAACCCGAAACAAAUAAGUCGGAGAACUCGCCAGGAAACCCAAAGUUUCUGCAGGAUUGGCGAUUUCCUGAAAACCAAGCUUUUGUAGGUUUAAAAUUUCUUCCCUAAGGCAACAGAUCCAACAUUCCCAACUUUAAGCUAUUUCAGCUACAUAAUAGAAAGAAAAAAAAUUUAAUUUAUAUAAUUAACUAAUCUGAUUUAAGAUUAAUCGAAAAGCUUGGAAAUUUCAGCUUUAAAAUUACAUGUCAGGCUGCAAAUCUAAUAAAAAGCGUAGAAUUUUAAAAAUGCUGACCUUAAAUACAGAGGCCUUCGCAGGCUGCAAAGAAACGUCAGAAACCCGAAAAACCGGAUCUCCUGAAACCAAAAACAAAACCAAAUUAACCAUCAUCACCCAUAAUUCGAAGCCACAAACAAAAUCCCCAAAAUUACAACCCAAAAAUUUAAACAAAAAAACCUAUUUAUAAAUCCAAAUUUACACUCCCAAGUGCAAGACUCUAAGCUCCAACUGUUCUUUCUCAACUUUAGCUAUUUCAGCAACAUAACAUAAAUAACAACAACAACAAAACCUUUUCCCACUAAGUGGGGUCGGCUAUACGAAUCCUAGAACACCAUUGAGCUCGGUUUUGUGUCAUGUCCUCCGUUAGAUCCAAGUACUCAAGUCUUUUCUUAGGGUCUCUUCCAAAGUUUUCCUAGGUCUUCCUCUACCCCUUCGGCCCUGAACCUCUGUCCCGUAGUCACAUUUUCGAACCGGAGCGUCAGUAGGCCUUCUUUGCACAUGUCCAAACCACCGGAACCGAUUUUCUCUCAUAUUUCCUUCAAUUUCGGCUACUCCUACUUUACCUCGGAUGUCCUCAUUCCCAAUCUUAUCCUUUCUCGUGUGCCCACACAUCCCACGAAGCAUCUUCAUCUCCGCUACACUCAUUUUGUGUACGUAUUGAUGCUUCACCGCCCAACAUUCUGUGCCAUACAACAUCGCUGGCCUUAUUGCCGUCCUAUAAAAUUUUCCCUUGAGCUUCAGUGGCCUACGACGGUCACACAACACGCCGGAUGCACUCCUACCCUUCAUCCAUCCAGCUUGUAUUCUAUGGUUGAGAUCUCCCUCUAAUUCUCCGUUCUUUUGCAAGAUAGAACCUAGGUAGCGAAAACGGUCGCUUUUUGUGAUCUUCGCUAGAUUGCUCCGGUCAUUAGUGUGGAUAAGUAUAUAAAUGGAUAGAGAUAGGAAAGCAAACACAAGAUGUACGUGGUUCACCCAGAUUGGCUACGUCCACGGAAUAGAGGAGUUCUCAUUAAUUGUGAAGGGUUUACACAAGUACAUAGGUUCAAGCUCUCCUUUAGUGAGUACAAGUGAAUGAUUUAGUACAAAUGACAUUAGGAAAUAUUGUGGGAGAAUGAUCUCGUAAUCACGAAACUUCUAAGUACCGGAGUGUGGUAUCGUCUUGACUUGCCUUAUCUGUCUCAUAGGUAGAUGUGGCAUCUUUUCUGGAAGUACUCUUCCUCCAUCCAGGGAUGGUAUCUUUAACUGGUGGAGAUGCACAAGGUAAUGUAUCAAUUUCACUUGAAGCUUACUUGUAGUUUCAGGCUUGGUCAAGCGCGAUACAAACCAUGUAGUAGGAGUCUCCCAAGUCGCCGAGCUAGGGGAUCAGCUAAAAGAGGUGACAGACAAGGUAAGCAAUCAGAGCUCCGGCUGAUUGUUCACAUUCUCCCUAUCUUGCAGGCAGCAUGAAGGAUAAAGAAAAGAAAAAUGAGAAGAGAUGAUAUGGGAUACUUUUACUUUUGAAGAAGUAACUUUCCACAAGCUUAUUCUAGAACUGGGCUGGAGGGUUUUCUGGUUUCCUCCAGAGUAUAAGGCCGACUGAAGAAUUUGAGGGUCAAAACAAGUCCAUCAAAUCUAGAGUACGUUCGACCCUGCUGAUAUGGGAUGUUUUUGCUUUUGACAGAGUAGUGGAUGUAUCGGCACGUGUGUUGUUACGCUUGUCUCCACAUGUUUCCUUGUAUCCUUCUCACUUGCCCUAUCUGUUCCUCAGGCAGAUGCGGUAUCUUCCCUAGAAGCAUAAGAUGUUGAAGAUGAGUACUCGAGAACAAUGCCAGAUAAGUAAUCAGGUAAGGGGUUCCAGGCAGUCAGUUCCUGGCUGGAAGCUUGAUUCCAAGUGUUGACUGAUUGCUCUCUUUCUCCUUGUCUUGCAGGUAAGAACAAGGCCAAAGGAAAAGACAGGGAAAAAGCAUGAUAUGGGAUACUCUUGCUUUUAACCCUGAUGAUAUGAGAUGUUCUUGCUCUAGUAUAGCUUGUUUGCAGAGGUAUUAUCGGGGGGAAAGAAAGCUGAAUAUUUCGAAAGGCUUCGUUGGGAGUGCCCUCUCAGAUAAGAGGAAGGGUUGAGCAUUUUUGCAGGUCUGCCUGUCCGUUGGGGAUGGGGGUCGACAUAUAUAGGAGUCUCCCUAACAUCAAGUAAUAAUGCUAUUCCUUUACCCUCCUUGGUCAUAGCACGGUAGUGGGAGCUGCCAGCUUCACAUGUUUUAACUCUGUCAGAGCACUUUGAAAAAGUGGUCUGUGGUAUCUGGAAAGCUGAUGUUGCGUGUGAAGAUUACAGACAAGCUUUAUCCACGGAGAUCCAGCUCUUGAAGUUGGGAAAGUGGUGCCUCUUCGGUUUUCGAACAAGCAAUCCUGUCGGGGAUCUGGCUCUCGAGAUUCGGAGAACGAUGCCUCUUCGAUUUUUGAGAAAGCAAUCCUGCUGGGGGUCUGGCUCUCGAGAUUCGGAAAGCGGUGUCUCUUCGAUUUUUGAGAAAGUAAUCAUGUUGGGAGUCUGGCUCUUGAGAUUCGGAGGGCGGUGCCUCUUCGAUUUUGGAGCAAGCAAUCUUGUUGGGAGUGUUUUCUCGAAUGUGAGUAAAGGUUGGGCAUGUUUGCUAGUCUACCUUGCCACGAAGCACAGAGGUUGACGCAGGACUUUCCAAUUAUCCAGCAGUGGUACUGUUCCUUUACCCUCUCUUCGAUUUUUGAGAAAGUAAUCAUGUUGGGGGUCUGGCUCUCGAGAUUCGGAGGGCGGUGCCUUUUCGACUUUGGAGCAAGCAAUCUUGUUGGGAGUGUUUUCUCGAAUGUGAGUAAAGGUUGGGCAUGUUUGCUAGUCUACCUUGCCACGAAGCACAGAGGUUGACACACCGGGACUUUCCAAUUAUCCAGCAGUGGUACUGUUCCUUUACCCUUGUGGGUAAUAAUAUGGUAGCUAGACCUUCAAAAUUUAUGUGUCUAAACUUUGUUAGUGUUGUUUCUUUGCUAUUCUUUUACCCUUCUUGGUCAGAGCGAUGUAGUGGGAGCUGCAAGCUUCACGUGUCUCAACUUUGUCAAAGAACUUUGGCAAAGUUAUCUGUGGUACCCAUGAGCUACUGUUGCGUGUGGGAAGUGGGUGAUUGAACAGAACGAUUCAUGUGCUUUCUACUUCACCAGAAAUCUUCGACAGAAUGCCCAUAAUUUCCGCAAAGCUGAGUGCAUAUGACAGGUGCUGACAAGGCUGGAAAAGUAGGUGCCUCUUCGAUUUCUGAGAUCGACCCUCGUGGUCUCUAAGCAGCCCAGCUUUUGAGAAAGCAAGCCUCUUCGAUUUCUGAGAUCGGCCUUCGUGGUCUUUGAGCAGCCCAGCUUUUGAGAAAGCAAACGCCUCUUCGAUUUCUGAGAUCGACCCUCGUGGUCUCUGAGCAGCCCAGCUUUUGAGAAAGCAAACGCCUCUUCGAUUUCUGAGCAGGCGCCUCUUCGAUUUCUGAAGCUUCGUCGAGUGCAGAUUUUUAUAGGGGAUGGCAUUAAGUUCCAAAGCACACUUGAAUCUCCACCAGUAGAAGCUCCAUUCUUGCACUUCUAAGAUCUUGAUUUUUUCCGACCUUUUCUCUCUUCAACACCUUUGAAAAUGUCUGGCCCCUCCGACCGUCGUUUUGACUUGAACCUUGUUGAAGAGGCAGCCCCGCCUUCUCCAGACAACAUAUGGCGCCCAUCCUUCAUCUCCCCUACUGGUCCUCUUACCGUUGGGGAUUCCGUGAUGAAGAAUGAUAUGAUCGCUGCGGUAGUGGCCAGGAACCUUCUCACUCCCAAAGAUAACAGACUACUUUCCAAACGGUCUGAUGAGUUGGCUGUUAAGGAUUCUCUGGCUCUCAGUGUUCAGUGUGCAGGUUAUGUGUCUAAUAUGGCCCAACGCCUAUUUGCUCGAACCCGCCAAGUUGAAUCAUUGGCGGCUGAAGUGAUGAGUCUCAAACAGGAGAUUAGAUGGCUCAAGCAUGAAAUAAACAGUUGCACCGGCUCGCACAUGACUAUGCUACAAACAUGAAGAGGAAGCUUGACCAGAUGAAGGAAUCUGAUGGUCAGGUUUUACUUGAUCAUCAGAGAUUUGUGGGUUUGUUCCAAAGGUAUUUAUUGUCUUCGUCUUCUGGGGCUGUACCGCGUAAUGAAGCUCCAAAUGAUCAACCUCUGAUGCCUCCUCCUUCUAGGGUUCUGUCCAGUACUGAGGCUCCGAAUGAUCCCCCUCCGGUGCCUUCUCUUUCUGGGGCUCUACCAACUGCUGAGACUUCUCCUAAGCAACCUUUGUGAAGGCUCCCUCUUGUUUGUUUAUUUUGACUCAUGCAUAUGUACCUAUUUGUACCUUAUCGGGGAUAUCAAUAAAUAAGCUUUCCUUCAUUUCAACGUAUUGUGUUAAAUACACCAAAACCUUCUUCGCUAAGUUCUUUGAAUUUUCUUUUGUUGAAGCUUGUAUGUUGAAGCUUUGUGAGUGGAGCCUGUAGGUUGAGGUAGUGUUCCCUUAAUUUCCUGAGUGAGGAAAACUUCUCGGUUGGAGACUUGGAAAAUCCAAGUCACUGAGUGGGAUCAGCUUCUAUGGCCCCCUUGCUCAUUUAACACUGCAUCCGGGUGCCGAUGGAGAUACAGCGACCCUUGCUCACUUAUCACUGUGCUCGGGCCACACAGCGCGCCACUUACGGGUGACGCCCUAGCUUUAGCGCGAUCUUGUUCUGGAUUCAUUUUCAUAAGGAUUCGACGUAGUCAUGGAGUGCCGGUUGUCGACUACCUGACGCCCUCCCCCUCCUCCUUUAUCCGGGCUUGGGACCGGCAAUGUAAGAUCAAUUUAACUAUAAUUAACUAAUAUGAUUUAAGAUUAAUAAAAAAAACUUGGAAAUCUGCUUGAAUUCAAUCUCAAAAUUGAAAACGAACACUUCACUUUUACAAAAGUUGUACAAAGCAAAAUAAAAAAGACAAAUCAAAGUCUCACAAAGGGCCACAACGACAGCAAAAUUGCAACAGAAAGAGGAAAAAUGUUCAAUCAAACCAUUGGAUAACUCUUCUCAGGCAGUCAAAAAAAACCCACAAAUUCAAAACCACAAAAAUCCAAUCUAAAACAUCGAUUCACAGACUGAGAUGCACAAAAUGAUAUAUUAACAAAUCCAAAACGAAAUACAAAAAUUAAGAACCAACAAGCAAAAAAAUACCGAUUAUCCCCUGCAUAAGUGAGCACACGUUCAAAAAGCCUCUCAAAGGCUGAGAUUCAACUUUAAAAUAUAAAGACUUUAAGCCACAAUUGUUCUUUCUUAACUUUAACUACUUCAGUUACAUAAUCGGAAAAAAAAAUUAAUUUAAUUAUAGUUAACUAAUCUGGGUUAAGAUUAAUAAAAAAGCUUGGAAAUUUCAGAUCUAAAAUCACACGUCAGGCUGCAAGUAGAAUCAAAACCAUGGAAUUUCAAAAUCACUGACCUUAAACACACAGGUCUUCGCAGGCUUCAAUGAAAAGUCACAAACUCGAAAAACCCAAUCUCCUGAAAUCGAAAACAAAACCAAAUUAACCAUCAUCACCUAGAAUCCGAAGCUACAAAACAAAAUUCUCAAAAUCAAAACCAAAAAAUUUGAACAAAAAAUCCAUUUAAAAUACAAAUUUACACUCCCAAGCACAUAACAUUCAAAGCAGACAAUUACCCAAAUCAAAUCGACAGCAGGAGAUGCAAUCUUUUAUGGGCUUCAAAUUUUCUUCAAACCGAGACCAAAUUCGUUAUUUUUCAGCAAGAGAGCGUUGCCGUUUGUAACCCCCGAUGAAAAGAUCCAAACAAAUUUGACUAACAGUAGAGAGAGAAAGAGAGAUAGAGAGAGAGGUGAAAAUUACUCGCUGGUGACGAAGCUAAUGAAUUCGGAGACGCAUUCCUGGACGGUGUUCGAUUGAUCGGCACGAGUAGAGACAUGAGAUCAGAAAGACAGAAAAAUUAGGGUUUGGGAGAUAAAGAAACUGGGGCAGAGAGAGAUGGAAAGAAAGAAGCAGAAAAGAGGAUGGCAACUGAAACCUUCCAGCGACUUUGUUCUUUAAAAAUAGCUUUAUGACAAAAUUACCCUUGGAUAAUUUUAUGCAUUCUUUUUAGCCGCUUUGAAUUUUUUUUGGCCGACAGGCAUUUGCGUCCAAUUAUUUUUGUCGAAGCCGGUGACACCAAAACCGGCCUCCGGCUUUCGAAGAAGGAUGGUCUGCUUUCCAUUUCCGUGCCUUCUUCGUGUCUCCUGUUUGAGUGGUCACGGUUAAACCACGUUAACAUUUUAUAUUACUAUUCAUUUUUGUCUUAUUAUAUUUAUAAAAAUAAUAAUAUAAAAUGUAGACGUGGCUUAACCGUGAUCACAAAAAACAAGAGGGCACGAGAAGGACAACGGAAGUGGAGGGCAGACAAUCCUUAUCCCGGCUUUCUAUAUAAAGAUAAUUAACUUUAAUAAUUGUAAUAGGAAGUAAUGAUUAUGCCCAACCUUUGGAUCAACAUUUGUAAGCUAUAUCAAAAAAAAAAAUACUAAAAAAGUUUAAACACAAAACCCCCCAAAAUUAUAAAAUCAAAAUAUAAUGUACUACCCAUUUUCUCCCGUUUUUCUCUCGCCCUCCAUUUCUGCAAAUCACCAACCUCCCUCUCUGCCCGUAUACUCCCUACCUCUCUCAUAAUAUCAAAACUCUCAAACCCAAUUCACUGCCUCAUUACCUAGUUGAUAAAAGUCCCUAUGACAGUAUCAAAGCAACUAUAAUUACAAAGAAGUUGAGAGAUUACUUUCUGAUUAUCAAAACCAUUACUGGCUUUAUGCUGACACAAAUGGUGCGUUUGUUGCACCGGACUAUCUCGGACUGGACUAGCUUCAGGGACUAAAAUGGACUGGCUUAGACUAGACUAAGCUGGACUGACUUAGUGAAGCGUUUUUAUGCAGUGCCGGAUUAAGAAGCAGAACUCUAAUAUUAUAUUAUUAAAUCUAUAUAUACAAUAUUUUAUCAUUGAUUUAAUCUAAUCUACUAAUUUUUUUAUUAUUAUUUUAUCAUUUGGCUAGAAUCAUCUUCUUCAUUUUUAUCUCCGCCCAUAACUCCCAACCCUCUCCCUUUUUUCUGCCUUUUCUCCCUCUUUUUCUCAGUACUACCGUCUUCCCCCAAAAAACCCCAACCCCUCCCUCUCAAGCUUAGCAUCACCAAUUUAAUGGCAGCAAUGGUGAGCUUUCCUGUUCAGCUUCCUUUCUCUCUCUUCCCUUUGUUUUUUCGUUCAAAUCCCUCUCUCUCUUCCCUUUGCCUCUUUUAUCGUCAACUUCACUUGUUCUUCCAUGGGUGAGGAUUGAAGUUGCAGACGGCACGGGUGGGUGGGGCUGGGUAUGGGCAUGGGUAGGGAUUGGAGUUGCAGACGGCAAAGGGUGCAACUUGGUCGGGUCGCUAAGAAUAUCGUUGUAGUUCUCUCGGAUUUGAAACGAGGGAAUGGUCUUGGUGUGGUGUUGUGAUCUCGUUGGAGAGAAGACGCAAUGUAGACGAAAAAAGGUCUUCGCAGAGGGAGGACGCCAAGCGGUGCAAAUGAGACGAAGCAAGUCUCAGCAGUCCCGUGGUUUUCGGGGAGCUUCGCUAAGACGACCUAGCGAGGGAGAUAGUCCACACGAGUCUGGACUAGUCUCAUUUAAGUUAGUCCCCAAGCUUACCAAACAUGGGACAAUAAUCCUAGCCAGUCCAGUCCCACUUAAGAAGUGAAACAAACGCACCCAAAAUCUCACAAUAUUAUUACCACGACCUUAUGCAUAAUAGGAACAACACUAUAAUCAUCUGCCUACCAGAAAUUAACUCUUCUACAACAGCAAGUUUAACAACCAACCAACCUUUGAACAAAGAACACACGGACAGGAAGAAGCAGGAUACAUAAGAGGCAAAACAAUUUUCUUACUUCUACAUCAAAGCAAAAGAACAACCAUUACAUAGGUAUGCCAUUAUCAUCUGGGGAACAAAUCCAAUUGGCAGCUUUUACGUACCUACAAUUAUAAGCAAAGUUUGGAAUUCACAAAAAAUAUUGGGCAAAUACCAAGGCUGCCAUUUGAAAAAGCUAAACAAUAACAAACUUUGACAAAUUAACUACAACUAAAUUCAGAUGACAUUCAAUGUAUGAAGACAAUCUGAGAAAUCAAAGGCUCUAAAAUCAAUACCAUAUUUCAUGUGCCUUUUAUUGAUAGUGAACCCAUCAGUAUAACCAGGAUAAAAAUUUGAUUUAGAAUCUUGCUAUCUUUGUCCUUGUAAAUAUGAUAUUUUGGCAUCGGCAAUAUAUCAUAAAAAAAAAACAAAUAUAUCUGAAUUCAAAGAAAAUAUAGAACAAAAAUAAAAAAGCAAAUUAUGAACGCGUAGAAGCUAAUUUCAUUAGCAAUUAAAGCAACCAAGUUCUCUCAACAUCAAGAUUCAGAACCCCCAGGAACCCAGAAAUUUGAUGAAAAUUUUUCUAAUCACUCAAUUGGAUUAGACAAAAUCAUGAAUUUUUUUCUAAAGCCCAAUUAUAUUAAAUCACAAAUUAGAAGCAGAUUUUGACAUGCAAUAAGUCAACAAGAUAGGAAUUGCUUCAGACUAACCUCGAUGGCAAGGCCUCCGGAAUCGCCCGAUCUAAACCAACCAAAAAAAAAUCUAUUCACAUGAUCUUCAACCUAACUAUAAAGAGGAGCUUUAUAACAUAACAUGCCAAAACAACCAAGCCCAACAAAUUAACGAACUAAUUUUUCUUAAUCAAUAAUAGCAUACAUAUUAUCAAAUUAUCAAUCAAUAAUUCACAUAUCGUUAAGGGUUAAACAAAUAUAUGAAGACUGGAAAUUUACUCACACAUCUAAUAUAUCCUUGCAUUUCUAUUUGAAUUCAGAGUACGUGGAAAUCAAAUCAACAAAUCAAAGCCCUAAAUUUUUAUCAUCCUGAAUUGGAAAAAUCUGUAAAAUCUAAAAUUUUUGACUAAAAAUGCUAACUUAGGAAUAUGAGGAAAUUUGCAAAUUAGCUAAACAAGACUAUUAUUUAUCCAAUCAAAUGCAAAUUGGAAUGGUGCAGAACUAACACUACAAAAUUCGUUAAACUAAACAAUGGGUAGAAUGUUUAUAAGAUUUAUAUUUUACACAAAAACUAAUCUUCUGAAAAAGCAAAAAACAUAAAAAUUUUGUUAAGCAAUCGCAUGGAUUAUAAAUGCCAAAGAUUAGAUGAUGGUAGGCGUCAAAUUACCUUUUUCACCGAAGAUGCGAAACCCCUCAUUGCCGACGUGGCGGGGCGAAUCCUCUGUCCUAAAAUCUGAACCAACACAAAGAUUAGGCAGAAAAUCUGAAAGUUCAUAAAUUGCAGAAGUAGAGGGAUUACCAUAGCUGAUGAGCUUCCAGCUCCUACUUUUUGCCUUAAAAUUCCCAACAUCUUUGAUUCUUUCACACAAAAUCACACUGAACGCAAACAAAAAUUAGAAACAAAAUAUGAUCUAAGAACUGAAAAUUUAAGUGAAAGCACUGAGAGAGAUGAGGAGGAAUAACAAAUGAUUUAUUGGAAAUAUGGAAAAAAAAAUCAGAUUAAAAUUUGGACAGAAAUAAACAAUACGAAUUAGGGAUUUGGGAGGGGGGACAAACCGGUUUGGAGGAUUGGAGCGGGGAUCGGAUCGAUGAUGCGAUGUGUAAAAAAUGAGCGUUAAGGAAGCAGAGCAGCAGCAUCCAACACUUUCACGCAGAACUUGUUGAAUCCACAUCCGCCGUACUAAAAGAAAAGAUAAGUAAUAGUUUAAAUAUCCUAACCUCACUCUAACUAACACCGAUGCCUUUUGUGAUAAAAUUUUACACUUGACGGAUUAUGCAAGUGGUAAUUACCAAGUUGGCGAUAGUAUCGAUGUUGUUGGAAGUGGGCCAUAUGGCCCGUCUCUUUGAUAACUCUACAUUGUAUCAGAGCCAAGGAACGAACCCGUAAUGUACUAUCACGUGAUGGGUGGAUCCUCUGGCCCCGUGCGAUAUGGUGGGUCCCUUGGCCCCGCUUAUAGGGUGAGUCCCCUUGGCUCCACGUGGUUGCCAAUGUGUGGGUCUUCCACGUGUGGCCCACUAAUUGAGUCUCACGUGAUGGGGCGUGUUGAAUCUCACAUCGGCCGUAGUAAAAGAUAAGUAUUAGUUUAAAUAUACUAACCCCACUCUAACCAACACUGAGACAUUUUGUGAUAAAACCCUACACCUGACGGAUUGUGCAGGUGGUAAUUACCAAGUUGGGGGACAAUAUCAAUGUUGUUGGAAGUGGGCUGUAUUGCCCGUCUCUCUGAUAAUUCUACAGAACUUACUUGGAAAACCCAGAUCAAACCAACCUAGAUCAAACCAACCUUUAAGUUUCAAGGUUUUUACCCUGGAAUCCAGGCAAAACCCAGAUCAGAUUCUAAAUGGGUUUAUCAAAAAUAAUAAUUUGAUUUUGAUCAGAAAUGCUUAUUCUUGUAGUGGGUGUACAUCUAGUAAUGCUUAUUCUUGUAAAUUGUCGUUGCAAUAAUACAAUAAUACUCAAAAUGAUGUAGUGGGUGUACGGAUUAAAGAGGGUUUUAGGUGAAUGUGAUCAGCUUACCCAUGUGUCUAAUGGAUUAAACUAACAAAAUAGUAUGUGAUGUGAUAUGUUUUAGGUCAACAUAACAAGAAAAUAUUAAACAAUGAGUUGUACAGGAAGAUACAGAUGCUCUUAUGUUCUUUGUGAGUUUUUCCACAGUGAGAUAAUGGGUAUAUAUUACAGAGCCGACUUCUCUGCCCUCCCAUUUCCCAUACACUCUUAUCCCCUUCUAUUUUAUGCUGUCACGGUUAAACCACGUCAACAUUUUAUAUUGAUUUUUUUAUAGAUAUAAUAAAACAAAAAGCAAUAAUAAUAUAAAAUAUUGACGUGGCUUAACCGUGACCGCACAAAUAAGAAGGAAUGAGAGUUUAUGGGAAGUGGGAAGGCAGAGAAGCCAGGUCCACCGUCCAUAUAUUACACUCUGUAUUUGUACCCUUGCCAUGAAUGAUUAAGGUUUCACCCUAACAUUUAAAUAAUGAAUGUAGUGGUCAAGAAUUAUUAAAGAUACAGUAAUUACCCUUCUAAGGUGAAAUCAAGCUCAAAUCUGAUGGGUUUCUUGUAAAUAAGGUGAAAUCGAGGGGCAAAACUUUAACUGUAGCUGAAUGAAUAGUAGAUCAUUCCUCAAUUUUAGAAUAGAUAACUAGAAAGUGUAGCCCGCGCAUUGCUGCAGGAAAUGUGAUUCACGCGUUACUGCGGGAAUGGAAAUUGUAUGACAUAUUUUGAUGAACUAAGUUAGAAAACGACUACAUGUGCAAACAUUGCAAGCAACUAAAUUAGACGAAAGCUAACAAAUUUCGAAUUAACCAAAUUAGAAAAACAAUCACAAUCGAACUAAUCUCUACUUCCCAUAUGAAGUAGAAGAUGUCCCUUGUUUUGCAUCGGUGAACAACGCGGUUUUCACCCUCUACGAACAAAAAGAUGAAAGUAAAAAUGUUUAACAACAUUAUAAAAAUUAUACAUAUAGGAUUAUAUAUGUAUCUGCACAUAAAGUAUAAAGAUUUGCUAACAGAUUCGAGGUUAAAUUUAACAAAAUAAGUAAUUAUGAAUUGAAAUCAAACUAUAUCAUAGUUGUUAAAAAAUACUUUUGGCUAAUUCUUACAAAUAGAAUGAAAGUGUCGCUUUCUUAUCAACUAUUCAAUUGUCUCAGCUGCGGAAAAAAUUGAUUUCAAUGUGUCCUUUACCAAGUGAAUGAUGGAUAAAAUUGUUAAUUUCAAAAUAAACCAAUUUUCAAAAAUCCUAACAUGAUAUGACAUUGUAAAAAACCUUAAACCCUUUAUUGGAACAAACCUCAAAAUGCCCACUAAUUGUUCUGGAUGGGACACACCAAUUUUUACCAUGAGAAAAAUGCAACUCCAAACCAAAAUUAAGCAUUUGAUAAAUCGUAUUUACUGAAGAGAAAUUUUUUUUGAAAGGGAAGCUUACCAGUGUUAGCAAAGUUAAAUUCAAUGUAAGAAAGUGGAAGAAUAUUGACAUAAACAUAGUAGUGGGAUUGAUGAUGGAUUCAGUAUGUUAUUUUGUAUCAAUUCAAAUGGAUGAAAAAUAUUAAAGGAACUAUAGGUCACAGUUUGGAGUAUGCAAAAGUACUACUUCAAAUUUUCAACAUGCUCAGUAGAUCUCUAAAUUUCAAAAAGUGUACAAAUUUUAGAGUACUCCAACUAACGGUAAUUUUUUGGAGUGCUACCAUACCCUCUCCACUGUUUUAUUUCUUCACUCAAAUUAUAAUUUCACUCAUCAUAAAAAGUUAAAAAAUUAAAAUGUUAGUUUCCAACCCACUAUUUUUCUAAAACAACCUCUAAUUAACAAUUGGUGUAAAUGUGUAUGACCGCAUUAUACAGAGCCACCAACAGCGGCUGUGACUUCAUCUACAGUCGCUCUUCAUUGUACCAGUGAAUCCACCUUCACAAAUUCAAGUCCCCUUUUUGGCACAAGCUGAUGAUGGCGCCAUUAGCGCCACCUUAUCCAAUUCCACACCACGCCUUCUCAUCUAACCAAACAAAGACAAAGCUUGCUUAUACCUCCCAUUCUGAGCACACCCCACAAUCAUGGUGGUCCACGAAACAACAUUCCACUUCGAUAUCUCGUUAAAAAUCCUUUGCGCCCCAUCAACAUCCCGACACCAUACAUAGCCCGCAAGCAGCGAAUUCCAACUUGCAACACUCCUCUCACGCAUACCAUCAAACACCAGGCGUGCAUACUCGACACCACCCCCAAACCCACUUACCAGAACCCUCUUGUACACCUGUUCCCCUUCUAUCACCAACCCUGACCUCGCACAAGAACCAAAAGAACAUACGAAUAGGAAAACCCAUUAGCCUCUGCCUCCAAACCCACCAGCCGUUUAUACAAUUCAACAGACUUCCGCAGAAUUUGCUCCAAGCGUGGCUUCUGAUCAUCUGGCUCCAAACAGUAGUAACUGUGUUGUCAACAUUUUUGAAAAUUUUUAGGGCAUGAUCGAGACACUCAAAAGAAACGUAAAAUGUUAAAAUUCGAACAAGAAGGUAGCUUUUUGUGUGAGUCCAUGAAUUAUUAUUUUGGGUGUGAAUUUGGGUGUACUUGCACAUCAAUGGAAGCAAGUAAUUUUUUAUUUUGGUCCUUAUAUGUCAUUUUACAAAAGAGUAAAAUUGACAUUAAAAAAUUAUUAAAAUAGCGGGUGAGAAGAUAAGACUGUAGAGUAGAAUUAUUAGCACUCAUUUUUUAUAAAAUCGCAUUCUAGGAAAGUAGGAAUGGAACUUCCAUUCUUAUUAUAUAUACAAAGUAUGCAGAUGCUCCCUUGCAAUUGGCUAAUGGUGAUAUUUCAAUCAUCCGAGAAAAACUCCGUGCUGAUAUGUAUGAACAUGCAUCAUCUGAUUCUAGUGCAAAGUGGGCAGAAUCGAGUGCCCAUUAUAAGGUAGUGUUCUACCUAAUGUAUUAAAUUUUUUAUUGUCAUAUGGCCAAGGACACUUAUUGAGUUAAUUAAGCUCCAUAGAGGAAUAGAGAAAUUGAAGGGCAAGAUAGAGAGGUCAUUUGGGGGAAGAGGAAGCCGGGAAGGUGAGGCUGCCGGCUGCAGGAUGAUAUGGUUGUAGCAACGAUCAUUCAGUGUUGUUUGAUGACUCGUUUGGAAGUGCUUUGAAAAUGAUUAGAAAUGCUUUUGGAGAAUUUUUUUUUUAGUUUAAAAAACACUUGAAGUGUUUCUUGCAAGAAGUACCAAUUAUGUACUUGUCCAAGAAAUACUAAGUACUUUUACAGGAUUCACUUGCAUUUUUAUUAAUGAGUGAUUCAAAAAACAUAUUCACCAUAAGCACUUUCAGCUAUUUUAAAAACAUUUAUAAACGGACUUGAGUUUCUUUCCGUUUGGAAAUUUUCAUCUUUUAAAUAUUAAAAAAGUAGUUUUUUUUUUUUAAAUUGCAUAAAGAAAACAUAUAAAAUAUCAUUUAAGUUGUAAUUAUCGUUCAGCUUACUAUACAUGUUUGAACCUUUUAUAUGAUUUGAUUGUAAUAAAAUCACGUUUACGGAUGUUGUCCCUUAUGUUCAUUUGUCAAAAGGCAAGUCCUUUUGGCUUGGUAAAGGCCAUGUAGUCGUUCGUCCGAAAAAACAAAGGCCAGGCUGUCCGGUCAAAUUGUGGCAUCAACUCCCUUCUCUCUCUAACCCUCACACGCUCACUACUCACAAUCCUUUGGGUAUUAACUACAUUGAGAAUAAUCAAAGGACAAUGAAUAAUUGAGAAAGAUGAAGAGCUAGAGAGAAAUUUUAAAGAGAAAUAUGGCUUCUGUAUUUCUAAGAAAAUAACUAACUAAUUACAUUUGUCAAUUGCAGUUCUUUAUAUGAUAAAACAAUACAAACUUACUUGUAACUGAUUAACCAGCUAACAAAUCAUUUAAUAGCCUAACAAAUAUUCUAACAACUUUGAUUGACGUGGCAAUGAUUAUAUAACAACCUAUAAUCAAGAUAAACACACAUUUUUUGUCUCUCACAUACUCUCAUUUAGUUAUGUCAAUUGUUUUUUAGGAUAAUUCUUUGUGUCUAGUUUUGGGUAAAUAGAUUAACAAAAAUCAUAGUACUGUCUAUAAUUUGAUGGAGAUGUUGAAUUAUUGUAUUUUCAGUCUCUUCAAACAAAAAUGCUACACUCACUACAUAUUUGUACUAUCAUUUGUACAAUCUAUCAAAUAAAAGUUGAGUCCGCCAACACAUGUAAAUCUCAUAUCAAUUAGAGAGAUGGUACAAAUAUAUUGCAAAUGUAGUAUUUUUGCUAAAUUAAACUAGCAAGUAUAACGUCUCAGUGUUGAGGGAUUCUUAAACAUAUGUAGGUUGAGAAAUGAUUUCCACACAAUCUUUUUUUUUUUUGGUAGUAAACUCCUAUUAUGUUUUGUCUUGAUUCUCCUCUGAUUUAUUCACCUAAAAGUUAGAAAUAGCUUUCGAGGGUGUGUCAAGAAUAUAAGUGUGUAAAAUUUAUUUCCAAGUAUGUAGGCUUAUUUGUGUGUGAGGUGAAUUUUAGUGUUAGUGUUCUAAUAGGCCUGUACUGUUUUGUAGUUCUGAAUUUAUUUGUAUGUCUUAAUCUUGCUUAUGCAUCAUACCAACCACCUUGACGAAGGUGUAACUCAAAACGGCAACUGUUGGAGUCAUAAGCAUUUGAGGUAUAUUGGUUACUCUCUGUCUCUCUAAUUUAACAGAGGCUUUAGUUAGGGGUUCAUUUUCUUAGAAAAUUCACUACCAAAAAACUGGCAUUUGGGUACAAAACUAAGGACACUAAUGAAGAGUUUGUGUCUCUAUGAACACCAAUACAAUGGACCAGUGCCCAUUCAAUAAAGAGCACAAUGUAUUGUGCCCAAUGUAAAAGAAAAUUGACACAAACACAUUAGGCUGACAACUUUUUGAUAAAAAAUACUCAGAAAGGGAUAUUUGUGUCUAUAAAUAGACUUAAGCGCACAAUUGUACGUGUCCUACUUUUAUAAUCGUAUAAGUAUAUGUGUCUUACUAAACAAAUCUGGGACAACUAAAACAGAAGAGCGGGUCAUACUUUUUCUCUCCGUUGUGAGAGCCUUCACUCCGCAGUGAGAGUCUUCCCUCCUGUGUGAGAGCCUACAACAUGAUAACUCCGCCCUCAACUGUACCAUACCAGAUCUAAUAGUGCAUCCCCCUCCAGUUUUCAACCAUUUCCUCCCUUUCCCCAAAUUUUCAAUUGUUCCCAAAAUCGAGUUCAACUAGUCUGGGCGGUUGGGUUUAUUAAGUGCCUGCGCUUCUUACACCUUUCCUCCCUUGUUCAAUUAUUGAUUGUGUCCUCUUCGACCAUCAGCAUUGAUUUCUCCAUCUUUUCCCUCUGCUCAUGCGGUGAGUAGUUGGGUCCAACGGCUGACGAAUUGAAGGCUUUCAAUUCAACUUCAAAUGGGCCAUAAAGGUCAAUUAGGUAUUGCAGAUUGGUUGGUCCCCUUAGUUCCCUUCGUUCCCCUGGGUUCCUUUGUCCCUCCCCUGACGCAUUUAACAGACUACAGAUCUCCGGAUUAUCCUUGCAAAUAUUCAGAUGUCAGGUACAAUUACUCGGAAACUCAACCACCGAUUAAUAACUCAAUUGCUCCUUGGGUAAGAGUUGUGCUCUGGAUCUGGGUAAGUAUUGGUUAUAGGCAUUUUAAACACCUUAAGAAAGCUGGGGGUUUGCCGAGUUACAGUUUCAAACACUGUGAAGAAUAUCACCUACAGGAUAACUUUGUUGAACUGGAGUCGGCCCAAUCUGAAGUAGAGGAUCUAGUGGUGCAGCUGGAGGAAUCGCUUGAACUCUCACAUAUGGAACAAAGUGUGAAGCUGGUAGGGGCAGCUCUGACAAAAAAAAAAAAAAAAACCCUAAAUAAAUGGGGUGUUCGAAAUAUUCUGAGGAGUGUUUGGGGUGAGUUUGGGGAAGUAAACAUAAACUGGGUCUAGGAAAACACGUUCAUCAUUAUAGUAAGAGAUGAGGAGACGGCGAAUCGAAUACUAGAGCAGGUCCCUUGGGCAGUUAUGAGUAAGAACUUAUCUGUCAAAAGAUGGCCUCAAGAACUGGCACUUGAAGAGGUAAUGUUGAGAAAGGUCCCAUUUUGGAUCCAAAUGAAGGGCGUGUUAUUACAUCUGAGCACAGAGGUAAAUGCCAAGAAAUUGGCAUGCCAUAUGGGAGAGGUUAUUAAGAUAGAAGAGCUGUCACUGGCUAGAGGGUUCUUAAGGGCCCGGGUGUUGGUGGAUACAGAUAACCCUCUUAUAAGCGGAUGCUGGCUUCCACGUCCUGGGGAUAAGGAAUCCUGGAUCGAGUUUAGAUAUGAGCGGCUCCAAGAUUUCUGCUAUAGGUGUGGGAGGAUCGGCCAUGUCAUGACGGAGUGUACCUUUGAAAAAAGCAGGAGUGGGGCUGCUGGGUUUGGUGAAUGGACUCGGAUGAAACAACCCAGGCCUCUAUAGGAGUAUGUCCAUCCACUACCAGUAAUGCAAUGCAACCGUCGCCAUGCCGGAAUGAUACGAGAGAAGCGGAACUUAAACUUUCAAGAUAUGGCAGUCUCAACAAGCACGAAGGGGAUUCUAGAUUAGGGAUCAUCUGAACCCCAAAGGCUGGGAAUUGUCUUCCAUGAUCUCGGGAACCAGGGGAGAAUUGGGGGGGGAUUAUUGCUAUGGUGGGACCUCCUGUUAGUGGAAUUCUUCCCCCAGUGCAAUGCGAGAAUGUAAUUCGGCCUGAAGCGGAACUAACAAUCCAAUCCUGGGUGUGAGUGAUGACCUUGGUCUGCUUCCGGUGGAGACCCACACCUUUGAAGAGGGGGAAAGGGAAAGGGGUAGAAGCUCCCACCAAACUUCAAUCCAAGGAUUCUUUAAUGGCUUGGGCCUAAAGAGGAAAACUGAUAGGAAGAUUCAGGGGGGAGGACAAGCUCGGAGUAAAAGAGUGAAAAAAAAAGCAGGCUGCUUAGGAGAAGGAAGAUGACAGCGAGUAGGGGGCGAAAUCCCAGUAUAAGUGGCGGUGGCAUAGAAGGUGGAAUUUCUGUUCUCGUGGAGGCAAAUCUGCUUGAUGUGCCGAUUGGUCAGGGGAAGAAAGUGAGAAGCCUGCGGGUUGGAAGCACAAACCAGGAUUCUAAUGCACCUCAGACUAAGAGGGCGGGGGUGGAACCUUGGGGUGGUGGCGGCUGGCCCAUAACAGUUACACCAUCGCCAUGAUCUACUUAAUGUGGAACUGCCAUGGUCUUGGGUCGGACGCGGUAGUUCGAGCUUUUCAUGGGCUUAUUAGGCGGUACAGACCCUGUGUGAUCUUUCUGUCCAAGACGAAGAUGAAGGAUCACAAAUUAGAAGGAGUUCGGCACAUAAUGGGUUAUACAUACAGAUUCUCGGUCCCAACUAUGGGGGCUGCGGGUGGUCUUAGUCUUUGGUGGAACGACCCUGUCCAAGUGACUAUCCUUUUCUCAUCAAAGAAUCUAAUUCACACAAGAGUCCGAGAUGGGGGUUGUGAUGAUUGGUGUUUUGCAUCAUGGGUUUAUGGUACUCUAUAUAGAGCAGAGAAUAGGGCAUUCUAGAGGUGGAUCUCGGAGGUUUUACAGCCUUGCCCAACCCCGUGGUUUUGUGGAGGAGACCUGAAUGAGUAUCUUUGGGAUAGUGAAAAAGCUCGGGGGAGGGAGGAGUCUCGCUCUCGCCCCCAGUUCCUGCAGGAUUUUAUGUCGGAAAUAGAGCUCGUGGAUUUACAUUUCAGUGGACCAGCAUUCACCUGGAGAGGUUCCCGUAAUGGAAGCUUGGUGCAGGAAAGAUUGGACCGUGGGAUGGUGAAUGGCAGUUGGCAAGAUUGUUGGCCUAAUACUUCAGUCACCCAUGGAACGGUUAUAGCCUCAGACCACUGUUUAGCUUUGAAAUUCUUUCCUCGCCAAGCUUUUCAACAAUUGAUCUGACAUUUAUAAGUGUUAAAUGGAGUAUUAGCGCAGUCGUAUACCAUCCAAUGGAGCAUGAUCAACCAAAGCUGGUAUGUGGUGGUAUGGAUUAAUAGAGUACUUAACUGCAGUUUUUUGCUCAAUAUUAUAUGCACACAAAUAUGUAUGUGUAUCUGUGCCUGUCUGUGUACUUAUGUACAGUUUUUUGCAUAAUUUUAUAAUAUUUAACUUGCAAACAAAGAGCUAAUGACAAGUUGCUUAAGAAUGAUUAAUAGAUCAAUCAGUCACAUUAAAGCUUAUACAGUAAUUUUUUGUUGUAACUGAACUUACUUAUCAUAAUUCUAUGUACUAUUUGCCACAAUGGAAAUCGCAUAUGCUGUCAAGUGACACUAGAAUCUGUGCUAGUGCAGAAAUUUGGAAUGAAAUUGCAGCUGUGUCAGGGGCUGAGUCCUUUAUGACCACAUCGAAAGAAACUACUGCCAGAAUGAGAACCUCAAGCGGUCCAAUUAUAGUCAAAGCUACAGUGCUUUCUGUUGUGUCCAAAACCUAGGGCAUGUUCGUAACUGUCUGGAAACUUAAACAUAAAAAAGGCAUAAAAAAAAAUAUAAAAUGUUUGUGGAAGCCAGACUUGUAGUCAGGAGGAGGCUGAAAUGCCUCUAUGAAUCUUCUUGGCUACCAAAAAGAGUGGAUAACCAUGAGUUGCAACCAGUUGUCCCUCUUUAAAAAAAAAGAAAAUUGAAAAAUGAUUAUAUAGGGUAUUCAGUAUUCUAGUGAGUACAAAGUAUUAUCCUAGAAUUUUUGCCAACUGAGAAAAUGGCGGACUUUCAUGGGGUAAAUUACCAAGUUUGACCUCUUUCUUGGUGAGUAUUUGCUGCUUUGCCAUUUGUUGCAGGGUCUAUGGAAGUAGUAUGCUAGAGAUUUUCCCGUGUAUCGGAAACACAUUUCGAUACAUCAAGUGUAAUAAUACAAUUGAUUGGAAAUUUAAAAAAAAAAUCAACUAAUUAUAUUAUGACACUUGGUGUACUGAGAUGUAUUUUCAGCAUACUGAAAAAUUUCUCAAUAAUAUGCAUACUUUGUCUCUUUGCCUGCACUCCACACCAUUGUACACCUCAUGGGUCCAUGUGUCAAUGGAUGCAUGGUGUAAAUAAUGUCUCACUCGUUGGUUAGCUCUUCUCCUGUAGAAGUUUACGAACAUCACCAUCUUCCAAUCUCAAACCUGAGAACGAUGAUGCUCACAAUUUGAUGAAAUAUAGAUUAUGAGUUUGGAUAUUGGCUUUGCGAUUUUUUCCAUUAAUCUAGUAAUUCGUUCAGUCUACAAUUCGGUUGGACUUGCCAAAGAUUCUUUGCAUACUUUUUUAAUUUAAUUGGAUCCCUCGGUAAAAAGAGGGAUUCGAACUUAAAAAGUUUUGUGAGUUUUUGAACAUUGAAGAUAAUAAAGUCCAUGGUUUUUGUAUUGGUUGUUUGUUUAUUCUUUUUGAUCGAAUGAAAACUAUUGGCUUUGAGAUCUAAGGUUGUAUGUCUAACAGUUAAAAACACUAGGAAAUGUGUUGGAUUUAGCUUUAAAAUUAAGAGAUUUUGGCUUUGAGAUCUAAGGUUGUAUGUCUAACAGUUAAAAACACUAGGAAAUGUGUCGGAUUUAGGUUUAAAAUUAAGAGAUUUUGGACCUUGAAGCUUUUCUUAGGGAAUAAAAUAAAUAUCGGAAUCCUUCUCUUCCUAUUUAAAUGCUAAUUAUUUUAUUGUGAUUUUGUAUGUUUUCUUCAACGCCAGUUAUUCUUAAAUUAAGAUAAUGUUUUUUUGUUAGGGAGUGAAGAUGAAUUUUAGAGACAGAAAAACAAAAUUAGUAACAUAUAAACCUAAAAUUGCAAAUUAAUCCAAAAAUAACAAAUAAUUAGAUAAAAAGUUAUAGCCAUAUACAUUUCUAUAUAAUUUUUGAAAAAAAAUGAAAAAUUAUGUAAUAUGAAUUUGUCUGUCAGAACAUUAUAAUUACUUUAGUCUAAAGUAGGGGAGGUGGCACUGUGCAAUUUUGGGGUACAUUUCAGUUUAUUUACGAAAUUGCCAUUGAAUCUCUCUGCCCCCUGAUUUAAGUUUAUUUGCAAAAUUGCCACUGGGCUUCAUAAAGGGUUUUGGGUCGUUGGGCUAGAAUUUCCGUUCAGAUUGGAAUUUUCGGUUUUGCGAUCCACACGUUGAUAAUCGCUGUGUAGGAUCGCCGACUGUGUGGGAUUUGGUGAGGGGAUGGUUACGUGUCCAUCAUCGUCGAAAGGUCUGCUUCGACUGCAACGUCUUGACUUUUCUUUCCGUUUCAACUUGUCUCUCACAAGCCUCUGCUUCAGUCGCUCUUGAUCGUCGCCUUUUCUAAGGCGUCCGAGGGACAAAAACCGAAAUCUAAACCUCCACCACAAAUGAAGUCACGAACGCCACUCUCACUCACCCUCCACUGUUGCACACGAACCCAAUCAUAAUUCUGAAAUCCAAACAUAACCCAGAUGUUAAUCCUUCAGAGAAUGGCAAUGGCCACUUCUUCUUCCUUCCUCUCAAUCCCUCUCCUAAAGACCUCUUCUUUGCUUUCCCCAAUUAAACACUGCGCUUCGCCACUGAGCUCCGAGUUCAGGGCUAUCCCUCUACGGCGGUAGAAAUGGAGUCUUCACCUCCUCGGCGAUGGCCACGAAAUCAAACACCAGAAGCACAAAGGCGGCCAGUUUCUCUUGCUUCUCAGAGUUAUAGAAAUGAAACACCUCAGCCAAAUCCAGUAACAAGCUCAUUCCCGGAGUCCUCAGUGUCAUCCAAUAUCUCGUCAUCAGAUACCGGCAUGGAAUACUCAAGCCCUCCUUUAAGACAAAGGCGAACGGCAAACGUUGAGGAAGUUGAAUCUUCAUGAUGUAUGAUAUAUGUUUUAGUUACUGCUCAUUUGUUUGUACCAUGUGCAUCAGAUUAAGGUCACUACUCAUUUGUGCCAUGGUUUUCAUUCUUUUUUAUUUUGUUUCUUGUUGUAGUUACUCAUUCUCGGUAAUCAACUGAUAGUAAGGGCUGGUUUGGUAUUGCUGUGCUUUAAAAAAAAACUGGUUUUGCUGUGUUGUGAGAAUAAGCAGCUGUGAAAUAAAGUAGUGUUUGGUAAAUUUUUUUGUAAAAGUGCUUUUGAAAAAAAAAAUAUUAUAAUGUUUUGUAAACUUUUAUGUAAAACAGAUGUGAAAAAAAGUCAGUUUUUCAAAGAUGGGCUUUGUAGCUUCUUGUUUUUGGCUUUUUUUCACCCAAAACUAUGAAAAAAAAGCUGAAGUUGAAUAUUUACCAAACACAAAAAAGCUCCCAACUUUUUUUUUAUACCAAUUUUUUUUCAGAAUCACCUCAGUACCAAACCAGGGCUAAGUUCUCUCUUCUUUUUUUUUCUUGUUAUUUUAGUUGCUUAUAUAUCACUUCUGUUAACAUUUUCAGGUUUUCAACAAUCUUCAAUUACGAUAGCAACUUGAUUCCUAGGAUUUGGAAUAAGAAGGGAGACAUUAGUUGUCACAUUCCAGUCUCGGCUCCGCUGUAGCAUGAUAUUGUCCAUUUUGGGUUCCGGCCACUCUCUCACGAUUUUGUUUCUGGGAACUCAUACGAGAACUUCCCAGUGGAUCACCCAUCUUGGGAUUGCUCUCGUCCGAACUCGCUUAACUUUGGAGUUCCGAUGGAACUCAAAACCAGUGAGUUCCCAAAAGACCUCAUGCAAUAUGGAGGUAGUCAUGUACAUAUAAGACACAUUACCCCCUCUAUGUUGGUCAGUGUGUGAUGUUACAUUAAUACCAUUACGAAGGAUGCUCGAUCCGCUGUAAUUAUUUAGAAACUUAAUGGAUGGAGGUAUAACCUGUCUGUAUUUUGUUUGCGUUUAAACGAUAUCUUAGCAACUUUUUUCUUUUAUAUCUCUUUGAUGCAGUCUCUUAAGAUUUUGUUGGCUAUAGCUGCAAUUCGCUUGAGUGAGAAGCCAAAUAACAUUGAAAAGGUUCUCUUUUCUUUUCUAAUGGAUGGAACUAAAGCCUCUAUAGUCUAUAGAUCCUCUUACAUCAAAACACUUGGGAAGAGGUACUGUGUAUAAGGAUUUUUUUUUCUUUAUCUCCAUAUGGAUAGACUUUCUAUUGUCAAACUAAUUUCUUAUCAAUAAUUAAUUCUGACUAUAAGGAAUUUUCCAUUAAUCUAGUUAUUCGUUCAGUCUACAAUUCGGUUGGAGUUGCCAAAGAUUCUUUGCAUAAAAUUUUAAUUUAAUUGGAUCCCUCAGUAAAAAGAGGGCUUCGAACUUAAAAAGUUUUGUGAGUUUUUGAACACUGAAGAUAAUAAAGUCCAUGGUUUUUGUAUUGGUUGUUUGUUUAUUCUUUUUAAACGAAUGAAAAUUGUUGGAUUUGUGAUCUAAUGUUUAUGUAUAGUAGUUAAAAACACUAGGAAAUGUGUCAGAUUCAACUUUAAAAUUCAGAGAUUUUGGACCUUGAAGCUUUUCUUAGGGAAUAAAAUAAAUAUCGGAAUCCUUCUUUUCCUAUUUAAAUGCUAAUUGUUUUAUUGUGAUUUUUUAUGUUUUCUUCGACUCAUGUUAUUCUUAAAUUAAGAUAGUGUUUUUUUGUUAGGGAGUGAAGAUGAAUUUUAGAGACAAUAAAACAAAAUCAGUAACAUAUAAACCUAAAAUUGCAAAUUAAUCCAAAAAUAACAAAUAAUUAGAUAAAAAGUUAUAGCCAUAUACAUUUCUAUAUAAUUUUUGAAAAAAAAGGAAAAAUGAUGUAAUAUGAAUUUGUCUGUCGGAACAUUAUAAUUACUUUAGUCUAAAGUAGGUGGAAGUGGCACUGUGCAAUUUUGGGGUACAUUUUAGUUUAUUUACGAAAUUGCCACUGAGUCUCUGCCCCCUGAUUUAGCGUUAUUUACAAAAUUGCCACUGGGCUUCAGAAAGGGUUUUGGGUCUUUGGGCUGGAAUUUCCGUUCAGAUUGGAGUUUUCGGUUCUGCGAUCCACAUCAUCGCUGUGUAGGAUCGCCGGCUGUGUGGGAUUUGGGGAGGGGAUGGUUACGUGUCCAUCAUCGUCGAAAGGUCUGCUUCGACUGCAACGUCUCCACUUUUCUUUCCGUUUCAAUUUGUCUCUCACAAGCCUCUGCUUCAGUCGCUCUCGAUCGUCGCCUUUUCUAAGGCGUCCGAGGGACAAAAACCGAAAGCCAAACCUCCACCACAAAUGAAGUCACGAACGCCACUCGCACUCACCCUCCACCGUUGCACACGAACCCAAUCAUAAUUCUGAAAUCCAAACACAACCCAGAUGUUAAUCUUUCAGAGAAUGGCAAUGGCCAUUUCUUCUUCCUUCCUCUCAAUCCCUCUCCCAAAGACCUCUUCUUUGCUUUCCCCAGUUAAACACUGCGCUUCGCCACUGAGCUCCGAGUUCAGGGCUCUGUCCCUCUACGACGGUAGAAAUGGAGUCUCCACCUCCUCGGCGAUGGCCACGGAGGCUCAGAUCUCGACCCAAGACGACAAAUUGAAGGAUGAAGAAAAUAAGAACAUAUGGAAAAAUGGGUGUACAGCAGUAGAUAAGGUGCGAAAAUUUUCAUCCUGUUUUUGGGAAUGUGAGAAGAUACAUGGGUUUCUAUUUUGAUAAAGUGUUGAGGUCGAGCUAUGUUCAUUUUUUUCUGAAUUUCCUUGUAGUUUUGGUAUUAAUGGCGCCUUUUCCGCUGUUAUGGUGAUGAACUAUUUAUAUGUGUUUGACUGCAGUGUGCACACGUGAUGGCCAUGGCUGUUCAAAAGCUCUUCCCUGAUGCAAAAGUGACAAUUGGUCCAUGGAUAGAAAAUGGGUUUUAUUAUGAUUUUGAUAUGGAGCCUUUGACGGACAAAGAGUUGAAGAGAAUCAAGAAGGAGAUGGUAAGUGGAAUUUUAGUAUAAGUUAUCAUGUUUGUAUCAAAGUUUUGGAACCAUGAAACUGUUGAAAACUAUUCAUGAGCAUUUCUUUUGUGAUUUGUAGGAUCGCAUCGUUGGAAGAAACUUACCGCUCAUACGAGAAGAAGUUUCAAGAGAUGAAGCUCACAAAAGAAAAACCGCUCUCAACGAACCAUACAAAUUGGAAAUUUUGGAUGGUAUUAAAGAAGAUCCCAUUACCAUAUAUCAUAUUGGUAAGGGUUUCACUAUAUUCAGGCUCAAUAUAGGAUGGAAGGUGAUGAUUUAAUGUGCAGGAACUGUGCGUAAAGGAAUAAAAAAGAGAGGGCGGGGGUGUGCUCAGGGAAAACAAUGUUGUUGGUGCUCUUUAAAAAUGAGUUAUUGAUAUGCAGAUUGAAAAGGAGACUAAUUUGAAGGUGGGAGGAACCUUUUGGUCAAGCUAACCAAAUUAUACUUAUGUUUAUACAUAUGCAUGCUUGUACUGGGAUUUGAUUGUGUUUUAAACUAGCAUCCUGUCAUAUUAGACUGUCUUUAUGUCAUAAUUCAUCAUAGUAUGCCGAAUUCUUCAUAGGUGAUGAAUGGUGGGACCUAUGUGCGGGGCCCCAUGUUGAAAAAAAACUGGAAAUAUUAACAGAAAAGUUCUCGAACUUGAGUCUAUUGCUGGUGCCUACUGGAGAGGAGAUGAAAAGAAACCGAUGCGGCAGAGGAUCUAUGGCACUGCAUGGGAGAGUGAAGAUCAAUUGAAGGCAUUUCAAAGAGGAAGCUAAACGUCGAGAUCACAGGCGCCUUGGUCAAGUUCUUGACCUGUUUUCUAUACAGGUACUCAGAAUUGCCCUGAAUCUCUUUCUGCUGUUUACGCAGAUUUAUCAGUUAGCAAUCCCAUUAUUUGUAAUUAUGAGGAUUCUUGCAUUGAACAUGUUCAUUGUUGAAUUUUCACAGAAUGAUGCUGGUGGGGGUUUAGUGUUAUGGCAUCCAAAGGGUGCUAUUGUGAGGCAUGUAAUGUAAGAUCUGUGGAAAAAGAUCCACAUAGAAUGUGGUUACGAUCUGCUGUAUACUCCACAUGUUGCAAAGGGGCAGAUAAGUGGUCAUCUGGAUUACUACAAGGAGAAUAUGUAUGAUCAAUGAAUGUUGAGGAUGAACUUUAUCCAUUUCGACCGAUGAACUGCCCCUAUCAUAUCUUGGUUUACAAUAGGAAGCCUCACUCAUAUCAUGAAUUUCCUAUUCGAGUUACUGAGUUGGGAGCCGUAUAUAGACACGAAUUAUCUGGAAGCUUGCCCGGUCUUUUUCGUGUAAGAGGUUUUACUCAGGUAUGAUGUUAGUAUUUGCAAACUGUUAGUCUAUAAUCCUAGGUGUAUGAAGUGGUUUUUUUUUGUUUAACCUCGGGACCUGUUGCAGGAUGAUGCCCACAUAUUUUGUCUAGAAGAUCAGAUCAAAGAUGAAAUUAGGGGUGUCCUAGAUCUUACCGAAGAACUUUUGUUGCAAUUCGGCUUCAGAAAAUAUGAGGUCAAUCUCUCUACGAGGCCAGAGAAAGUUGUUGGAGAUGAUGAUAUAUGGGUGAAACUGUGAAAGCAACAUCUGCCCUUAGAGAUGCUUUGGAUGAUCAAGGUUGGAGCUAUCAAAUUGAUGAAGGUGGUGGUGCCUUUUAUGGUCCAAAGAUUGAUCUUAAGUUGAGGAUGCCCUUGGAAGGAAGUGGCAGUGCUCAACUAUACAGGUUAAUCCUGAACUCAUGACGGGAUAAUUCUAAUGUGUGCUUUGUUUUUUAAUUGGUAGUCUCUCCGUCUAUCUCUGUAUCACUUUGUAAAAUGUUCAUUGGAGAUUUGAGCAUCUUUUUUGAAUUGAGUGAAUUACAUGGAUUUAUUUGAUAGACUAAAGCCACUUAUUAUUGUUAUUUUAAAUUGUUUGAUCUUUUGUAUUUCCCAAAUUGUACAGGUUGAUUUUAACCUACCACAGUGUUUUGACUUAACAUAUGCUGACUCAAAACUCUGAAAAGAAGCGGCCUAUCAUGAUUCAUAGAGCUGUUCUUGGGUCAUUGAAGCGAUUUUUUGGGGUCCUUAGAGAGCAUUAUGCCGGGGAUUUUCCAUUAUGGCUUUCGCCAGUACAAGCUCAUGUUUUACCAGUUACUGACUCUCAGGUUUGUAAAGCAGUUGCAAGUUUAAUUUGUCAAUUAACUCAAGAACCCUCAACACACCUGCACAACGGUUACCUGGGCUACGACCCCCAACUCUCCUCCCAGCGAUUCGACUCCUUUGUCGACUCCGAGUCGCUCAAGGACUCCGCCACCGAUUCCCCAAUCUUCCACAGCUCUGCUGUAGACAACGCUUUCGCCACUCAGCCGGCAUCGGAGGCCUUCUCUCCUCCGUUGAUCUACGCUGAAUCGAACGGCCGGGGCUUUGAUGGAGGGUUUGGCGGGUCCGACGAUCCGAUUUUGCCGGCUCCAUCAGAGAUGCUGCCUGAGGAGGGCUUCGCUCUCAGAGAAUGGAGGGGGUAGGUUCUCGAAUUCUAAUUGUUUUCGAUUGAACCGAUAGUUCUGUAUAGCAAUUAAAUUUUGACUCUUUUGUGCAAUUUAGUUGAAAGUUGUUGGUUUUGAUUUGGCUUGAUCUUUCUGUUGCUCAGAAAUUGAGUGGAAGUUGUUGUUUUGAUUUCGGUAGUUUUCAAGAAUUGGAUGCUUAGUGAUCAGUAAUAGUCUGGCUUUAUCGGGUAAGGAGAUAAAGCAAUUAAAUUUCAAAUUUUGGAUUUAUAGUUCGUAUUUUGAGCCUGAAUUCAUGAAACAAACAUAACCCAUUAUUUAUUAGCGAUUAAUGGUAUGAUUAAUUUAGUUUUUAAUCAUAAUCAAUAGCAUGUAGCUUUAGCAGAAGUGGGGUUUGGGAAAUUGGCUAGCACCCAUGUUACUUUUUGUUUGUCUGCUUUCCAUUUCUCCUUUCUCUUGCCAUCUUCUCUGUAUUUUGGCUGCUUCUCUCUCCCGCACUCCCUUUUUUACUCUUGGUUCUGUGGUUCUCCAGCCGCCGUUAGGUUUUUGUGGUCGGACAACGAUGGAAUCCGAGGACGAUGACUACUGCAGCAGCGACGAUUACUACUAGAAAUUUUUAUUUUGAAUUCGUAUCCCCUAAUCGCCGAUCUCCUUAGGUUUGCCCCAAGCUGGCAAAGGAAUAAGGGGAACGGAGCUCAGACUAUCAGAGGUAUAAAUUCACAUCCCUAAUUUUUUUUUUUUAUUAAUUUCAACCGGAUCUGAGUAAUUCUAAGUCAUGGAUCUAUGAAUAGUGUCUGUUGAGUCUCUGAGCGUCUCUAUUUUUUUUCAUCAAAUGGUCUCUGUAGUGUCUCUCUGUAUUUGUGCAUCCAUAUGGGAAUAUGAUAUUUAAAAGCUCAUUAUUGUCCUGGGAAACCUCCUAAAUUAUCGAUUCCUUGCUUUCUACGUACAAUGCUUCAUAUUCUGUUUUCUAAUUUUCUGAUUUUGGGGUGGAGGGAGUGCUAAUAUGGUAAUUUUCGGGGAGUUUGGGUCUUUGCGGGAUUUUUUUGGGUAAAUUUGUGAUUUGCAGUUGAUUUAUGGGUUUGGUUUGAAUGCACUGACAAAAGUUAUUGUUUCUGUUAAUGCAGAUGAUGAAAGGUAAGUUUGAACGGAGAAAGGGUUGAAGUGGUGUCUGGUUAGAAGGAGAAAGAUCCAUGGCAGUUGGCACGACCAUGGCCACGGCCACGAAGUGGAGACAUUGUUGGCGAUAUCGAAGCUUCUCAAGGAAUUGACCAAGGAGGAGGACAUGAAAGUACAUAUUUGGAUUUCAUCAGCUUGACCAAGAUCAUGAGCAUUUUGAUUGUCUGCAGCUCUCAGUUCUUGGUAUUUCUUCUUACACAUUUAACCUGGUUGAAUUUUUUAUUUUGUGGGUUUGGAAAUUCAAGUUUUUUUUUUCUGCAAUUUAUAUUUCCAUUGAAGUUUUUGAACUGUUCUGUUUGGUUGCCAGUAUGAUUACUUAUAGACUAUUUCGCCAUAUGCAUUUGCUACAAAAUGUAAACUUAUUUUAAAUGAAACAUGUUGAAGUCUUGCAUAAGCUAUUGUGUGUUGUUAAAAGAGAGGGGGCAUCUAGCAUACAACACACACGCCAUGGGUGUACAACUAAGUUUGCCAUGGAAGGAUUUCUAGAUGUCUUCGAUGCCUCUCCUUCAGCCAAACCUCUGCAUUUACAUGAAUUUUUAGAUUGCAGAGUCUGACAGCAUGAAGCAUGUAGACCGUUAGCAGCUAUAGAUUUAUUUUUCUAAACAUUUUGGAUAGGAAAAUAAAUGGUUGGUAAAGGUAAAACUGAAAUUGAUAAACACUGAGGUUAAACAUGUACAGUUGAAACCGUAUCAUUUGUAUAAUUUUUUCCCAUAAAAAAAAAGAAAUUAGGGUCACAUGGCUUCGCCAAGCUCACAGCACACACGCCAUGAGAAGAAAUUUAAUGACUAUUGUCUGUUGCUAAAAGAGAGGAAAGGUAAAAGGUAAUGGAAUAAAUCUGUUCUCAAAAUCUAAAACUAAUAUUCUCAAUGUGUUUGAAUUCUCUUCUUUUCAUUGUCAUUAUUUGGCUUCCUUCUUUCAUUGUUUGUUCAUUAUACAACUGUUUUACUUACCAUUAAAAUCCAACUGAUAUAGUUUGAUAUUACAGAUAUGAAUCCCAGAAAUUAGUUAAACAGUUUAUAAUCUAUUCAAAUUAACAAGAAAAACAUAUGUUCCCAUGCAUAUAGAAACUCAGUGGAGAUAAAACUACAUUUGUAAAUGGGGCAGAGCACCAAUGAAGUGAUUAUGGUGCAUGCGUUGUGUGGUCUAAUAUAGGAAGUAUAUUAGUUGUACGAGUGAUAAUGCGACUUAUUGCAUGUAAAUUUAUCAUCAAAUUUGAAAGAUAUUGUACAUUUAUUUUGGUGAUCGAUAUAUCAUUGUUUGAUUUCAGUCUUUUGUUUUUACCUUUUCAAAUAGUUGGUCUGCAUCUCUAUAUUUUCCCAUUGCCUCCACGCAAAAGGUCAAUUUUCUUUUUUGUCAUUAAAAUGUUCUUAGAUUCUGGUUAUGUGUUUGGUUUUUUGCUAUUGUAUCUUUUGAAGUUUGCUUAUUUGUAUAUUUGUUUGCAUCUGGUUUUGCUUGGUUGGUCUAUAGGUGGCUUGGUUGUAUCUUCCCCCUUCCUUUUUAUAAAUUUAUUGCUUGGCAAUGUUAAUUUGUAACUGCAAUGCGCAAAAAAACUAGGACUAGCAAGAGAGUGGAUGAUACAAGAAAGACAUAAUAUCCUGCUUUAACUGGUGUACAAGUGUGUAAUGACAAUAUUUAUCAUGCUAACAAUGUGGAAAUCAACCUGCAUUAUUAGCUUUUACUACCCUCAUGUAAAUUUGUAAUCAGUCAUUGAUUUCUGUUCUUUUAUGCACAGUUUUGGGUUUGUGGUAUUGUGUUGAUUGAUGCUAUUGGGGCUGGAGAAUGUUAAAAUCCCAUGUUGGAAGCUUAACUAAAUGAAAAACAAAAAGAAAUGAAUGUUGGCAAUGUUAAUUAGUAGUGAGCCGCUAGACCGCCUCUAGAAUGAUGGCUGGCUGGCUAGCCCCACCAAUUUUCUCUUUUGUGUUUCCAUCUAAUUUGGUGUAUAUUUUUGGCAGAUGGAUUCGGGAGAUGCCGAUUGCUAGCAGAUGGAACAAUUGCUUCUUGGGCUCUUCUAACUAACUGACAUUCAGUAUCAUGUAAGGAAUUAUAAUGGCUUCGAUUCUUCUGUACUUUUCCUUUAAAGUUUAGUGUUGUAGUACUAAGUUUUAUGGAUGUCACAUUGAGUCAUGUGACCAUCGUAUUCUCUCACAGCUCACAACGACGAAAUCGCGCAGGGCUUCGUUGAUUUCUGUCAACUCUGACCUCGACCAGCAUCGGGUAACCUAUUGACCACCCCCUCUCCAUCUUCUUUUUCUUCUUCCGCUUCUCCCUGUGCAUUCCAGUUUGACUGUCUAUGAUCGAAAAGGUCAGUCCAUCUAAAUUCAGCAAUUGACUCUCAAACUCUGAAUCUGAUUUCAUCUCCUUCUGCUGUUCUCCUCCAUUCCCCUCGUCUCUCUCUUUCUUCUGUAAAUUUAAUCAACUAAUUCAAUUAUUCAUUUUUUUUAUAGAACAUCUGUUGCUCCACGAAAGAUUGGGUUUUUGCUUGAUCAUUGUCAAACGCUGUAGCAACUGUAAGUUUGUCAAAAUUUAUAAUCAUGGUUAUUUGUUGCUGGAAUUUUGAUCGUAGUGGUCCAGAUUUACUUGCUCAUGAUCUUUUUAUUGCUUUACUGUGAAAAGAUGGGAUAAUUUACUGCAAAAUAUGCUUAAUUUAAUGGAGAUUUGCUAGGUUUUUAAUACAGUUAUGUUAAUUGAAUAAUGGAUAUUGGAGAUUUUCUCUAAAGGAUUAUAAUUUAUAUAGAAUUUAUAAAUUUUAUCUCUUUCGGGUUACUUUAUGUUUCGAAUUAGUUGGAUUUAGCAUUCUUCUCAAGUUUUGAUAAUUGUUUAGUUUCUGAGUUUUGUUCCUUGCAUGGUUGAUUUUCUUUGAUAAUUGUUGAAUUCUAUAUUUGCUUGGUACUUAGGAUCUAAAGCAUUUUGCCUUUUGAAAAGCAGCAGGGAAAGUAUGAGGUACCCUUUUCUUCUUUGUGUUUUUUUUUUUUAAUUUUAAAUUUCUAAUUUUUAUGCAAGACAUGAAAUAUUGUGGGAAUCAAAUGUAUGAUUGUCACCAAAUAUAUAUAUCUUUUGUGGAAUAUUAUUGGUGAACAUCGCUUGUUGGUGAUGGAUGUACAUAUCAAACGAGUGAGAAAAAAGAACAAGACUUGGAAGUGCCCAAGGACUAGAUGGUGGAAUCUAAAAGAACAAAAACAAGCCAUUUUCAAAGAGAAAGUAAUCACCCAGUGUGGGAUAGAGAGGGGGAAGCUAACCAAAUGUGGGAUUCCAUGGCUAGUUGUAUCCGAAAAGUAGCAAAAGAGGUAUUAGGAGAGUCCAAGGGCUUUGCCCCACACCAAAAGGAAUCUUGGUGGUGGAAUGAGGAGGUACAAACAAAGGUGAAGGCUAAGAAGGAAUGUUGUAAAGCCUUAUACAAGGAUAUGACCGAUGAAAAUGGUGAAAGGUAUAGAAAAGCGAAGCAAGAGGCGAAGAAAGCUGUGAGAGAAGCUAAGUUAGCGGCUUAUGACGAUAUGUAUAAGCGACUAGAUACCAAAGAAGGAGAGUUGGAUAUCUAUAAACUAGUUAGAGCAAGGGAAAAGAAGACAAGGGACCUAAACUAAGUGAGGUGCAUCAAGGAUGAGGAUGGAAAGGUUCUUGCUACAGAGAACGCGGUAAAAGACAGAUGGAAAGGUUAUUUUCAUAAUCUUUUCAAUGAAGGACAUGAAAUGAGUGCUUCUUUAGGGGAGUUGAGUAACUCAGAAGAGUGUAGAAACUACUCCUUUUAUCAUAGAAUCCGAAAGGAAGAAGUGGUUGUAGCUUUGAAGAAGAUGAAGCAUAGAAAAGCAGUAGGCCCAGACGAUAUACCAAUCGAAGUGUGGAAAGUUUUGGGAGAGACAGGUAUAACAUGGCUCACUGACCUUUUCAAUAGGAUUUUGAAAACGAAGAAGAUGCCAAAUGAGUGGCGAACGAGCACUUUGGUGCCUAUCUACAAGAAUAAGGGCGAUGUACAAAAUUGCAUGAACUAUAGGGGUAUUAAGCUAAUGAGUCAUACAAUGAAGCUCUGGGAGAGAGUCAUUGAGCAUAGAGAUAGAUUAAGGCAAGAGACACGGGUUUCGGACAACCAAUUCGGGUUCAUGCCAGGGCGCUCAACCAUGGAGGCAAUCUAUCUCUUACGAAGAUUGAUGGAAAGAUAUAGAGAUGGGAAAAAGGAUUUAUAUUUACACAUGGUCUUUAUAGAUUUGGAAAAAGCGUAUGAUAGGGUCCCAAGAGAGACAUUCUUUGGAGGAUUUUAGAGAAGAAAGGAGUACGAGUAGCAUAUAUCCAAGCUAUACAGGAUAUGUAUGAAGGAGCAAAGACUGCCGUAAGAACUCAUGAAGGACAAACCGAAAGCUUCCCCAUAACUGUAGGAUUACAUCAAGGCUCAUCCUUAAGUCCUUACCUUUUUGCGUUGGUAAUGGAUGAGUUAACAGGACAUAUUCAAGAUGAUAUUCCUUGGUGUAUGCUUUUCGCAGACGAUAUAGUGUUGAUAGAUGAAACUCAGGAAGGGGUAAAUGCAAAGCUUAACCUUUGGAGAGAAGUGUUGGAAUCUAAAGGUCUUCGCCUAAGCUGAUCAAAGACAGAAUAUAUGGAGUGCAAGUUCAGUGCAAAUGGAGGCCAAAACGAGUUAGGGGUGAGGAUCGGAGAUCAAGAAAUACCAAAGAGCGACCGUUUUCGUUACCUAGGAUCUAUCUUGCAAAAGAACGGAGAAUUAGAUGGAGAUCUCAACCAUAGAAUACAAGCUGGAUGGAUGAAGUGGCAGAGUGCAUCCGGCGUGUUGUGUGACCGCCGUAUACCACUGAAGCUCAAGGGAAAAUUUUAUAGGACGGCAAUAAGGCCGGCGAUGCUGUAUGGCACAGAAUGUUGGGCGGUGAAGCAUCAACACGUACAUAAAAUGGGUGUAGCGGAGAUGAGGAUGCUUCGUUGGAUGUGUGGGCACACGAGAAAGGAUAAGAUUAGGAAUGAGGAUAUCCGGGGUAAAGUAGGAGUAGCCGAAAUUGAAGGAAAGAUGAGAGAAAAUCGGUUACGGUGGUUUGGACAUGUGCAAAGAAGGCCUACUGACGCUCCGAUUAGAAGAUGCGACUAUGGGACAGAGGUUCAGGGCCGAACGGGUAGAGGAAGACCUAGGAAAACUUUGGAAGAGACCCUAAGAAAAGACUUAGAGUACUUGGAUCUAACGGAGGACAUGACACAUGACAGAACACAAUGGCGUUCUAAGAUUCAUAUAGCCGAUCCCACUCAGUGACUUGGAUUUUCCAAGUAUCCAACCGAGAAGUUUUCCUCACUCGGGAAAUUAAGGGAACACUACCUCAACUUACAUGCUCCACUCACAAAGCUUCAACAUACAAGCUUCAACAAAAGAAAAUUCAAAGAACCUAGCGAAGAAGGCUUUGGUGUAUUUAACACAAUACGUUGAAAUGAAGGAAAGCUUAUUUAUUGAUAUCCCCGAUAAGUUACAAAUAUGUACAUAUACUUGAGUCAAAAUAAACAAACAAGAGGGAGCCUUUACAAAGGUUGCUUAGGAGAAGUCUCAGCAGUCGGUAGAGCCCCAGAAAGAGAAGGCAUCGGAGGGGGAUCAUUCGGAGCCUCAGUACUGGACAGAACCCUAGAAGGAGGAGGCAUCAGAGGUUGAUCAUUUGGAGCUUCAUUACGCGGUACAGCCCCAGAAGACGAAGGCAAUAAAUGCCUUUGGAACAAACCCACAAAUCUCUGAUGAUCAAGUAAAACCUGACCAUCAGAUUCCUUCAUCUGGUCAAGCUUCCUCUUCAUGUUUGUAGCAUAGUCAUGUGCGAGCCGGUGCAACUGUUUAUUCUCAUGCUUGAGCCCUCUAAUCUCCUGUUUGAGACUCAUCACUUCAGCCGCCAAUGAUUCAACUUGGCUAGUUCGAGCAAAUAGGCGUUGGGCCAUAUUAGACAUAGAACCUGCACACUGAACACUAAGAGCCAGAGAAUCCUUAACAGCCAACUCAUCAGACCGUUUGGAAAGUAGUCUGCUAUCUUUGGGAGUGAGAAGGUUCCUGGCCACUACCGCAGCGGUCAUAUCAUUCUUCAUCACGGAAUCCCCAACGGUAAGAGGACCAGUAGGGGAGACGAAGGAUGGGCGCCAUAUGUUGUCUGGAGAAGGCGGGGCUGCCUCUUCAACAAGGUUCAAGUCAAAACGACGGUCGGAGGGGCCAGACAUUUUCAAAGGUGUUGAAGAGAGAAGAGGUCGGACAAAUCAAGAUCUUAGAAGUGCAAGAAUGGAGCUUCUACUGGUGGAUAUUCAAGUGUGCUUUGGAACUUAAUGUCUGCCCCUAUAAAAAUCUGCACUCGAUGAAGCUUCAGAAAUCGAAGAGGCGCCUGCUCAGAAAUCGAAGAGGCGUUUGCUUUCUCAAAAGCUGGGUUGCUCAGAGACCACGAGGGUCGAUCUCAGAAAUCGAAGAGGCGUUUGCUUUCUCAAAAGCUGGGCUGCUCAAAGACCACGAAGGCCGAUCUCAGAAAUCGAAGAGGCUUGCUUUCUCAAAAGCUGGGCUGCUCAGAGACCACGAGGGCCGAUCUCAGAAAUCGAAGAGGCACCUACUUUUCCAGCCCUGUCAGCACCUGUCACACGCACACUCAGCUUUGUGGAAAUUAUGGGCAUUCUGUCGAAGAUUUCUGGCGAAGUAGAAAGCACAUGAAUCGUACUGUUCAAUCACCCACUUCCUACACGCAACAGUAGCUCAUGGGUACCACAUAUAACUUUGCCAAAGUUCUCUGACAAAGUUGAGACACGUGAAGCUUGCAGCUCCCACUACAUCGCUCUGACCAAGAAGGGUAAAAGAUUAGCAAAGAAACAACACUAACAAAGUUUAGACACAUAAAUUUUGAAGGUCUAGCUACCAUAUUAUUACCCACAAGGGUAAAGGAACAGUACCACUGCUGGAUAAUUGGAAAGUCCCGGUGUGUCAACCUCUGUGCUUCGUGGCAAGGUAGACUAGCAAACAUGCCCAACCUUUACUCACAUUCGAGAAACACUCCCAACAAGAUUGCUUGCUCCAAAAUCGAAGAGAGGCACCGCCAUCCGAAUCUCGAGAGCCAGACUCCCAACAUGAUUACUUUCUCAAAAAUCGAAGAGAGGGUAAAGGAACAGUACCACGACUGGAUAAUUGGAAAGUCCCUGUGUGUCAACCUCUGUGCUUUGUGGCAAGGUAGACUAGCAAACAUGCCCAACCUUUACUCACAUUCGAGAAAACACUCCCAACAAGAUUGCUUGCUCCAAAAUCGAAGAGGCACCGCCCUCCGAAUCUCGAGAGCCAGACUCCUAACAUGAUUACUUUCUCAAAAAUCGAAGAGAGGGUAAAGGAACAGAUCUGUAUGUCAACCUCUCUGCUUCGUGGCAAGGUAGAAUAGCAAACAUGCCCAACCUUUACUCACAUUCGAGAAAACACUCCCAACAAGAUUGUUUGCUCCAAAAUCGAAGAGGCACCGCCCUCCGAAUCUCGAGAGCCAGACUCCCAACAUGAUUACUUUCUCAAAAAUCGAAGACACCGCUCUCCGAAUCUCGAGAGCCAGACCCUCAGUGGGAUUGCUUUCUCAAAAAUCGAAGAGGCAUCGUUCUCCGAAUCUCGAGAGCCAGACCCCUAGUAGGAUUGCUCUCUCAAAAAUCGAAGAGGCAUCACCGCCCUCCGAAUCUCGAGAGCCAGACUCCCAACAUGAUUACUUUCUCAAAAAUCGAAGACACCGCUCUCCGAAUCUCAAGAGCCACACCCCCAGUAGGAUUGCUUUCUCAAAAAUCGAAGAGGCAUCGUUCUCCGAAUCUCGAGAGCCAGAUCCCCGACAGGAUUGCUUGUUCGAAAACCGAAGAGGCACCACUUUCCCAACUUCAAGAGCUGGAUCUCCUUGGAUAAAGCUUGUCUGUAAUCUUCACACGCAACAUCAGCUUUCCAGAUACCACAGACCACUUUUUCAAAGUGCUCUGACAAAGUUAAAACUUGUGAAGCUGGCAGCUCCCACUACCGUGCUAUGACCAAGCAGGGUAAAGGAAUAACAUUAUUACUUGAUGUUAGGGAGACUCCUAUAUAUGUCGACCUCCAUCCCCAACGGACAGGCAGACCUGCAAAAAUGCUUAACCCUUCCUCUUAUCUGAGAGGGCACUCCCAACGAAGCCUUUCGAAAUAUUCAGCUUUCUUUCCCCCCGAUAAUACCUCUGUAAACAAGCUAUACUAGAGCAAGAAUAUCUCAUAUCAUCAGGGUUAAAAGCAAGAGUAUCCCAUAUCAUGCUUUUUCCCUGUUUUUUCCUUUGGCCUUGUUCUUACCUGCAAGACAAGGAGAAAGAGAGUAAUCAGUCAGCACUUGGAAUCAAGCUUCCAGCCAGGAACUGACUGCCUGGAACCCUUUACCUGAUUACUUACCUGGCAUUGCUCUCGAGUACUCAUCUUCAACACCUUAUGCUUCCAGGGAAGAUCCCGCAUCUGCCUGAGGAACAUAUAGGGCAAGUGAGAAGGAUACAAGGAAGCAUGUGGAGACAAGCGUAACAGCACCGAUACAUCCAUUACUCUGUCAAAAGCAAAAGUAUCCCAUAUCAGCAGGGUCGAACGUACUCUAGAUUUGAUGGACUUGUUUUGACCCUCAAAUUCUUCAGUCGGCCUUAUCUCUGGAGGAAACCAGAAAACCCUCCAGCCCAGUUCAAGAAUAAGCCUGUGGAAAGUUACUUCUUCAAAAGCAAAAGUAUCCCAUAUCAUCUCUUCUCAUUUUUCUUCUCUUUAUCCUCCAUGCUACCUGGAAGAUAGGGAGAAUGUGAACAAUCAGCCGGAGCUCUGAUUGCUUACCUUGUCUGUCACCUCUUUCAGCAGAUCCCCUAGCUCGGCGACUUGGGGGACUCCUACUACAUGGUUUGUAUCGCGCUUGACCAAGCCUGAAACUACAAGUAAGCUUCAAGUGACAUUGAUACAUUACCUUGUGCAUCUCCACCAGUUACAGAUACCACCCCUGGAUGGAGGAAGAGUACUUCCAGAGAAGAUGCCACAUCUACCUAUGAGACAGAUAAGGAAAGCCAAGACAAUACCACACUCCAGUACUUAGAAGUUUCGUGGUUACUAUAUCAUUCACUUGUACUCACUAAAGGAGAGCUUGAACCUAUGUACUUGUGUAAACCCUUCACAAUUAAUGAGAACUCCUCUAUUCCGUGGACGUAGCCAAUCUGGGUGAACCACGUACAUCUUGUGUUUGCUUUCCUAUCUCUAUCCAUUUAUAUACUUAUCCACACUAAUGACCGGAGCAAUCUAGCGAAGAUCACAAAAAGUGACCGUUUUCGCUACCUAGGAUCUAUCUUGCAAGAGAACGGAGAAUUAGAUGGAGAUCUCAACCAUAGAAUACAAGCUGGAUGGAUGAAGUGUAAGAGUGCAUCCGGCGUGUUGUGUGACCGUCGUAGGCCACUGAAGCUCAAGGGAAAAUUUUAUAGGACGGCAAUAAGGCCAGUGAUGUUGUAUGGCACAAAAUGUUGGGCGGUGAAGCAUCAACACGUACACAAAAUGGGUGUAGCGGAGAUGAGGAUGCUUCGUGGGAUGUAUGGGCACACGAGAAAGGAUAAGAUAAGAUUGGGAAUGAGGAUAUCCGAGGUUUGGACAUGUGCAAAGAAGGCCUAUUGACGCUCCGGUUCGAAAAUGUGACUACGGGACAGAGGUUCAAGGCCGAAGGGGUAGAGGAAGACCUUGGAAAACUUUGGAAGAGACCCUAAGAAAAGACUUGAUUUUGGAUCUAACGGAGGACAUGACACAAAACCGAGCGCAAUGGCGUUCUAGGAUUCAUAUAGCCGACCUCACUUAGUGGGAAAAGGCUUUGUUGUUGUUGUUGUUGUUCCUUAUCUGCUAUGUUGUAUGUGAAAUUCUGAAAUGAUGGCAUUUGUUAAUCUGUGUUUUGGGUUGUGAUUUCCAUAUUUUACUUCCAAGUUCUGCGUCAUUUAUCUGACCUGAAAAAAAUAUUCGGUCCUACUCCUAGGCUAAACAUUUGUUGGUUUUAUUUUUAUUCCUUAUAGAAAUUCAAACAUCAUCCUGCAAUCAAAACACCGCUGGAAGGUGGGACUGUUCCCUAUAAGUAUGCUGUCAGCACUGAAUGAAAUGUUUAUUGAAGAGUUAAGGUAUGAGGCUUUAAGAACAGGGUUUCUCAUAGCUCGAGUUCUCAUUGUUGUCAAUCAUAGUGAUUUCAUGUAAGAUGUAGUUCAAGCACACUACAAGCAGAAGUAGACAAUCUGUUGCUUAUUGAACUACCCUUGUUAUCAGUUUUGACUCAAAAAAAUAUUUGAUGAUGACAUGCUGAAUUGAAUAUUGGCUAAAAUUAUAUUGAAAUUUGCAGGCCGAAGCAGAUAUCGUUAAAAGAGCUCUAAGUCACCCUCUGAAAUUAAUUGCCAAAAGUGUAAAUGGAAGCAUUGUCAGUGAGAAGGCAUUUUUUUUUUCGUUUCACUUUAUAUACUAUGCUCACUAUCUGUUUAAUAUGUUUCAUCGUAUAAAUUAAAGUCUCAUUUCUCAGGUGCUUUCAAGUGACAACCCCAAUUAUGGAUGCAUGUUGCCACUGGAAACUAUGAAAAUUUAAUAGUUGCUGGGAUCACUGAUCCAACUAAAGUGGGUUUCUUUAUCAAGUACUUCAUGAAUAGAAUAUUUCAGAGAUCCAAUCGCUGGGACAGAUUGAAGAAGGUGAAGAUCACAGGGGUGGGAUACUGGGGAGGGUGGUAGGGUUAUGGGGAGUGGGCUCUGGUUGGUUUCGAUUUGACCGAGGCCUUGGUUCGAUGGAACCGAGGUGAUGGGGACUAUUCAUGAUAUCACAGCCAGAAGAUAUAGGGCCUAUGCGUGGGGUUUAGGGGUUUCACGGGGAGGGUUACAGAGGGAGGGGGUGCACGCGUGAAUUGCAGAGGGAGAGGGAGAGAGGGAGAAAGAGGGGGAGUAGGGUUGCUAUAUUCAAGUUCUCUUUUUUAUUUUUACUUGAAUUUGAUUUGAUUUGAUUUAUUUGAUUUUUUUUUUUUUUUUGGUGACAGGUUGAGAAUGCCAAAGCUCUGCUGGAGGUGUAGGUGAGAAUUUUAAUUUAAUUCAUGGUAUAUUGUUGUUUUUUUUUUUUUACUUUAUUUUUGUGGGAUUGUGCUGUUUUUGGGGAAAUCAAUAUUAAAUUGAAGUAAAGUUUAGAUAUUUCUGUAAUUGGGAUUUAGAGUAAGAGAUGAAGAACUGAACGUGAUUGCAAAAUUAAAAGUUUAGAACUUUUUUGGUUUGGAAGCUAAUUUUAAAUUCAGUUAGCUGAUUAAUUAAUAGAGAAAUGUAUAAUGAAUGCGUGAUAUGUUUUUCGAUGCGUAUGAGCAGACAUGGGUACUGCUUCAGCGGCAGCAGCUGCUAUAUGAUGGUAGAUGAGGAAUUCUGAGAUGCUGAGUGCUCUUAGUGUCAGAGAUGAAGACUUGAUAAUGAUCGUAUCCAAUUCUGCCUCAAGGUAUACUUGAUAAUAUUGUCCUUUAUGUGCUGUAUGAUGUUCGUGCCUUUAAUGGGCCUGUCAAAAUAUUUCAGUGCACCCACAAAUUGGUUUUAUCAUCAUACAUCAUUCGUGAGAAAUGGGAUGGUGAGUUUCUCAAUACAGUUUUAAUUUUUGUGCAAAUAAUGUUCGUAAAAAGUCUGUUUUUAUUUAGUUCAUUGCAGAUUCUUAUUCUUUUAUUUAGUUCACCAUUCAUGCUUUUAAAGAUAAGAAGUGCAAGGCUCUCUCAAAUGUUAGUUUUGGGUGGCAAUUGAAAGAUAGGAGGAUAAACAAAAAUACCGACCAAUUGAAAGGAUAAAUUCAGUUGAAAUUAUUUGGUUCAUCAAUUAUUAUAGUUUGAGCUUUCUGCAUUAAAUAUCCUGUUUUCGGGGGAGAGUGAUUCAUAUAAUUGGGUUUUAUUAAAUUUUUCUUGAUUUUAUACAGUUUUUCGUUUAAACUUGUGGAUUUGGAAACACUUUUAUGAGUGUUAAAAUCUUAUUGUAUGUCUAAAAUUUGUUUGGAAUUUGGUGGAUUCUUCAAUUUCAUCACCACCCAUUCUCACAACUUCAUCUAAAGUGUUUCGCAUGUACAAGAUUCGUGUUCAUUGAGGUCAUUUCAAACAGAUUUCAAGCUGAGCUGCAGAAAUUUGAUUCAAAUUGGUGGAUUUGGGUAAGAAACUAAGAAACCAUAAUCUUUUCUUUCGGUUUUAAGAACUAAAUUUCAUGGUUAAGUUUAUGUUUCAAGAUUAUCUUCCUUUCUCCUAAAUGCUGAGUUUUAUGAGAUUACAUUUGGUAAGUCUGAAAACGAAUUAGAAAUACUGAGUUUUAUGAGAUCUAUUUGGCAAGUCUGAAAGCAGAUUGCGUAUGUUUAUAUCUUCCUUUCUCCUAAAUACUGAGUUUUAUGAGAUCACACCAUCUUAUGUUUAUUGUAUAAUCUUAUGCGGUCAGAAGAAUUAUCAUCUUUUUCCUUUCAGAUUUCAACAUACUUGGAAAUACUUCAAAUUUUUUGUAGUGCAGUUUUUAGUUAACAUGAUUACGUAAGUUCUGUUUCUUUAGUAAAUUUUUAUGCAGGAAAGAAAGUCAUUUCUCAGUUUGUAGUUAACAUGAUUACAUAAGUUCUGCUUAUCGACCUCAUUCACUUAUGUUUUCUUCUGUUCAUUCAUAAUUGUGUUAAGUUUAUUUAGGUUAAAUGUGUCUUAUUCAUGCAGUUACUCAUGAAACAGUUGUUCACGCCGCAACAUGCGGGCGUAUUUUCUAAUUGAUACUAUUAUUCAAGACUCAAAAGUUGGAUCUUAAUUCGUUGACCGGUAUGCAACUAUGAAUUUUUUUAGAUGCUAUAUCUACGAAUUUUUCUAGACGCUAGAAAAUAUUAAAGUCCCAAUUAAGACGUUAUGCUAGCAAAUAUAUAGACCGAGAGAAAGCAAGUUGUUUACAUACGUACAAAAUUAUCUCAGUCGUCCCGAUUAAGACUUUACUAGCAAAUAUAUAGACCGAGAGAAAACAAGUUAAAAUUACCUCAGUCGUCCUAAUUAAGACUUUACUAGCAAAUGUAUAGGCUGAGAGAAAGCAAGUUGUCUACAUCCAUAGAAAAGUAUGUCAAUCCCAAUUAAGACGUUGCCAUUGAAUAUAUUAAUUGAGAGAAAUUGAGUCGUUUACCUACAAGUACUUUAGUCGUCCCCAAUUAAGACGUUAGUAGCAAGUUGUUUACGUACAUACAAAAUUAUCUCACUCCCAAUUAAGACGUAAGAAAUUUGAUAAACAAAAACAAGUCAUCGGAAUAAUUAAGCCAAGGUGGUUGGAUGGUGGUGGGUUCAUACGUGGUAGUGUGACUUUCCGUCAUCCAAAACAUAGGAAUUGGAUUUCAUCAGUGCGGUUAGAAAUUAUUUGAUUUUUUCAUUUAAAAUUAAAUACAAAUAGUAUCUGACAAAAACUGAUCGUAUGGUAUACGAUGAACGGCUAAGAUGUAAGGAUAAAGUGGAUAUGGGGAAAAUCCCUUUCUCAAAACAUAUCCUCUUUUGACUUUUCUCGCUGCAUCAUUCAACUCAACUUGCAUAUAUUUUCAUCCCGAUCGAAUUUUCAGUUCAACCACAACUUUUGAAAAUUCCACCUGAGAUUUUUUAUUUUUUAUUUUUAAAAGAAAUCCCACCUUUGUUUUUCUUUGAAAAAAUCCACUUCCACUUAUCUAAAAUUCAUUUUAUCGUUGUAUUUAUACGUAAAAUUAUGAAUGAAAUAUUAUUCUUUACCAGACAAACUUACAAUAUACAUGUAAUUUUAGCAAUAUUUUAAGCUAAUCGUCAAAGUCUUGAGUUCGAUACUUUGUAACAAGGUCAUUGGUAGGUAGGGUUCAAUUUUCAACUAGUCUCUUCUGAAUCCAAAAAAGAUGGAUGAUCGUAGUUCGACACUAGUGUCCAUCUUUUUAGAAAGGAAAAAAAAACUUAUCGAAUAGUGUGUCAUGUUUCUUGUUAGACAUAAUAAUGUGAUUAGUUUAAGAAUUGUCACAAUGACAUCGUGGUUUGAUGUCAUAUCAAAAUCACCAACUAACAAAGAAUUAAUCCUUUGUUCUUUCGCUAUCGAGAAAAAUCCCUCUCCAUAAUUACAGUAAUUGACCAAUUGAGCAAGAAUGUUAAUCCAUAAGUCAAUCCCUUAAUUUUUAAACUAGAAAAAUAUUAACAAUCUAGAACUGUACAUAAAUAUUUUAACACUAAAGCAGCUCAAUGUGCAAUAUUACAGUAUACAAUUCAACUAAUAUGAUCAAAGUCUUGGCCAACUCCAGGUGGGAAAUUAAAAAAGUGGCCGCCAUUUGAUCAUGCAACUUGGACAAAAUAUAUUAUAGGAUAAAUUACAUAAAAUCACCUUAAUUAUCGGUCGAACCACAAUUUCAUACCUCAUGUUUUAAAUAUUUCAAUGUCAUACCUUAAUAUAUGAAUUCGUUGCAAUGUCUAAAUUUUCUUAAUUUAAUUGUUAAAUGAUGAAGUGGUAGGAGUGGGACCCACUCAUUAAAAAAAAAUUCUCUUCGUUUCCCAGAAAUCGUCUCCUCCCCCUACUCCCUCCUCCGUCCCCCUUCUUCGUUUCCCAGAAAAUCGUUUCUGGGUUUGUAUUUGUGUUUUUCGUUUUGGGUUUUGUUUUUGUGGGGUUCUUCGUUUUGACUUUCUGGAACUCUACCUUUGCAAUUUUGUUUGGUGGUUUUUCUUAGAAAAAUGGUGAAGAAGAAGAAAUUGAAGAAAUGGCAGUGGGGCGAAAGCCCCAGUCGGUGAUGGGAUAUGAAGAGAGGGAAAAUGAUAAGGGGAUGGUUUCUAAUUCUCAGUUUUGCGAAAUCUUAGUGAACUUAUGAUGAAGAAAUCAAAUUAGUUUUAUGUAAAGACUGUUGGAGCAAGAUGAAUUGGGUCUGGUUUUGGUUUGCAUCAAUUCCCACUUAUUUGGGGUCUGGUUUUGGUUUGCCAUCGAAACCCACCUGCGUUUUGCGAUUGGCGGUGUAUCAGUUGUUCCCGAAGGAGGACGAAAAUUAGCUGCGUUUAAGGAGGACGAGGAAGAAGGGGAGCGGAGGAAGGAGUGAUUGGAGGAGGAACGGGGACGAUUUCCAGGGAACAAGGAGGAGAGGUUUUUUUAAAAAUUUUUAAAGUUAAUAUUAAUUGUCAAAUAAAAAUAAAAAAUAUAUUAAUUUUUUAUUCGAGUUGGCAAAAAAGUGGGUCUCAUUUCUGCCACGUCAUCAUUUAACAGUCAGAUUAACAAAAAAUUUAAUGGUGGUCUGACAUUGCAACGACUUCAUAAGUUGAGUUAUGACAUUGCAAUAUUUAUAUACAUAUACGUUGUCAAUAUAUGACUAAAAUCUAAUGGUCUUCUUCUUCUUACAUGCAAUGCAUGAUUCAGCCAGUCGGAAUAUAAGUGUUGGUCGUUUAAGUUCACGCCGUCGAGGAGAGCAAGUUCUGCACAUGUACAAUAUGAAGAUGAAGUUGCUGAUGAGGAUACUAUUACUCUGCUUCCUCAGCUGCUUCUGGUUUCAGCUGUCCUUUGCUCAAAAUGCUACCACUGAUCCAUCUGAAGGUUCUCUCUCUCUCUCUCUCUCUCUCUCCCCCCCCUAUCCCUAGACACACACACUUUGCCACAUUUAAAUGUUUUUGACCAGGAACUGGGCUUUUUUCCCUCAACAAAAUGACAUUUUAAGUGUUUUUCGACUAUAUGAAAUGAAGUUUCGAGGAACUUAUUUGUAUAGUCUUUUUUCUUUCCAUAUACAAAACAUCCAAAUUAAGGGUAAUUUUCCUUUGUAAUAAUCAAUUUGAUCUCUCAUUUGAUUCGAGAUAGUCUAGUAAGGGGUAACACAAGUCAAAUUAUGGUGUGAUAUAUAAUACACACAAGGACUGAAUUAACUGAGAGUGCAGUGAGGGCGUUGAACUCAAUAUUUGAACAAUGGGACACACAAGUGCAGUGGAAGAUCAGUGGAGAACCCUGCAGUGGACCUGCCAUCAACGACAACAACCCAGCCAUCGCUUGCGACUGUACUUACGACAACAAUGCUACAUGCCACAUCACUAAACUGUAUGUUAAACUACUCUCUUUAUGAACAAGAUUUCUAUGCCAAUGCUGAUUUUUCACUUGCUACCUAUGCAUGUUAACGUCAUAAUUUGACUGUGUCGCUCCAUUUUAUGUAGUUCUAAAUGUUCAAUCUUUUUGCUUUCCAGGAGCAUGUAUGCUCUUAACAAACGAGGGGUGUUUCCAGAAGAAUUUGUGGCUUUGAGAUAUCUCACAGAUUUGUAUGAAUUUUUUCCAACUCCCUUCUCUGUUUUUGGUUCAUCAAAAUCAUAUAUUGGAUAUUAAAAAUGUAAAACGAAUGAAAAUGGUUUGAAAACUUUGAGUUUUAACGAAAAUGACAAAAUAAAGGGUAAAUUGUAUAGUAUCAUGAUUGACUUUUUAGUGUUAAAAUGUGGUUUUUCGUUAAAGUAAACAGUACCGGGAGCUUUUUGUUAAAGUUCCCUAAUAAAAAUUGUAGAAUUAUCAGAGAGACGGGCCAAAAACUCACUUCCAAGAACAUAGAUACUGACCCAACUUGGUAAUUACCACCUGCACAAUCCGUCAGGUGUGGGUUUAUCUCAAAAAGCCUCGGCAUUAGUUGGAGUGAGAUUUGGAUAUUUAAACUCUUCUUUCUUCAUUUCUCUAGCCGAUGUGGUAUUUCAACAAAAAUAUGGUGAUGUUGUACGAUUAAGAGUUAACGAUUACACUUCCUUUCAAUUUUUGUAGAAGGAUCGAUCGGAAUUAUUUCACCGGUCACCUACCCGCAUUCAUUGGCAAUAUGUCUGCAUUGACUACAUUGUAAGUUGUGAGAGAACAUUUCUUUUAAGUACUCAUACUUUUGAUGAGACCCGUAGCAAUUUGUAUACUUCAUUUUGAAUAUCAUAAUCUACAGUUAUGUACUUUACACCUUUUCGCUACUAUUUAUGCCGUAAUCUACAAAAAAUCGUUAUGCUUUUAUUGAAUAAUGCAGAACUAGUUUCCUGUUAUGUAAUGUAAUUAAGUUUAAUGGUGCUUAUCUUUCACUAACUGACAUCUCUAUUCAGGACAAUUGGCGUCAAUUCAUUCUCUGGGCCCAUCCCCAAGGAGCUUGGAAACCUUAAGAAGCUAGUCCUGCUGUAAGCCAUAAAAAAUGAGAAAGCGUACAGUAAAAUUUUGUGUCAUAAACAUUAGAUACAGAACCUUUCAAUAAUUGCUUUCAAGUAAUUGUUUGCCUGUUCAACAUGACUUGCAGGGCGUUCGGAUCAAAUAAUUUCUCCGGAACACUCCCACCAGAACUUGGUAAUUUAGUCAAGCUUGAGAAACUGUAAGUGGUUAGUUAAAUCAUCAAAUUUGAAUUGCAUGUUAAUUCCUUACGGAUGAGCAAAAAUUGCACUUUAUCGUAUGAAAUGGGUAUUAAUCAGUUGCCUUAUGAUUUUCACAGUUACAUGGACGGCUGUGGACUCGGUGGUGAAAUUCCUUCAACAUUUGCCAAGCUCACCAACAUGCAAACCCUGUAAGAACGGCUCUUAAAUCGUAUUUUAGAUUUGUUAGUUUAUCCAGUACUUUGAGAUUGCUUUUCUUGGAUGAGCUUAGUAUAUGUCAACUUUUUGAAUUUUAGCUGGGCAUCGGACAGUCCUUUCUCAGGAAAGAUACCUGAUUUUAUAGGGAAUUGGACACAACUCUAUGAUUUGUAAGUAGAGAAACCUUUGAUCUUUUGCAGUUUAUGAAAGCAGACCUGAGAUGGAUAAUUUGUUCACAAGCUUCUUAUAUGUUUCUAUAGGUGAUUUCAAGGGAACUCUUUCGAAGGCCCAAUACCAACCAGCUUUUCUCGACUGACCUCAUUGAACACUCUGUAAGUACAAAUGUUUCAUAAAUUGUAAUUCUCUCCGAAGAGGGGAUUUCAGUUUAUUUUGCAUAUAAUGAUGUAGGCGAAUCAGUGAUAUAUACAAUGGGAGCUCCUCUCUUGAUUUCAUAAAAAAUCUGACAAGCUUGACUCAUUUGUAUCAUUUGUAAGUGAAGAUUCUCAUCGAUCCAGAUACUGUCAUCUAAUUUCUUUUGUAAGUGAAGAUUCUCAUCGAUCCAGAUACUGUCAUCUAACUUCUUUUUCCUUUUGAAAUUUGAUCUACUUUUUAUCAAAUUUUAUGUUUUUGGAAUACAGAUAUCUACGAAACGCAUUAAUCACUGAUACCAUCCCAUCUGAUAUUGGAGAUCUAUAUCUAGGCACUAUACGUACCAGCAAAUACAAGCUUGAGUCCCAGCGAGACCAAUUAGUUUUCUUUCAUUCUGAUUGCUCCUCUCAACUUAUCGUUGGUGUUGUAGGGAUCUGAGUUUCAACAAUUUGACAGGCCAACUCCCAAGUUCUUUGUUCACCAUGAGUUCUCUUACAUCCUUGUAAUCCCCGUCCUUAUUAUUAUCUUUUUCUUGCCUUAUCAUACAUAAGUUAUCAAAUCUUUAACAUUCCCUACUUUGAUUGAAGAAUAUCUCGACUAAUCCUUCUAGAUUUUGUGUAGAUCUGACCUUUUUCUUGCUCAUCUCUUUUUCUUUUCUGGGUGCCUUCUACUAUAAUCGAAAUGGCCAGGAUUCUUGGAAACAAUAGUCUCUCCGGACCUCUUCCGAGCCAAAAGAGCUUUCAACUUCAGACUAUGUAAGUCCUCGUUUCUUAAAGUAGUCAUAUAGAAUGCACGGUGCAUGUAUGUGUUUGUGUAUAUUCGUAAGCAUUCUAAUCCUAUCUUACACAAGUUCUUGAUAACUUUCAUGCAUUUUGUGUCUUUUGAUUCUAUUUUGUUAUUUGCAGAGAUUAGUCUUACAAUUUUUUAUCAGGAAGCUUUCCCCAGUGGGUGACCACAAUGUCACAAAUGUACGUGUCCUUUUAUCUUUCACCUUCAUUUUACAGUUUAAAUCACCAGAAUACGUUUGGACAAAAAAUUGCCGCUGAGAUUUGUUUUCACAGUUCUACUUGCCUACAAAGUUUUGAUCUUGUACAUGGAAUUUUCAUUUGAUAAAGAUAUAGUUCUUCAUAUGUUGAUUGAUUAAUGAUUUUAUGCAGGAACUUAGUGGUCAACAACUUCACAUUUGACAGUUCAAACAUAACGUGAGUUGAAGUUUCUCUUACUCGUUUUAGACGAGCAAUACUAUCACAACUCUUCCACUAUAUGUUUCUAUCGGGAUAACUAAUAAUUGUUCUCUGUGUUUGCAGUCUUCCUGGAUUGAAUUGCCUCCAGAGAAAUUUUCCAUGCAAUCGAAAUGCUCCACGAUGUAAUCUGCUCUUAUGUCACCCAUCAUUUACUAUUUUAAUGCAACGUCAUGUCAGAGGAAAAGGCAUUGCUUCUCUAGUUAUGUAUACAUAUGGAUAUAGAUUGCAAGCAUGUUUUCAUAAGUUCAGUAAUACGCAUAACUGGUCAGAAAUAUGUGACUGAUGAACAUUAGCAUGAGUCUUCAAUUUGACGUUUCAUCGCUAAUCAUGGCUGGCUUCUGGUAUUACAUGAAACUUUACAGAUGCAAACUUCUCAAUCAAUUGUGGUGGAAAACAAAUGACGGGAAGUGAUGGCAUAUUGUAUGAGACUGAAGACUCAGCUCUUGGCCCAGCAACAUUCAAUGUAACCAGUACAGAGAAAUUGGCUGUCAGCAAUGCCGGUUUGUUUUCUGAGAGAAAGGACCCAUUUUCUGGUAAACACCCUUGCACAAGUCACUAGAACAGAUGUGACCCCGGAGCUUUUCCAGACUUCAAGAGUGUCCCCAGGAUCACUGAGAUACUAUGGCAUGGGCCUUGAGAAUGGGCCUUACACUGUAACAUUGCACUUUGCAGAGACGGUUUAUGAAAGUCGCACUUCUCAAAAAUGGGAAAGUCUAGGACGGCGUGUAUUUGAUAUCUAUAUUCCGGUAAGACUACUUAUAGAAUAAAAAUCUAACUUAUUUGAAGUAAACACCUCAUUGGACAGGUUUUCGAUGUUUUAAGCUACCUCUUCAUUUAAAGGAGACUAGAAUUAUCACCUACCUCUUCAUUUGGUUGCUAGGGUACCCGAAGGACGAAGGACUUUGACAUAUCCAAGGAGGCAGGUGGGGCUAAACUAGGAAUUAUGAAAAGAUUCAAUGUUAGCGUGUCAGAGAAUUAUCUUGAAAUUCAUCUAUUCUGGGCUGGUAAAGGGAGUUGUUGCACACCUUCGGCAGGUGAUUACGGCCCACUAAUAGCAGCCGUCCAUGCUGCUUCAGGUAUAAUUUGUGUUAACUAAUAGAGAUUUCCUGUGAAUGGUUUAAAUGUAUUUUUCUGCUGUUAAUUGACACUGAAGAAUUCGUCUGUUUUAUUGCUCAGAUUUUACACUAACAGUUUCUGGGCUUCCACCAACUACUCCAGGAAAGAAGAGCAGGAAUGGGUUGAUAGUUGGAAUUGCAGUUCUUGUUGGAGUUGUGAGCUUACUAUUAAUAUUUGCGAUUCUAUAUACGAGGGGGGGGGGAAAUCAGAAAAAAGGACGACGAAGGUAAAUGACCAUAUUAUUAGUGGUAUUCAAUUCAAGUUUCUCUACUCUGACAUUAACACACACAAGAAUGCUUUCAUGAAAGUAAAACUUAUGUCACACUGUUUCGUGAAUGUGCAGAUAUUUUAGGAUUAGGCCCUCAACCAAAUAUUUUCAGUUAUGCUGAGUUGAGAGCUGCAACCGAAGAUUUUAAUCCUUCAAAUAAGUCAGGAGAGGGAGGAUAUGGCCCUGUUUAUGAGGUGAAAUCCGUAUUACAUCAAUAUCAUGUACUUGGAAGUAAUGACAAGAGAAAUGGGGAGAGCGAGUGAGCAAGAGAAGAAAAUAAAGCUUUUUUUUUCUUUCCUUUCAUGUCACUAAAUUGUGUUUCUGUGUACAUUGUAGGGUACACUUUCUGAUGGGAGAGUAGUGGUUGUGAAGCAACUUUCAGUAGCAUCUCACCAAGGGUAGAGUCAAUUUGUAUCUGAAAUUGCUACCAUAUCUGCUGUGCAACAUCGGAAUCUAGUGAAAUUGUAUGGAUGCUGCAUCGAAGGCAGCCACCGCAUUUUGGUUUAUGAGUAUCUUGAAAACAAGAGCCUGGAUCAGGCACUUUUUGGUACAAACCUAUCUACUUUUAGGUUGCAUAGAAACAACAAUGUCUGCAGUUUCAAGCACUCUAAAAUUGUUAAGAAAUGUUUUUGAUUGGAUAUGUUCACUAAUAUUUCAGGAACAAGUAACUUGCACCUUGACUGGCCUACUCGAUUCAAUAUAUUGUUGGGAACAGCAAGAGGACUUGCUUACAUUCAUGAGGAGUCAAGGCCAAGGAUUGUACAUCGAGAUGUCAAAGCGAGUAAUAUUUUGCUCGAUGCAAAACUCUCCCCAAAAAUAUCAGAUUUUGGACUGGCAAAGCUUUAUGAUGACGAAAAAACCCACAUCAGCACCCGGGUUGCAGGGACAAUGUAAGCCAUCCUUUAUUGUUUUUCCAGAGGUUACAUACAUUAUGGCCACACACAUUUAUACUUGCAUGAAAUUUUAACACACAUGUUAAUAAUGCCUCUAAUGAUCUCAAGCAACAAUGCCUCUAAUGAUCUCAAGCAACAUUGUGCAACCAUUUGAUUAUCUUGCAUUGUAGAGGCUAUUUGGCACCGGAGUAUGCAUUGUUUGGACAUUUGACAGAGAAGGCUAAUGUGUUUGGUUUUGGAGUCGUCGUUUUGGAGAUCCUCAGCGGGAGACCAAAUUCUUACAAUAACUUGGAUCCAGAAAAGAUUUAUCUUCUUGAAUGGGUAGGAAUUGCGUUCGCCUAGCUUCAUUUAGGCAUUGUUGUGAAAAACUUAUUUAUACGUACCUUUGACCGUGGCAUAAUGUUUUUCAGGUGGGACUCUACAUGAAAACGACCAAACUCUAGGGCUGGUGGAUCUGAGAUUGACAAAGUUUAAAGAAACUGAAGCAACUAGAUUGAUAAGAGCAGCUCUUUUGUGCACACAGGGAUCACCGAUGGCAAGGCCAUCUAUGUCACGCGUGGUUGCAAUGCUCUCUGGAGACAUUGACAUAGGCACUGUUAUGUCGAAGCCAAGCUAUUUGACAGAUUAUAAUUUUAUAGAUGUAACAACAUUUUCAACAGGUUGAUUUUUGGUGGAGGAUGAUACCCCAUCAACUGCGUCCAAGCAUAGUAAUGUUCGCCUCAACUAUCAGCCUGAAGGCAACAAUGCAAGUGGUGCUAACACCCCUGGGGUUAAGCCUGUGCCUAGCACACCCCUGGGGUUAAGCCUGCGCCUUCUCCAGUAAACGUCACUCAAUCACUGCUCGUUGGCAUUGUAGGAGAAGGAAGGUGAUAAAUAAUGGGAAAUGAUUUCCGAAUGCCUUUUAUCCUUUUGUGCACCCAUGUGCUUGUCCUUGGGUCUUUUCUGCCCUUAAGGUUUUGGCUAUGACGAUGUAUAUCUAAAAUAAGAUACAAUUUUAUAGAUAUUUGAGUCAAUUUUGUGUUAGUAUGUUACAGUGUAAAUCUCCUCUUUUAAUCAAAAGGAAAAAAAUGGAUGUUUCUUUUCUUAUAGUUGGUGCUAUUCACACUCCCAUUUUAACUUCUCACAUAAUUUUUCUAUAAUUUUUGUCUUUUGAUAUUUUUUAAUUAAUUCGAUCCGACGGUCGAAAAUUGAGAAGGGUGGGUGGAGGUAAAAAUAGGUGUGAAUAGCACCACGCUUUUCUAUCUGAUAACCAAGUAUGUAUAAUAAAACUUUGUUAAUUGUUGGUCGAUCAAUCUCAACGGUGGGGCCGGGUAAAACCAAAAUGUAGGGAAGUUCAUGCUCACCAAAGCAAAUCUCAGUUGAAAAGUAAACUCGAAUCAAUAAAAAAUUCCAAAGCAAGAUCAACCCGUUUAAGGCUAUGGUGCUCGUCUAGUUAUCUUUGUGCCUUUUUUCUUUACAUUUGGAAGUGCCAGUGCCAGAUCACUUGAGGCAACAAGUCCAGGCCCCACAUUUUAUUCGUUCCUAUUGCCUCCAUUGAAAGUGACCGUUAGAAUUUGAACGUUAUAAGCCUACCGUUUUCCAGUCCCACUUUUUUAGUUCUUGUCACUCACUUUGCUCUUCUCUACAAAAGUAUUAGUUACACACACACACACACUUAUUAGCAGCAUAUAUACACCUAUAUAUAUACUCUCUCUUAGUCUCAUCAGAACUCAAAGAAUGAGAGCUUUGGAGAAGUAGUAGUAGCAGAAACUAGAAGAAGAAAGGGAGACAUCUUAGUCUCCCCCCAGAAGCUGAAGUUGUUGCCUGUCAAUAAGUGUUUGUAUGUGGUCAAGGCAAGCACCUUCUUGACCAUCUUAUCUGGCUUCAAAUUCGCAUUCACUGCCUCUUCUAGAAUCACAUCGAACACCUUCCCGAAAUCAGCCAUCCAGUCCUGGCUUUUGAUCAAAGUCUGUGAUAAACCUAGUUCGGAAACCCUAAUGAACAACCGGUCCACGUCAACAUCACCAAACCUUCCCGCUGCAAUCUGCAACAGAAAGGAUCAUAACUGUUAAACCACUAGUUGUACACCCUGGACAAAAGGAAUGGUGCACAUGGACACAACAUUCCUUUACAGCUUGUCUACCACAUGGUUUCUGCACUUGUGUUGUGAUUGCUGCAUCGUGGGCAUCGUGGGCAGCAAGAACAGCACUUGCUGUGCAUUUGUUUAUUGCAACAUCACUUGCUGUGCAUUUGUUUAUUGCAACAUCACUUGCUGUGCUUUUGUUUAAUGCAUGCGUGUCCUUAAAAGGUCGUACCCAGUGCACAAGGCUCCCGCUUUACGCAGGGUCUGGGAGAGGUGAAUGUCGGCUAGCCUUACCCCCAUUUAUGGAGCGGCUGCUCCCAAGUCUCGAACCCGAGACCUACCGCUCAUGGGCGAAGACACUUGUCAUCGCACCAAGUGCGACCUCUGAUGUCCAUUGUAAGAAGUGCAUAUAAAUAUAAACUCUGAUGUCCAUUGUAAGAAGUGCAGUGUAAUAAUAAACCAGUUUCGAAUACCAAGUUUUUCAUGGUAUCUAAGAGCUGACAGUCUAAACGACCAAAAGCUUUAUUUUUUUUUCUCUCAUGGCGUCCAGUUCAAGUUCCUCCAAUCCCAUUACUUUUUCCUCUCUUCCAAAUGCUUCCAACUUUCUGACUAUCAAGUUGGAUCGUACCAACUAUCCCCUAUGGCAUGCCCAGAUGUUGCCCUUGCUUCGUAGCAGGAAUUUGGUGUCUUUUGUUGAUGGAACCAACCCAUCUCCUCCUGCCUUCUUGAAGGAUGAUGCUGGCCAACUCACUGAUAAAGUCAAUCCUGACUUUGAUGCAUGGAUUCAGCAAGAUGCUAUGGUUCUCUCUUGGAUCAACAGUUCAGUCCAUCCCACAGUUCUUGCCUCUCUUAUUGGUAAGACAAGUUCUCUUUCUGCAUGGACUUGUUUACGUGACAGGUAUGCCUCUCAGUCUACUGGCCGUCUCCUCCAAUUGCGUAGUGAACUUAUGAAUACCCAUCGUGGUGAUUCCUCUAUUGCUGAGUUUCUUGAUCGUAUUAAUUGUCUUGCCGACACUCUCUCCCUCUCUGGUUCUCCUAUGACUGACUCUGAUCUUGUUGCCAUUAUUUUAAAUAAUGUUGGGCCUGCUUAUGAGAGUACUGUUGCUUCUGCACAAGCACGGGAUGAGGCCAUUACUUAUAGUGCUUUGGAGGCUCUUCUUCUUGGUGCAGAAAGACGUCAAAAGAUUCAUACAGUGUUUGAAAAUGGGCUCACUGCCCUUGCUGCUGGAAGAGGUCGUCCAGGACCUUCCCGUGGUCGCGGUGCUCCUCGCGGAGGCCGUGGUCACUUCAAUAGUGGCCGUGGCCAAUUUCCUCCUCGUCCUCAAAGCCAGGAACACCAUGCUCCUCCACACCGACAACCUCAUGAUGGCGUUUUUGGUGCUCCUCCUUCUCCAACCCAAUCUGGUGGCCGUAUCCAAUGCCAAAUAUGUCGUCGUCACGGCCAUUCUGCAAUCGAUUGUUUCAAUCGUCUGAAUAUGGCCUAUGAAGGACGUGUUCCUGCUCCACGUCUCCAAGCUUAUGCUGCUACUGCACCGUCUCCGGCAUCCGCCUCUCCCUCUGGCAUCCACAACUGGCUUUUUGACUCUGGAGCCAAUGCACAUAUCACCAAUGAUUUGAAUCAAAUUUCAAAUCCUCGUCCCUACAAUGGCACUGACAAUGUUAAUGGCGUGGUGGACGGAUCAGGUUUGCACAUUUCUCAUGUUGGCACUUCUUUUAUUCACACACCCCAUCACUCCUUUACCCUUCCCCACACCCUUCACUGCCCUAAUGCUUCUACUAAUGUUAUUUCCAUUAAUCAAUUUACCAAAGACAACCAUUGUUCACUGACCUUAUAUCCCAAUUCCUACCGUGUUCAGGACCUUCAAACGGGGAAGAUGCUUUUGCAAAGCCGGAGUAAAAAUGGUUUUUAUCCAUUUUUCAGUUCUUAUGUGGUCAACCAUGGAGUCUCUGCAUUUGUCGGUGUUAGAGUGUCGGAUGCUAUUUGGCAUUCUAGGUUAGGACACCCUGCAAGUUCUGUUUUGCAUAGUCUAAUUUCCCAAAAUAAAUUACCUUUAACUAGUAAUGCAACCUACGACUUUUGUUCAUCAUGUCCCCUUGGCAAAAGUCAUAAGUUGCCUUUUAAUUUAUCUUCUUCCCAGUCAUCGUUUCCUUUGGAAUUAAUACAUUCCGAUGUAUGGAUUUCUCCUUCUUAUUCAAUUAAUGGUUACAAGUAUUAUGUUGUUUUUGUGGAUGAUUUUUCUCGUUAUGCAUGGCUCUAUCCUUUAAAAUUAAAGUCUGAUGUUUUUCAAACCUUUGUUAAUUUCAAAAAGCUUGCAGAAAAUAUGUUCAAUACCAAAAUUAAAUUUUUUCAAUCUGAUGGUGGAGGAGAGUUUGUCAAUUCCUCUUUUAAACACCUUUUCUCUCAACAUGGCAUUCAUCAUAGACUUAGUUGUCCUCAUCAUCCUGAGCAAAACGGUCUCGCAGAACGCAAACAUCGUCAUCUUGUUGAAAUUGGCUUAACUUUACUUGCUCAUGCGUCUCUCCCUCACACUUUCUGGGAUGACGCUUUUCAAACUGCAAAUUAUCUCAUUAAUCGUCUUCCCACCAAAAUUUUGAAUGGCGUCUCUCCUUUCCAAAAACUGUUUUCAAAAUCCCCCCAGUAUGAUUUUCUCAAAGUAUUUGGUUGUGCUUGUUUUCCCUAUUUACGUCCUUAUACUGAUUCUAAACUUAAGUUUCGAUCAAAACAAUGCAUUUUCUUAGGCUACUCAUUAAAUUAUCAAGGUUAUAAAUGUUAUGAUCCUACCACUGGCAAGUCUUUUCUGUCUCGUCAUGUUGUUUUCAAUGAAAAAAGUUUUCCAUCGAAAGAACUUGCUCCUCCGACCUUGUCAAACUCUCGUCCGUUGGACCAUGUCCUUGACAUUGAUACCUUCCAUUACACCCAACCACAGUUGACCCCUCUGAUCCCUCCUUCCCUUCCAACACCGAUUGUCGCCACCUCCCCACCUCAAUCCCUACCACUACCUACCCCAGACUCCCAUUCUCCCAUCAACUUCCACUACUCAAGUGAAUAUAGAACCUGCCAACACCACUUCACAUACUGUUCCUUCCACUCAUCCCAUGAUCACGCGUGGUCAACAAGGAAUUCGAAAACCAAAUCCCAGAUAUGCUUGUAUCACUAACGUUACUAAUACUUUGGUUAAGCCCACAUGUUUCUCACAGGCAAAUAAGUCUCCACAAUGGCGCCAAGCCAUGGCAGAUGAAUUCAACGCCUUACAGCGUACUGGCACUUGGACUUUGGUACCCUACAAGUCUUCUAUGAACGUGUUACCAAAUAAAUGGGUGUAUCGCAUCAAAACAAACUUUGAUGGUUCCAUCGAGCGUUUUAAAGCUCGCCUAGUUGCCAAUGGUUUUCAUCAGCAAGAGGGCAUUGAUUUCUGCGAAACCUUCAGUCCGGUGGUCACACAUGCCACAAUUCGGCUCAUUCUCUCUAUUGCUCUUCACUUUCAGUGGCCUAUCUGCCAACUUGAUGUUCAAAAUGCCUUCCUUCAUGGCACGUUGAAUGAGGAAGUUUAUAUGCGUCAACCUGCAGGGUUCAUUGAUCCACAGUUUCCCUCUCAUGUGUGUCGACUUCGACGGUCUCUCUAUGGUUUGAAACAAGCACCCCGUGCUUGGUUUCAAUGUUUUUCCCAGAAACUAGAACACUUGGGCUUCACUGCUUCUCAAGCUGACUCGUCUCUCUUCACCUAUUUUGAUGGCUCAACAAUCAUUUAUCUUCUCAUCUAUGUGGAUGACAUUUUAAUCACAGGGAACAACAAUGCUCACUUGUCUCAGUUUAUCACGCAGCUUGGCACUCAUUUUGCAAUGAAAGAUCUUGGGCCCUUACACUACUUCUUGGGGAUGGAGGUUUCCCGGACGCCUUCUGCUUUCUAUCUUACUCAAUCCAAGUAUAUUUUGGAGCUUCUACAGAAAACUAAUAUGGCUGACGCCAAGCCCAUCUCAACGCCAGUUCGCAGUGGUAAACGCUUGAGUUUAUAUGAUGGUGAGCCUUUCUCAGAUGGAUCUUCUUUCGCAGUGUUGUGGGCGCCCUUCAAUACCUUCUAUUUACACGUCCUGAUAUUGCUUAUGCUGUCAACCAAGUGUGUCAGGUCAUGCACUCUCCAACUACUGCACACUGGGCUGCAGUCAAACGCAUCCUACGGUAUUUGAAAGGCACACAUGAUCACGGCUUACUUUACAAACCCAGUCCUCUCACUCUCACUGUGUUCCCUGACGCUGAUUACACUGGCGACCCUGAUACCCAUCGUUCCACUGGCGGUCACUGCAUAUUUCUUGGCAAUAAUUUAAUCUCCUGGAGUUCGAAAAAGCAACGUGGAGUGUCACGGUCUAGCACAGAGGCGGAGUAUCGUCAACUUGCCUAUACUUCUGCUCAUCUCUCAUGGUUUCGUAAUCUUUCCGUGAUUUAUAUCUUCCAUUACAGCCACCUCGUCUCUGGUGUGACAAUAUCAGCGCCAUUGCUAUUGCUUCCAAUCCUGUUUAUCAAGCUCGCAUGCGCCAUGUUGAAGUGGAUUAUCACUACAUCCGGGACAAGGUCAUUUGCAAGGAAAUAGAAGUUGGUUAUGUAGCUACCACAUACCAAAUUGCUGAUUUUUUAACCAAGGGUUUGUCCUCUGUCCGCUUCCAUUAACUUAUCUCCAAGCUUCCUGUUCGUCAACGCCCCGUCAGCUUGCGGGGGCGUGAUAAACCUAGUUCGGAAACCCUAAUGAACAACCGGUCCACGUCAGCACCACCAAACCUUCUCGCUGCAAUCUGCAACAGAAAGGAUCAUAACUGUUAAACCACUAGCUGUACAUCCUGGACAAAAGGAAUGGUGCACAUGGACACAACAUUCCUUUACGGCUUGUCUACCACAUGGUUUCUGCACUUGUGUUGUGAUUGCUGCAUCGUGGGCAUCGUGGGCAGCAAGAACAGCAUUUGCUGUGCAUUUGUUUAUUGCAACAUCACUUGCUGUGCAUUUGUUUAUUGCAACAUCACUUGCUGUGCUUUUGUUUAAUGCAUACGUGUCCUUAUCAGUGUAUAUAAAUAUAAACUCUGAUGUCCAUUGUAAGAAGUGCAGUGUAAUAAUAAACCAGUUUCGAAUACCAAGUUUUUCAGUCUGCACAUAUUUGGCCCUCGAAUUAAGAUCCUUGCCUUGUAUCGAAUGCAACUGAGGGUUUUUACUUUAGGUGACCACCUUUCCCUUCUAUGGCUCGUCACUCAAUUGAGGCAACAAAAGCCCCAAAGACAAACUCGCCUACAAGGUGUUGUCGACAUCACACAACCAACCAAUUCUUCAGCUUCCCCUGCUUUGAGUAAACCUCCACCAUUUUCUUCCACUUAACAUCAGCCUAUUGCUCGAGCUCAGGAUACUUGAUAUAGCUUAAUAUGUCAUGCGGAAGCAGCGCGGCAUCGCUAGGAUCAAUCUCAUUGGCUGCAGCCAGUUGCUCUCUUGUACUCCGCUCUAUAAAACCUCAUUCCUCAGUUGGUCAAUACAACAAACAUUACCAUCCCCUUCUCGGAGGCAUGAUUCUGGUGGGAAAACCUUCCUUGCAAUGUUUUCGAAUAACAUAAGAUGAUCAACGGUGGUAGGCAAAGAGUAGCCACUUGGGUAAUCUCCAAGCAGUAAUCAUCAUGAUGGUCAUGGUCAUGGUCCUUGUGAUGAUGAAAAUUUUCAAUAUUAGACUUGAAGCACUGGGCAAAAAUAUCUGAAACACAGUCGUGCAAGAAGCAGUAAUCAGCGUUGCGCUCGUAUCUCUGAACCGCCUUGUUGGCCGUGUGGAUCGCCUUCCUCCUCAACAAAAAUUCGCUUGCCUUUGACUUGGCGUCCUUUUCCUUAACAUUCACCAUUCCAUUUGAAUCGGCCUCCUCCCUCGUCCUCCCAAUAAAUUUCAAGUGAGCUUCGCCCCGUACAACCUGCGAGAGAAUGCAGGGAAGGUCUAGGUCCGAAUGAGCCGGAAAUUGGCACGAGAUUGUAAGCAAGGGUUUUGGGGUGGUUCUGGUGGAGCCAAACCGCCGCCGUGAAGAAAGCUUAGUCUUGGUUGCGUUUUCCACCGUCGCCGCGUCUGUCUAUGAAGUUGCAGAUGAGUUUGAGGGUGGUUAGAGGAUUGUGCGACCAGGCCGAGGGAAGUACUUAGUUCAUCAGAGUUUCGUGGAAUUCCACUGUCGACAUGGCGUCUUGUCCCUUGAUGCAGUGGAAGUACAGAUCAAUGUAAGGGUUGUUGAUGUUGUGGAAGCCUAAUUGAGGUUGUUGUUUGAAUUUGAACUGCUCGGGCAACAGCAAAGAGGGCGGAGGCGGAGCAAUUCUUGUGAAUUGCGGCCAAACAGCCUUGUUUCGGCAUGCUUCCAGAAUCGAUAUCAGUAGUAGGAAUGCCCGCACUUUGCUACGGAUUUUCAAACCAUGAAUAAUAUUCAUAGAAAAAUUAACUAAAAUGCUACAAGAGUACAAUCAUAUUCUUAAAUCUAGCAAUUCAGACAACACACAUUUUACAUGAGCAACGCUCACAAAACCAAACAUUUACACAAUUAUCUCCAAAUGAAAGAAAAAGCAAGAGAUAGGUGAAUUGAUCCAUAAAAUAAGCAGUUCAAUUUACAUUGCUACUCUCUUGUAACUUAUUAGAGCUUCUUUGCAGAUCAAUCAUAGUGAUUUCUUCAUUGCUUUCACCAGAUAUUUCUAUAGUACUACUCUAGUAGUCUAGUUGACAGAACAAAUAGCAAUUGCGAUUUUAUUCGCUGAAUUGAAUGUGUUGUAAAGAUAAUACCACCAACUAAGGGUCGCAAUUGAUUCUUGUAAUAACAGACUAUAAAAGUAAAGGUAUGAAUAAAAAAGAAAAUGCGUCCUUUGAAAGAUAUAGAACAAACCUGAAAUUCAAUGAAUUGUUCUUUCACAAAGCGCAACACUAGACUUGAUUUCCCAGCUCCAACAUCCCUAAGAAGCACCUGAAGAAGAACAUCAAACAUGACUGUGGUGAUCACGACAUGCAAUACCCAAAGAAUAAUAAUUGAAGAAAAAAUAAACCUAUUCAUCACAUAACGCUAAAAUACAUAUGCCUACAUAUCCAUAAUUCCUAUGUUUACGGAACAUCUUUCAAUAAAUCACAACCUUCAUUUUAAACGGACUUUUGUAUUUGUAUUUUGCUUGUGAGUAUGGUCUUGGUUAAAAUUUAGCAUUCUAGCAUUUACUUAUAUGAUAUCAUAUAGGAAGAAAGCUAUGAGACCUGAGUCACAGUAUAUUGUAUUCUCGGAGACCCUCAAAAUACCAGAGCUAGACCGAGAUAAACAACAACACGAAAGAGUAAAACUUCUACUUUAAAUGUACACUGACAUUUGCAUGCGCAAAGCUCUCUUUCCUCCUUUCCUUUCUUUUCUUCCUCACCUUUCGGUUCUUUCUCCUCUAUCUAAGGAGAUUGUUGUUUUGUUGUUAGUGGUUGCCACCAUCUACACAUUCAAAUCAACUUUAGUUAAUAUAAUUAACUUUAAUAAUUGUAAUAGGAAGUAAUGAUUAUGUCCAACCUUUGGGUCAACAUUUGUGGCUAUAUCUACAAAAAAGUACUAAAAAAGUUUAAACACAAAACCCCAAAAAUUAUAAAAUCAAAAUAUAAUGUACUACCCCUUUUCUCCCGUUUUUCUCUCAGAAUAUGAUUCUCUACUCUCCUAUUCUCAUCUCAUUCCAUCUCUUCCUCUCACACAUUAUUUUUUGUCUUAUUAUUUUUAUAAAAAAUCAAUAUAAAAUGUUGAUAUAAUUUAGCCGUAAUCGUUCAAAUAGGAGGAGAUAGAAGGGUAGAGAAAUUAGGAGGGUAGAGAAUCCUACUCAUUUUCUCUCACCCUCCACUUCUACAAAUCACCAACCUCCCACUCUCCCUAUAUACUCCCUACCUCUCUCAUAAUAUCAAAACUCUCAAACCCAAUUCAGUGCCUCAUUACCUAGGUUUUUUUUUGUAUUAUCUUUUUCAACUAAACCCUAAACAAUGUAUUGCUGCAAGCAACAUAACGUCCACUUUGCAGAUUUUUGUGGAACCACUUGGCAGAUUUUGUGGAACCACUUUAAAAAUUCAAAUCUUUAAGCACCUGAUGAUCAGAUUGAAAUUUAAAACUUCAAUAGGUAUCCCUCCUUACCACAUAUAUAUAGUUUUAAAAAUAAAACCAAAAGGAUUAGAUCCAAUUAACAUAUACUGGAAAACUACCAAAGUAAUAUUGAUUAAUUAAACUACUUUUUUAAAUAUACCCAGCAAGGUAAAUUUUGGGUUUGACAAAAAUUUUAAACCUACGAAUGGAUAUAUCAAAUCAAUUUGUGAGUAUGAUAAAAGUCCCUAUGAUAGUAUCAAAACAACUAUAAUCACAAAGAAGUUGAGAGAUUACUUUCUGAUUAUCAAAACCACUACUGGAUUUAUAUUGAGAGAUUACUUUCUGAUUAUCAAAACCACUACUGGAUUUAUGUAGACAUAAAAUCUCACAAUAUUAUUACCAUGACCUUAUGCAUAAUAGGAACAACACUAUAAUCAUCUGCCUACCAGAAAUUAACUCUUCUACAGCAGCAAGUUUAACAACCAACCAACCUUUGAACAAAGAACACACGGACAGAAAGAAACAGGAUACAUAAGGGGCAAAACAAUUUUCUUACUUCUACAUCAAAGCAAAAGAACAACCAUUAUAUAGGUAUGCCAUUAUCAUCUGGGGAACAAAUCCAAUUGGCAGCUUUUACGUACCUACAAUUAUAAGCAAAGUUUGGAAUUCGCAAAAAAUACUGGGCAAAUACUAAGGCUGCCAUUUGAAAAAGCUAAACAACAACAAACUUUGACAAAUUAGCUACAACUAAAUUCAGAUGACAUUCGUUAUAUGAAGACAAUCUGAGAAAUCAAAGGCUCUAAAAUCAAUACCAUAUUUCAAGUGCCUUUUAUUGUUUGUGAACCCAGCAGUAGAACCAGGAUAAAAAUUUGAUUUAGAACCUUGUUAUCUUUGUCCUUGUAAAUAUGAUAUUUUGGCAUCGGCAAUAUAUCACCAAAAAAAAAAAACAAAUAUAUCUGAACUCAAAGAAAAUAUGGAACGAAAAUAAAAAAGCAAAUUAUGAAAAAUUAAUCUUCUGAAAAAGCAAAAAACACAAAUUUUUUGUUAAGCAAUCGCAUGGAUUAUAAAUGCCAAAGAUUAGAUGAUGGUAGGCGUCAGAUUACCUCUUUCGCCAAAGAUACGAAACCCCUCAUUGCCGAUGUGGCAGGGCGGAUCCUCUGCCCCAAAAUCUAAACCAACACAAAGAUUAGGCAGUAAAUCACAUAAUAAUAAAUUAAUCAAGUGUUUUAUAUAAUGAAAGUUCAUAAAUCGCAGAAGUAGAGGGUGUGCCAUAGCUGAUGAGCUUCUAGCUCCCACUUUUUGCCUUAAAAUUCCCAACAUCUUAAAUUUCAGUGAGCACUUGAGAGAGAUGAGAAGGAAUAACAAAUGAUUUAUUGGAAAUAUGGAAAAAAAAAUCAGAUCAAAAUUCGGACAGAAAUAAACAAUACGAAUUAGGGAUUUGGGAGGGGGGACGAACCUGUUUGGCGGAUUGGAGCGGGGAUCGGAUCGACGAUGCGAUGUGUAAAAAAUGCGUUGUGGGAGCGGAGCAGCAGCAGCCAACACUUUCAUGCAGAACUUGGAAAACCCAGAUCAAACCAACCUUUAAGUUUCACAGUUUUUACCCUGGAAUCCAGACAAAACCCAGAUCAGAUUCUAAAUGGGUUUAUCAAAAAUAAUAAUUUAAUCAGAAAUGCUUAUUCUUGUAGUGGGUGCACAUCUAGUAAUGCUUAUUCUUGUAAAUUGUCAUUGCAAUAAUACAAUAAUACUCAAAAUGAUGUAGUGGGUGUACGGAUUAAAGAGGGUUUUAGGUGAAUGUGAUCAGCCUACCCAUGUGUCUAAUGGAUUAUACUAAUAAAUGGUGUGUGAUGUGAUAUGUUUUAGGUCAACAUAAUAAUUAAAUUUUAAACAAUGAGAUGUAAAGAAGAUACAGAUGCUCUUAUCUUCUUUGUGAGUUUUUCCAGACAAUGAGAUAGUGGGUGUAUAUUACACUCUGUAUUUGUACUCUGCCAUGAAUGAUUAAAGUUUUACUCUAACAUUUAAAUAAUGAAUGUAGUGGUCAUGAAUUAUUAAAGAUAGAGUAAUAAAAUAUUAAAUAAACAGUGAUAAUUUGGAGGAGUUCUUACCUUUUCCGAUGGAUUUUCCCCAAACAGUGGGGAUGGCAGCGGCGAUACGGGGCCUGCUCUCGGUGAGCUUCUCAGCACCGGCACCACUCGGGUUGAGUGAGAAUCUGAUAGUCCAAGUCUACAGGUUCCGUUGGUGGCGGCGAUUCCUCGCGAGCUUCAUUUCCUGAAACCAAAAACCGAAUCAAAUUAGACAACCACACGCAAGAUCGUAACAUAGAGACAUAACCCCCAAAAUCACAGGAAAAAAAAUUCAAACAUCCACCUGCAAAUCGAAAACCACAAAAAUGAAAUUAAAUUAGGCACACUUAAAAAGCCUUAAAAUCACCAGAAGAAAUUAAAUUACGCGUGUUAGUCAUCUGGGAAAGGAAGAAAGGUGGAAAAGCAGAGCCUUUUCAUUUGCUUCCACAGAUUUCUCGAGCUCUCUCUCAAGCCCGGAACCCUAGCCUCCGCAAGCGAAUUAGGUUUGUAUCUCGCUCUUUCUCUCUCACGUAUUUUUUUUCAAUUCGGGACUGAAUUUUGAUCAUCGUUGGAGCUCCUGCUUCCACUUCUUUUUCGUUUUUCUUUUCCUUUCGUUUCUCUCUCUCGCUCUCCGUCACGAUUCUCACCUUCUUCAAAUUUUCAAUUUAAUUCGAAGAAAAUGUUACCCAAAAAAGCUAGGGUUUCCUGGUGAGUCUUAUCUCGACAGUAUACUUUGUUUGAAUGUUUGAUUUGAGUUGUUUGAAUGUUUUAUUUUACUUGAACUAGAGUCUCUGUGUUUCCCUUUGCUGAUCGUUGUUUCUUUCGAGCAAAGGCUGGGUGGAUUUUGGGAAAACAAUCUGUUGUGUUCGCCUUUUUUUUUUGUCUGGGAUUUUCAAUUUCUAUCCGAAUUUUUGGUUGAUUUCCAGCUCAAUUUGGGGGUACCUGCCUACUACUUAAUUAAUUUUUUAUUAAUUUCACUUUAAGCACUAAUUAUUACAAUUCUUCCAUUUUUGCUGGUGAAGGUACAAAGAAUAGUGUGGACUAUGAAGGAAGCGUGCUUUGUGUUGGAAGUAUGUUGGUGUCUUGGGCUCCCAUCGAAAUCUCUGAUAUCAUUCCUGAUAGGUAUUUGCUUUGCACUUUUUUCUCCCUUCAUUUUUUUCAAAUGUAUACACGAAAACUUUGGGAUGUCAAUAAUAACGUGUCUAUAUAAUUGUACCAACACAAUGUACCACUAUUUUAUUUCGAUGCAUUUGCUACAAAUUUACGAUUUAGAUAGUGUAAUGAUUGAGAUAAGGGUAUGAUGUGGCUGAUAUGAACUCAAUCCACUUCUUGGCUUCAUAACGUGGAUGUUGAAUGGAUGCACUUUUUAAAUUUUAUAUGCAAACAAAAUCAAAUCUUCUAUUUGCUUUUGUUUUUUUACUUGCUUCUGUUUUCAAAUUUAUUUUAAUAUAAUUUUUGUUUUGGGAUUAAUUACAUGCUUAGAGUUUAGUAGAUUUGGAUUAAAUUUUGGUUGAACAGAUUGUGCAAUUGCGAAUCUUGAUCUAAUGGAUAGGAUUGUAUAAAGAAUUCGUGGAUUUAUCUCAUCUAAAAUUAUUUAUAUUUUUAAGAUUUUCAAUUGUUUUAUGAUGCCAAGUUUGGUAGAAAGAAAACGACUGAGCCGCAGCAGAACGGGUAGUCCACUGAUGGAGCUGUGAGUAAUGGGAGUAGUAAUUCCUGCGUGACAGCAAAUGGGAAUAUGUGAAGAGAAAACUGACUUGGUCAUCUAUGAGCAAUUUGAAAACCAGGUUGUGGAUUUGAUCUUAUCAUAUGAUGCAUUGCAUUUGACUCAUUGCAUAGACUAUGUAGAGUUGGAUUCAUUAGCAUUUGAUUUUCUCGGAUUUUUUACAUGUAUUUGCGGUGACACAGUGGACGAAUUCUAGGAUGGAGGUGGAAGGAUUUGGAAGAAUCAGAUGUGCCUAUUCGUUUGCAAGGUGAUUGUUUUAAAGCUUAAAAUACCGUGCGAAUUUAUUUCACUAACAUUACAUUGGUUUUUUAAUUUGAUAUGUUGUUUUGGUGUGUGAAAAUCGAAGAACUUUUAAAUGUUUGCGAAUUUGGUUGACACUUUAGUGCAAUUCAUUUUGGUCAAGGCUUUGGUUUGUGGCCAAUUGGAAUUCAUUUUGCUAAAAUAAGAUACAUCUCUUUUUGCAGCCUGCAAUUGCCUUUCAAUUAGAGAACUGUACGAGGUUAAAUAUUUUUUUUUGUUCUUUGACCAAAAGCUUUAAGAGCUUUGUAUUAACAGAGUCCUUAGGGAUUCCUUUGAUUAUUUUGCUUGAGAUGAGCCGUGUUUUGGAAAUUCUAUGAAUAUAAUUUACAUGGAUUCUUGAAUUUAUGAGUGUUCAGUUAGGUUCUACUGAAUUAACUAUUUUCGAGAAUUUUUCUUUGUCUUUAUUUUUUUGAGAUGUGAUGGUGUUUUUCUUUGGCCUGAAUACCUUUGAUGGUUCCUAGAGUAUAUCUCCAACAUUCCUUAGAAGUGGUUGCUACUGUGUCAUAAUAUAAAUUUUACAGAAGGAAAGGUUUUUUAUUUUCUAUUCUUGCUAUAUUGUCUUCGGUUGUGCAAACUAUUCAUUGUAGGGGAUCCCUUCAUAUAUAUUAGUUAAUUCUUGCUAAGAUUUGUGCAAACUGUUUUUGUUAUGUCAAAGUUGAAACCUUUUUUUAGGGUUGUAAAUAGAUUUCACAUGUAUGUAAAUACUAUAUGUACACAUUAUAACUUUCUACAUAUUUUAUACGAUUUUAAAAUCCACAGCAUCGCGUAUGCAUUUUUGCUAGUUAAACCUAAAAUCAUGUAAUUAUGUAUGUAGUGGAGAAUAAUGCAGAAAGAUUGUUUUUUAUAGUGCAGCCAAUGACAAUUCAUUUCUCAUGAAACAAAGAAAAGAGAAACAGAGGUAUAAAAGUAUAUUAUUUUUUAUAGUUGCAAAUAUUAUGAAUUCUGAAAAGAAAAAACUACAUAUAACACUUCAAUCACAGACCUAAGCAUCUGAAACGCGGCGGCCAAGAUACCAUUCAAGACAGGCUCAACAUAAUGGAUGAACUAACCUAUCUGUGUCCCUGAGCUCACUGCAUGUCAUAUACACCCGACCAACUGGGCAUAGGAGCAUAAUGAGGAAAACUUCUGUAUCCUCACUUAGAAGAAAACAAUGCAUGCAUAAUAGCCACAUAAACCUCGCGUAUAUAAAUUGUUGUGACAAUAAUUUGCAAUAGAAAACGUAGUUAUAAAUAAGAUAUACGAAAUACCAACAUUACAAUGGUUUUUUUUUUUCUUCAUUCGAUUGUACUGAAGCAUGCAUCUUAGUGGAGAACAAUUAAGUACUACGUGAGGUCUCUAUAAUGAAAUGGGAGAUUGAUUACACUUGAGGAAACUGAAAAUUCAAAUAUGCACACUCCAUAGUGUAUCUUCACAACCAACAGAAACAUUUAUGUAUACGACAUAUGUUUGACAUUGUUUUUCCCCACUCAAAUCGUCUUGAGAAAUUUUGACUACAUUGAGAAUAAGCAAAAGAGUACUUUUUACUACCUAAUUUACUAAGAUCCACCAAAUCUAAGAACUACAAAACUUUGAUUAAAAAAUCAAAUAGAAUAGCAUGAGAAAGUUAUUAAGACACCAUAUCUAAAUUUUUUGCAUAUAAAAACACCUGUAUUUCACCUGAUUUUCGAAUGAAAUACAGAUGCUUGUAUUUCACCUGUACAUAGCUGCCUGACAUUUGUUGUCUUCUUCGGGUUCAAGAUCCUUCUAUUGUCUGAGAUGUGAAAGAAUCAGAAAUCGUAAAGAGUUUGAUAAAUAAACAUGUAAUGUGAUUAUGUGACCACCAUGCACUCAUGUCUCAGACAGAUAAACAAAGAUACCAAAAAACAUAGGGGCAAUGUUAAGAUAAACAGUGAGGCAAUGUCACAUUGUUUUGCAUGAUCUUGAAAAUUGGGGAUAAGGUCAUCUCUAACCGAAGGGUUCAGAGGGCUGAAAAUAGCCCUAAAACCGUCUCCAACCGAGGGCUAGGCCAGAGGGCUCUGGAAUCUGGGAGGGCCCCACGGAAUUUCAAAGGGCCAAAGGGCCAAAGGGCUAGCUGCUUUCGGCCAGCCAGCUAGCCCCAGGCUAGCUAUUUUUUUUUAUGGUUUUCCCAUUGCUGUCGAUUAUAAUCGACAACAUUAAAGAAAGAUUUUUUUAAUACUGUCGGUUAUAACCGACAAUAAUAGUUAUUCAAAGGCAAAUUUUUUUUUAAUUACUAUUAGUGUCGGUUAUAACCGACACUAAUAAUUUGAAAAUUUUUCAAUAUAACGGCUAGUAGACGUUGUAUUAACUUUUUUUUUGUUUUUUUAUAUGAAUUUAAACUUCUUCUUUUUUCCCUUUUUUGUCCUUUUCAUAUGAAUCAAAUUUGAUUUCAUAUUUUUUUUCAAUUCUAUUUUACAAAAUUUGUUUCAUAUUUUCGGUAUGCCUCUUGGUGUAAGGUAAACAACUUUUCUGCGUCAUUCUUAGGGUUUGGAAUUGUUUGGACAAGUGUCGCCCACUUUGGGUAGAUGCCAUCUGCCAAGUAAUACCCUAUAUUGUAUUCACGGUCGUUGAUGUAGUAGUCAAGUUGAGGUGCUUUACCUUUCGUCAAGUUAUUGAAGAGGGGUGAACGCCCAAGAACUGUAAUGUCAUUUUGGGAUCCAGGGACUCCAAAGAAAGCAUGCCAGAUCCAUGUGUCAUAUGAGGCAACUGCCUCUAACACAACAGUUGGCUUUCUCGACCUUCCGCUAAAGCCUUUUUGCCAUCCAGUGGAACAGUUCUUCCAAUCCCAAUGCAUGCAGUCUAAUGACCCUAUCAUGCCCAGAAACCCACGGUCUUCAGCUUUACGAAGGAGCCGAUUCAGAUCUUCUUGAUUUGGCUCUUGGAGGUACUCGUCUUUGUAAACUUGAACAAUUGUGUUGCAAAAUUCGUCAAGAGUAUUAAGGCAUGUAGACUCAGACAUACCAUGGGUUUCAUCCAUCGAAUCAGCUGAGGAACCAUAGGCCAUUAUUCGGAGUGCAACAGUAACCUUCUGAUGAGGUGAGAAACCAGGGCGGCCUGCUCUGUCCCGCUUCUGUCGAAAGUAUGGAUUGACCUGCUGGACAUCACGAAGUAAACGAUCGAAGACAUGACGCCUCAUCCGGAAGCGACGUCUGAAAUCCUCUUCUAUGUACACCGAGUUGGGGUUGAAGUAGUUGUUCAUCAGAUUGGCAUGCGCCAUUGCUCUGUUUCGUGGUUUGUAAGAGCGACCAGCAACAGAGCCACCCCAUUGAGGUUGUUCCUCAGUUGGCUGACACACCAUAGCCGCAGCCAUGUUUUGUUUGUUGCGCCUUACUUGAACUUCUUCAUCAGACCCCUCAUCUUUUCGUCUCAUUUGCACCCAUUUUGCUUCCAAUUUGGAAUUGGAUGAGGACCCCCUAUUGGAAUUGGAUGAGGAUCCAAAGUUGGAAUUCAUUGCAAACUUGAAUUGAAAGAGAUUGAAUUGAAGUAGAUUGAAUUCAAAGUUGUGUGAAUUAUAGCCUAAUAUCCACCCUAUUUAUAGCAAAAAAAAUUCAAAUCCAACGGCUAGCUGACGUCAUGUUGACGUCACUUAGCCGUUGGAUUUGAAUUUAAAUUAUAGUUUUUAAUUAAUAAAUUAUGUUUGGCCCUAUGGUACUUUGGCCCUCGGUUGGAGACGGUUUUUUGUGACAGGGCUAAAACGAGCCCUCUGACCCUUUGGCCCUCGGUUGGAGACGGAGGCAAAUAUGGCACUGUAAUGUUCAUUAAAAUAUUAAUAUCUUGGGGAAUCUUGGAGGGCCAAAGGGCUAAAACGAGCCCUCUGACCAGCCCUCGGUUAGAGAUGGCGUAAGGUAUUCAAAGUGCUAACAAAGACGUGCAAAUGGUAUUGAAAUGCUAAAAAGGGCAUUUUGAAUAAUUAUAUUAUGCGGCAGCAAAAAGACAAUUGACUUUCAAACUACAAAAAUAAAUGAUAAAAAACACAUACUUGCACCCAAUGCAUUGUUUUUUUUUUUCUGUGCAGUAUAAGAAUAAAAAAAAGAUAACAUUCCCCUGAAACCAAAUUCAUCCCCCAAUUUCUUGCAACAAAUUUCAGUAAUUACGAACGCAACUAAAUCUUAAAUAAACAGAGCUGUUCAAUUAUAUUAAACUACAUAUAGGGAGGGGGAAAGAGAUAAAAGAGAGAAAAGAGAGACCUGGAACUACCUGGAUCCUCAAUACUGACCAGAGCAUAAUUCCGAUUGGGUUUCAAAAGUGAAGUGUACAUCAAAUGCUAUAUCAGUGUUGUCGGAUGCUGAAAAGUAACUGCAAUCCAAGGAACAAUUUCAUUUAUAAGUAUAAUAAAAAUAGAAAGAAUCAGGGAAAAUCUGUGAUGGUGGAAAACAUAAAAGCCAAACCAAAACUCUAAACCUAUAUUAGAGGUUUAUUAAAUCCAAUGUUGAAAACCAUUUAAUAGUAUUGUUUGAAACCUAAAAAAGGAUUGAAUAGUCUUGGUAGAGUGGAGGUAAAAAAAGAAGCAAGCCACUAUAAAAUUACAAGCAUCGUCCAGCUGAGAACAACAACAACAACAACAAAGUAUUUUCCCACUAAGUGGGGUCGGCUAUAUGAAUCCUAGAACGCCAUUGCGCUCGGUUUUGUGUCAUGUCCUCCGUUAGAUCCAAAUACUCUAAGUCUUUUCUUAGAGUCUCUUCCAAAGUUUUCCUAGGUCUUCCUCUACCCCUUCGGCCCUGAACCUCUGUCCAUUAGUCACAUCUUCGAACCGGAGCGUUAGUAGGCCUUCUUUGCACAUGUCCAAAUCACCGGAACCGAUUUUCUCUCAUCUUUCCUUCAAUUUCGGCUACUCCUACUUUACCUCGGAUAUCCUUAUUCCCAAUCUUAUCGUUUCUCGUGUGCCCACACAUCCCACGAAGCAUCCUCAGCUCCGCCACACCCAUUUUGUUUACGUGUUGAUGCUUCACCGCCCAACAUUCUGUGCCAUACAACAUCGCUGGCCUUAUUGCCGUCCUAUAAAAUUUUCCCUUGAGCUUUAGUGACCUAUGACGGUCACAUAACACGCCGGAUGCACUCUUACACUUCAUCCAUCCAGCUUGUAUUCUAUGGUUGAGAUCUUCAUUUAAUUCUCCGUUCUCUUGCACGAUAGAUCUUAGGUAGCGAAAACGGUCGCUUUUUGUGAUCUUCGCUAGAUUGCUCCGGUCAUUAGUAUGGAUAAGUAUAUAAAUGGAUAGAGAUAGGAAAGCAAACACAAGAUGUACGUGGUUCACCCAGAUUGGCUACGUCCACUGAAUAGAGGAGUUCUCAUUAAUUGUGAAGGGUUUACACAAGUACAUAGGUUCAAGCUCUCCUUUAGUGAGUACAAGUGAAUAAUUUAGAACAAAUGACAUUAGGAAAUAUUGUGGGAGAAUGAUCUCGUAAUCACGAAACUUCUAAGUAUCGGAGUGUGGUAUCAUCUUGACGUGCCUUAUCUGUCUCAUAGGUAGAUGGGGCAUCUUCUCUGGAAGUACUCUUCCUCCAUCCAUGGGUGGUAUCUUUAACUGGUGGAGAUGCACAACGUAAUGUAUCAAUUUCACUUGAAGCUUACUUGUAGUUUCAGGCUUGGUCAAGCGCGAUACAAACCAUGUAGUAGGAGUCACCCAAGUCGCUGAGCUAGGGGAUAUGUUGAAAGAGGUGACAGACAAGGUAAGCAAUUAUAGCUCCGGCUGAUUGUUCACAGUCUCCCUAUCUUGCAGGCAGCAUGAAGGAUAAAGAGAAGAAAAUGAGAAGAGAUGAUAUGGGAUACUUUUGCUUUUGAAGAAGUAACUUUCCACAUGCUUAUUCUUGAACUGAGCUGGAGGGUUUUCUGGUUUCCUCCAGAGUAUAAGGCCGACUGAAGAAUUUGAGGGUCAAAACAAGUCCAUCAAAUCUAGAGUACGUUUGACCUUGCUGAUAUGGGAUACUUUUGCUUUGACAGAGUAAUGGAUGUAUCGGCACGUGUGCUGUUACGCUUGUCUCCACAUGUUUCCUUGUAUCCUUCUCCCUUGCCCUAUCUGUUCCUCAGGCAGAUGCAAUUUCUUCCCUGGAAGCAUAAGAUGUUGAAGAUGAGUACUCGAGAGCAAUGUCAGGUAAGUAAUCAGGUAAAGGGUUCCAGGCAGUCAGUUCCUGGCUGGAAGCUUGAUUCCAAGUACUGACUGAUUGCUCUCUUUCUCCUUGUCUUGCAGGUAAGAACAAGGCCAAAGGAAAAGACAGGAAAAAAGCAUGAUAUGGGAUACUCUUGCUUUUAACCCUGAUGAUAUGAGAUAUUCUUGCUCUAGUAUAGCUUGUUUGCAGAGGUAUUAUCGGGGGGAAAGAAAGCUGAAUAUUUCGAAAGGCUUCGUUGGGAGUGCCCUCUCAGAUAUAAGGAAGGGUUGAGCAUUUUUGUAGGUCUGCCUGUCCAUUGGGGAUGGAGGUCGAUAUAUAUAGGAGUCUCCUUAACAACAAGUAGUAAUGCUAUUCAUGUACCCUACUUGGUCAUAGCACGGUAGUGGGAGCUGCCAGCUUCACAUGUUUUAACGUUGUCAGAGCACUUUGAAAAAGUGGUAUGUGGUAUCUGGAAAGCUGAUGUUGCGUGUGAAGAUUACAGACAGCUUUAUCUAAGGAGAUCCGGCUCUUGAAGUUGGGAAAGUGUUGCCUCUUCUGUUUUCGAACAAGCAAUCCUAUCGGGGAUCUGGCUCUCGAGAUUCAGAGAACGAUGCCUCUUUGAUUUUUGAGAAAGCAAUCAUGCUGGGGGUCUGGCUCUCGAGAUUCGGAGAGCGGUGUCUCUUUGAUUUUUGAGAAAGUAGUCAUGUUGGGAGUCUGGCUCUCGAGAUUCGAAGGGCGGUGCCUCUUCAAUUUUUGAGCAAGCAAUCUUGUUGGGAGUGUUUUCUCGAAUGUGAGUAAAGGUUGGGCAUGUUUGCUAGUCUACCUUGCCACGAAGCAUAGAGGUUGACACACAGGAACUUUCCAAUUAUCCAGCAAUGGUACUGUUCCUUUACCCUCUCUUCGAUUUUUGAGAAAGUAGUCAUGUUGGGAGUCUGGCUCUCGAGAUUCGGAUUACGGUGCCUCUUCGAUUUUGGAGCAAGCAAUCUUGUUUGGAGUGUUUUCUCGAAUGUGAGUAAAGGUUGAGCAUGUUUGAUAGUCUACCUUGCCACGAAGCACAGAAGUUGACACACAUGGACUUUCCAAUUAUCCAGCAGUGGUAUUGUUCCUUUACCCUUGUGGGUAAUAAUAUGGUAGCUAGACCUUCAAAAUUUAUGUGUCUAAACUUUGUUAGUGUUGUUUCUUUGCUAUUCUUUUACCCUUCUUGGUCAGAACGAUGUAGUGGGAGAUGCAAGCUUGACGUGUUCAACUUUGGCAGAGAAUUUUGGCAAAGUUAUCUGUGGUACCCAUGAGCUACUGUUGCGUGUGGGAAGUGGGUGAUUGAACAGUAAGACUCAUGUGCUUUCUACUUCACCAGAAGUCUUCGACCGAAUGCCCAUAAUUUCCGCAAAGCUGAGUGUGCAUGUGACAGGUGCUGACAAGGCUGGAAAAGUAGGUGCCUCUUCGAUUUCUGAGAUCGGCCCUCGUGAUCUCUGAGCAGCCCAGCUUUUGAGAAAGCAAGCGCCUCUUCGAUUUCUGAGAUCGGCCUUCGUGGUCUUUGCGCAGCCCAGCUUUUGAGAAAGCAAACGCCUCUUGGAUUUCUGAGAUCGACCCUCGUGGUAUCUGAGCAGCCUUACUUUUGAGAAAGAAAACGCCUCUUGGAUUUCUGAGCAGGCGCCUCUUCGAUUUUUGAAGCUCCGUCGAGUGCAGAUUUUUAUAGAGGCUGGCAUUAAAUUCCAAAGCACACUUGAAUCUCCACCAGUAGAAGCUCCAUUCUUGCAUUUCUAAGAUCUUGAUUUGUCCAACCUCUUCUCUCUUCAACACCUUUGAAAAUGUCUGGCCCCUCCGACUGUCGUUUUGACUUGAACCUUGUUGAAGAGGCAGCCCCGCCUUCUCCAGACAACAUAUGGCGCCCAUCCUUCGUCUCCCCUACUGGUCCUCUUACCGUUGGGGAUUCCGUGAUGAAGAAUGAUAUGACAGCUGCGGUGGUGGCCAGGAACCUUCUCACUCCCAAAGAUAACAGACUACUUUCCAAACGGUCUGAUGAGUUAGCUAUUAAGGAUUCUCUGGCUCUCGGUGUUCAGUGUGCAGGUUCUGUGUCUAAUAUGGCCCAACGCCUAUUUGCUUGAACCCGCCAAGUUGAAUCAUUGGCGGCUGAAGUGAUGAGUCUCAAACAGGAGAUUAAAGGGCUCAAGCAUGAGAAUAAACAGUUGCACCGGCUCGCACAUGACUAUGCUACAAACAUGAAGAGGAAGUUUGACCAGAUGAAGAAAUCUGAUGGUCAGGUUUUACUUGAUCAUCAGAGAUUUGUGGGUUUGUUCCAAAGGCAUUUAUUGCCUUCGUCUUCUGGGGCUGUACCGCGUAAUGAAGAUCCAAAUGAUCAACCUCUGAUGCCUCCUCCUUCUAGGGUUCUGUCCAGUACUGAGGCUCCGAAUGAUCCCCCUCCAGUGCAUUCUCUUUCUGGGGCUCUACCGACUGCUGAGACUUCUCUUAAGCAACCUUUGUGAAGGCUCCCUCUUGUUUGUUUAUUUUGACUUAUGUAUAUGUACAUAUUUGUAGCUUAUCGGGGAUAUCAAUAAAUAAGUUUUCCUUCAUUUCGACGUAUUGUGUUAAAUACACCAAAGCCUUCUUCGUUAAGUUCUUUGAAUUUUCUUUUGUUGAAGCUUUGUGAGUGGAGCAUGUAGGUUGAGGUAAUGUUCCCUUAAUUUCCUGAGUGAGGAAAACUUCUCGGUUGGAGACUUGGAAAAUCCAAGUCACUGAGUGGGAUCGGCUAUAUGAAUCUUAGAACGUCAUUGUGCUCGGUCAUGUGUCACGUCCUUCGUUAGAUCCAAGUACUCUAAGUCUUUUCUUAGAGUCUCUUCCAAAGUUUUCCUAGGUCUUCCUCUACCCCUUCGGCCCUGAACCUCUGUCCCAUAGUCGCAUCUUCUAAUCGGAGCGUCAGUAGGCCUUCUUUGCACAUGUCCAAACCACCGUAACCAAUUUUCUCUCAUCUUUCCUUCAAUUUCGGCUACUCCUACUUUACCCCGAAUAUCCUCAUUCCUAAUCUUAUCCUUUCUCGUGUGUCCACGCAUCCAAUGAAGCAUCCUCAUCUCCGCUACACCCAUUUUGUGUACGUGUUGAUGCUUUACCGCCCAACAUUCUGUGCCAUACAGCAUCGUUGGCCUUAUUGCCGUCCUAUAAAAUUUUCCCUUGAGCUUCAGUGGCAUACGGCGGUCACAUAACACGCCGGAUGCACUCUUCCACUUCAUCCAUCCAGCUUGUAUUCUAUGGUUAAGAUCUCCAUCUAAUUCUCCGUUCUUUUGCAAGAUAGAUCCUAGGUAACGAAAACGGUCGCUCUUUAGUAUUUCUUGAUCUCCGAUCCUCACCCCUAACUCGUUUUGGCCUCCAUUUGCACUGAACUUGCACUCCAUAUAUUCUGUCUUUGAUCGGCUUAGGCGAAGACCUUUAGAUUCCAACACUUCUCUCCAAAGGUUAAGCUUUGCAUUUACCCCUUCCUGAGUUUCAUCUAUCAACACUAUAUCGUCUGCGAAAAGCAUACACCAAGGAAUAUCAUCUUGAAUAUGUCCUGUUAACUCAUCCAUUACCAACGCAAAAAGGUAAGGACUUAAGGAUGAGUCUUGGUGUAAUCCUACAGUUAUGGGAAAGCUUUCAGUUUGUCCUUCAUGAGUUCUUACGGCAGUCUUUGCUCCUUCUUACAUAUCCUUUAUAGCUUGGAUAUAUGCUACUCGUACUCCUUUCUUCUCUAAAAUCCUCCAAAGAAUGUCUCUUGGGACCCUAUCAUACGCUUUCUCCAAAUCUAUAAAAACCAUGUGUAAAUCCUUUUUCCCAUCUCUAUCUUUCCAUCAAUCUUUGUAAGAGAUAGAUUGCCUCCAUGGUUGAGCGCCCUGGCAUGAACCCGAAUUGGUUGUCCGAAACCCGUGUCUCUUGCCUCAAUCUAUGCUCAAUGACAUAAUGGGUACACAUAUCUUUCAUUAAGUAGAUAUAGAGGGUAGGACAAUGAUACACAGAGACCUGAAAGAUGCGGGAGAACAUUUAUUGUCAAAGAAAUUAUGUGAUAAUCAACCAUAAGAUGCAUUUAUCUGCAUGUAGGUGUUUCAUUUAAGAAAGUAAUCAUGCUCCUGCAUGUUAUCGAAUGUUAAUGAAACUGAAAUUUUACCUCGGCAGCCAGCCACCAUUUUUGGCAAAGCAACAACAAUUUUGGGAAAGGGUUCAGAAUCCUGCUGCUGAUCAUAAAUUAUACUCCUCUUCUGCACCAUUUCAAUUCUGCACCAUUUCUUACAUGGCCGGUCCCAAGCCCGGAUAAAGGAGGAGGGGGAGGGCGUCAGGUAGUCGACAGCCGGCACUCCAUGAUCACGUCGAAUCCUUAUGAAAAUGAAUCCAGAACAAAAUCGCGCUAAAGCUAGGGCGUCACCCGUAAGUGGCGCGCUGUGUGGCCUGAGUACAGUGAUAAGUGAGCAAGGGUCGCUGUAUCUCCAUCGGCACCCGGAUGCAGUGUUAAAUGAGCAAGGGGGCCAUAGAAACUUCUUUUCGAACGACUCCACUCAAAGUUGUUUGGGAGCAUAUGCUCCUAUCAACUUUACCCGGGACACACAAAAGAAGUACUUUGAUCCUAUUAGACGGGGGAGGGUGAAGAAGCUAGGACAGAAGGGUAGAGUUCAAGAGAGCAAAAUGCGUUUAGGAACGUGGAAUAUAGGAACCUUAACGAAAAAAUCUAUGGAAGUAGUGGAAGUUAUGGUGAGGAGAAGGAUAAAUAUUAUGUGCCUACAAGAAACUAAGUGGGUUGGUAGUAAGGCAAAGGAUCUAGAAAACUCAGGGUUUAAACUUUGGUAUUCGGGCACAAAUAGAACGAGAAACGGUGUUGGCAUCAUCGUGGACAAGACCUUGGUACAAGAUGUUAUAGAUGUCAAGAGGGUAGGAGAUAGAAUCAUGGCAAUCAAGAUUGUAAUAGGACAAGAACUUAUCAAUGUGAUUAGUGCGUACGCACCUCAAGUAGGGUUGGAUACGAGUUCGAAGAAGAAAUUUUGGGAAGAUCUUGGAGACUUGGUGCAAGGAAUUGCUCAGACGGAGAAGUUAUUUAUAGGAGGAGAUUUAAAUGGACACGUGGGCAGGGAGACAGGCAACUAUGGAGGUUUUCAUGGUGGCCAUGGUUUUGGGGAGAGAAACGAGGAUGGGGAAGCUAUCUUGGAUUUUGCAAUGGCAUAUGAUCUCUUCUUAGCCAACACCUUCUUUAAGAAGAGAGAAGAACAUGUGAUCACCUACAAGAGUGGGUCGUCAAAAACACAAAUAGAUUUUCUUCUAAUGAGGAAAGGGGAUCGUAUAACUUGUAAGGAUUGCAAAGUUAUACCAGGAGAGAGCGUGGCUAAUCAACAUCGCUUGUUGGUGAUGGAUGUACAUAUCAAAAGAGUAAGACAAAAGAACAAGACUUGGAAGUGCCCAAGGACUAGAUGGUGGAAUCUAAAAGAAGAAAAAACAAGCUAUUUUCAAAGAGAAGGUAAUCACCCAAUGUGUGUGGGAUAGAGAGGGGGAAGCUAGCCAAAUGUGGGAUUCCAUGGCUAGUUGUAUCCGAAAAGUAGCAAAAGAGGUAUUAGGAGAGUCCAAGGGCUUUGCCCCACACCAAAAGGAAUCUAGGUGGUGGAAUGAGGAGGUACAAACAAAGGUGAAGGCUAAGAAGGAAUGUUGUAAAGCCUUAUACAAGGAGAGGACUGAUGAAAAUGGUGAAAGGUAUAGAAAAGCGAAGCAAGAGGCGAAGAAAGCUGUCAGAGAAGCUAAGUUAGCGGCUUACGACGAUAUGUAUAAACGACUAGAUACCAAAGAAGGAGAGUUGGAUAUCUAUAAACUAUCUAGAGCAAGGGAAAAGAAGACAAGGGACCUAAACCAAGUGAGGUGCAUCAAGGAUGAGGAUGGAAAUUUUCUUGCUACAGAGAACGCGGUUAAAGACAGAUGGAGAGGUUAUUUUCAUAAUCUUUUCAAUGAAGGACAUGAAAUGAGUGCUUCUUUAGGGGAGUUGAGUAACUCAGAAGAGUGUAGAAACUACUCUUUUUAUCGUCGAAUCCGGAAGGAAGAAGUGGUUGUAGCUUUGAAGAAGAUGAAGCAUAAAAAAGCAAUAGGCCCAGACGAUAUACCAAUCGAAGUGUGGAAACUUUUGGAAGAGACAGGUAUAACAUGGCUCACUGACCUUUUCAAUAGGAUUUUGAAAACGAAGAAGAUGCCAAAUGAGUGGCGAAUGAGCACUUUGGUGCCUAUCUACAAGAAUAAGGGCGACGUACAAAAUUGCAUGAACUAUAGGGGUAUUAAGCUAAUGAGUCAUACAAUGAAGCUCUGGGAGAGAGUCAUUGAGCAUAGAUUGAGGCAAGAGACACGGGUUUCGGACAACCAAUUCGGGUUCAUGCCAGGGCGCUCAACCAUGGAGGCAAUCUAUCUCUUACGAAGAUUGAUGGAAAGAUAUAGAGAUGGGAAAAAGGAUUUACACAUGGUCUUUAUAGAUUUGGAAAAAGCGUAUGAUAGGGUCCCAAGAGACAUUCUUUGGAGGAUUUUAGAGAAGAAAGGAGUACGAGUAGCAUAUAUCCAAGCUAUAAAGGAUAUGUAUGAAGGAGCAAAGACUGCCGUAAGAACUCAUGAAGCACAAACCGAAAGCUUUCCUAUAACUGUAGGAUUACAUCAAGGCUCAUCCUUAAGUCCUUACCUUUUUGCGUUGGUAAUGGAUGAGUUAACACGACAUAUUCAAGAUGAUAUUCCUUGGUGUAUGCUUUUCGCAGACGAUAUAGUUUUGAUAGAUGAAACUCAGGAAGGGGUAAAUGCAAAGCUUAACCUUUGGAGAGAAGUGUUGGAAUCUAAAGGUCUUCGCCUAAGCCGAUCAAAGACAGAAUAUAUGGAGUGCAAGUUCAGUGCAAAUGGAGGCCAAAACGAGUUAGGGGUGAGGAUCGGAGAUCAAGAAAUACCAAAGAGCGACCGUUUUUCGUUACCUAGGAUCUAUCUUGCAAAAGAACGGAGAAUUAGAUGGAGAUCUCAACCAUAGAAUACAAGCUGGAUGGAUGAAGUGGAAGAGUGCAUCCGGCGUGUUGUGUGACCGCCGUAUGCCACUGAAGCUCAAGGGAAAAUUUUAUAGGACGGCAAUAAGGCCGGCGAUGCUGUAUGGCACAGAAUGUUGGGCGGUGAAACAUCAACACGUACACAAAAUGGGUGUAGCGGAGAUGAGGAUGCUUCGUUGGAUGUGUGGGCACACGAGAAAGGAUAAGAUUAGGAAUGAGGAUAUCCGGGGUAAAGUAGGAGUAGCCGAAAUUGAAGGAAAGAUGAGAGAAAAUCGGUUACGGUGGUUUGGACAUGUGCAAAGAAGGCCUACUGACGUUCCGAUUAGAAGAUGCGACUAUGGGACAGAGGUUCAGGGCCGAAGGGGUAGAGGAAGACCUAGGAAAACUUUGGAAGAGACUCUAAGAAAAGACUUAGAGUACUUAGAUCUAACGAAGGACAUGACACAGGAUCGAGCACAAUGGCGUUCUAAGAUUCAUAUAGCCGAUCCCACUCAGUGACUUGGAUUUUCCAAGUCUCCAACCAAGAAGUUUUCCUCACUCGGGAAAUUAAGGGAACACUACCCCAACCUACAUGCUCCACUCAGAAAGCUUCAACAUACAAACUUUAACAAAAGAAAAUUCAAAGAACUUAGCGAAGAAGGCUUUGGUGUAUUUAACACAAUACGUUGAAAUGAAGGAAAGCUUAUUUAUUGAUAUCCCCGAUAAGCUACAAAUAUGUACAUAUACAUGAGUCAAAAUAAGCACACAAGAGGGAGCCUUCACAAAGGUUGCUUAGGAGAAGUCUCAGCAGUCGGUAGAGCCCCAGAAAGAGAAGGCACCGGAAGGGGAUCAUUUGGAGCCUCAGUACUGGACAGAACCCUAGAAGGAGGAGGCAUCAGAGGUUGAUCAUUUGGAGCUUCAUUACGCGGUACAGCCCCAGAAGACGAAGGCAAUAAAUGCCUUUGGAACAAACCCACAAAUCUCUAAUGAUCAAGUAAAACCUGACCAUCAGUUUCCUUCAUCUGGUCAAGCUUCCUCUUCAUGUUUGUAGCAUAGUCAUGUGCGAGCCGGUGCAACUGUUUAUUCUCAUGCUUGAGCCCUCUAAUCUCCUGUUUGAGACUCAUCACUUCAGCCGCCAAUGAUUCAACUUGGCGGGUUCGAGCAAAUAGGCGUUGGGCCAUAUUAGACACAGAACCUGCACACUGAACACUGAGAGCCAGCGAAUCCUUAACAGCUAACUCAUCAGACCGUUUGGAAAGUAGUCUGUUAUCUUUGGGAGUGAGAAGGUUCCUGGCCACCACCGCAGCGGUCAUAUCAUUCUUCAUCAUCACGGAAUCCCCAACGGUAAGAGGACCAGUAGGGGAGACGAAGGAUGGGCGCCAUAUGUUGUCUGGAGAAGGCGGGGCUGCCUCUUCAACAAGGUUCAAGUCAAAACGACGGUCGGAGGGGCCAGACAUUUUCAAAGGUGUUGAAGAGAGAAGAGGUCGGACAAAUCAAGAUCUUAGAAGUGCAAGAAUGAAGCUUCUACUGGUGGAGAUUCAAGUGUGCUUUGGAACUUAAUGCCAGCCCCUAUAAAAAUCUGCACUCGACGAAGCUUCAGAAAUCGAGGAGGCGCCUGCUCAGAAAUCGAAGAGGCGUUUGCUUUCUCAAAAGCUGGGCUGCUUAGAGAUCACGAGGGUUGAUCUCAGAAAUCGAAUAGGCGUUUGCUUUCUCAAAAGUUGGGCUGCUCAAAGACCACGAAGGCCGAUCUCAAAAAUCGAAGAGGCACCUACUUUUCCAGCCUUUUCCAGCCUUGUCAGCACCUGUCACACGCACACUCAGUUUUGCGGAAAUUAUGGGCAUUCUGUCAAAGACUUCUGGGGAAGUAGAAAACACAUGAAUCUUACUGUUCAAUCACCCACUUCUCACACGCAACAAUAGCUCAUGGGUACCACAGAUAACUUUGCCAAAGUUCUCUGCCAAAGUUGAGCACGUGAAGCUUGCAGCUCCCACUACAUCGCUCUGACCAAGAAGGGUAAAAGAAUAGCAAAGAAACAGCACUAACAAAGUUUAGACCCAUAAAUUUUGAAGGUCUAGCUACCAUAUUAUUACCCACAAGGGUAAAGGAACAGUACCACUGCUGGAUAAUUGGAAAGUCCCUGUGUGUCAACCUCUGUGCUUCGUGGCAAGGUAGACUAGCAAACAUGCCCAACCUUUACUCACAUUCGAGAAAACACUCCCAAUAAGAUUGCUUGCUCCAAAAUCGAAGAGGCACCGUCCUCCGAAUCUCGAGAGCCAGACUCCCAACAUGACUACUUUCUUAAAAAUCGAAGAGAGGGUAAAGGAACAGUACCAUUGCUGGAUAAUUGGAAAGUCCCUGUGUGUCAACCUCUGUGCUUCGUGGCAAGGUAGACUAGCAAACAUGCCCAACCUUUACUCACAUUCGAGAAAACACUCCCAACAAGAUUGCUUGCUCCAAAAUCGAAGAGGCACCGCCCUCCGAAUCUCGAGAGCCAGACUCCCAACAUGAUUACUUUCUCAAAAAUCGAAGAGACACUGCUCCCCGAAUCUCGAGAGCCAGACCCCCAGCAUGAUUGCUUUCUCAAAAAUCGAUGAGGCAUCGUUCUCCGAAUCAAUCGAAGAGGCGCUCGCUUUCUCAAAAGCUGGGCUGCUCAGAGACCACGAGGGCCGAUCUCAGAAAUCGAAGAGGCACCUACUUUUCUAGCCUUGUCAGCACCUGUCACACGCACACUCAGCUUUGCAGAAAUUAUGGGCAUUUUGUCGAAGACUUCUGGUGAAGUAGAAAGCACAUGAAUCUUACUGUUCAAUCACCCACUUCCCACACGCAACAAUAGCUCAUGGGUACCACAAAUAACUUUGCCAAAGUUCUCUGCCAAAGUUGAGCACGUGAAGCUUGCAGCUCCCACUACAUCGCUCUGACCAAGAAAGGUAAAAGAAUAGCAAAGAAACAGCACUAACAAAAGUUUAGACACAUAAAUUUUGAAGGUCUAGCUACCAUAUUAUUACCCACAACUGUAAAGGAACAGUACCACUGCUGGAUAAUUGGAAAGUCCCUGUGUGUCAACCUCUGUGCUUCGUGGCAAGGUAGACUAGCAAACAUGCCCAACCUUUACUCACAUUCGAGAAAACACUCCCAAUAAGAUUGCUUGCUCCAAAAUCGAAGAGGCACCGUCCUCCGAAUCUCGAGAGCCAGACUCCCAACAUGACUACUUUCUCAAAAUCGAAGAUAGGGUAAAGGAACAGUACCAUUGCUGGAUAAUUGGAAAGUCCCUGUGUGUCAACCUUUGUGCUUCGUGGCAAGGUAGACUAGCAAACAUGCCCAACCUUUACUCACAUUCAAGACAACACUCCCAACAAGAUUGCUUGCUCCAAAAUCGAAGAGGCACCGCCCUCCGAAUCUCGAGAGCCAGACUCCCAACAUGAUUACUUCCUCAAAAAUCGAAGAGACACUGCUCUCCGAAUCUCGAGAGUCAUACCCCCAGCAUGAUUGCUUUCUCAAAAAUCGAAGAGGCAUCGUUCUCCAAAUCUCGAGAGCCAGAUACCACAGACCACUUUUUCAAAGUGCUCUGACAGAGUUAAAACAUGUGAAACUGGCAGCUCCCACUACCGUGCUAUGACCAAGCAGGGUAAAGGAAUAGCAUUACUACUUGUUGUUAGGGAGACUCCUAUAUAUGUCGACCUCCAUCCCCAACGGACAGGCAGACCUGCAAAAAUGCUCAACCCUUCAUCAUAUCUGAGAGGGCACUCCCAACGAAGCCUUUCGAAAUAUUCAGCUUUCUUUCCCCCCGAUAAUACCUCUGCAAACAAGCUAUACUAGAGCAAGAAUAUCUCAUAUCAUCAGGGUUAAAAGCAAGAGUAUCCCAUAUCAUGCUUUUUCCCUGUCUUUUCUUUUGGCCUUGUUUUUACCUGCAAGACAAGGAGAAAGAGAGCAAUCAGUCAGCACUUGGAAUCAAGCUUCCAGCCAGGAACUGACUGCCUGGAACCCCUUACCUGAUUACUUACCUGGCAUUGCUCUCGAGUACUCAUCUUCAACAUCUUAUGUUUCCAGGGAAGAUUCCGCAUCUGCUUGAGGAACAGAUAGGGCAAGUGCGAAGGAUACAAGGAAGCAUGUGGAGACAAGCUUAACAGCACACGUGCCGAUACAUUCAUUACUCUGUCAAAAGCAAAAAGUAUCCCAUAUCAGCAGGGUGGAACGUACUCUAGAUUUGAUGGACUUGUUUUGACCCUCAAAUUCUUCAGUCGGCCUUAUACUCUGGAGGAAACCAGAAAACCCUCCAGCUCAGUUCAAGAAUAAGCCUGUGGAAAGUUACUUCUUCAAAAGCAAAAGUAUCUCAUAUCAUCUCUUCUCAUUUUUCUUCUCUUUUAUCCUUCAUGCUGCUGCAAGAUGGGGAGAAGGUGAACAAUCAGUCGGAGCUCUGAUUGCUUACCUUGUCUGUCACCUCUUUCAGCAGACCCCCUAGCUCGGCGACUUGGGGGACUCCUACUACAUGGUUUGUAUCGCGCUUGACCAAGCCUGAAACUACAAGUAAGCUUCAAGUGAAAUUGAUACAUUACCUUGUGCAUCUCCCACAGUUAAAGAUACCACCCCUGGAUGGAGGAAGAGUACUUCCAGAGAAGAUGCCACAUCUACCUAUGAGACAGAUAAGGCAAGUCAAGACGACACCACACUCCGAUACUUAGAAGUUUCGUGAUUACGAGAUCAUUCUCCCACAAUAUUUCCUAAUGUCAUUUGUACUAAAUCAUUCACUUGUACUCACUAAAUGAGAGCUUGAACCUAUGUACUUGUGUAAACCCUUCACAAUUAAUGAGAGAACUCUUCUAUUCCGUGGACGUAGCCAAUCUGGGUGAACCACGUACAUCUUGUGUUUGCUUUCCUAUCUCUAUCCAUUUUAUAUACUUAUCCACACUAAUGACCGGAGCAAUCUAGCGAAGAUCACAAAAAGCGAUCGUUUUCGCUACCUAGGAUCUAUCUUGCAAGAGAACGGAGAAUUAGAUGGAGAUCUCAACCAUAGAAUACGAGCUGGAUGGAAAGAGUGCAUCCGGCGUGUUGUGUGACCGUCGUAGGCCACUGAAGCUCAAGGGAAAAUUUUAUAGGACGGCAAUAAGGCUAGCGAUGUUGUAUGGCACAGAAUGUUGGGUGGUGAAGCAUCAACACGUACACAAAAUGGGUGUAACGGAGAUGAGGAUGCUUCGUGGGAUGUGUGGGGCACACGAGAAAGGAUAAGAUUGGGAAUGAGGAUAUCCGAGGUAAAGUAGGAGUAGCCGAAAUUGUAGGAAAUAUGAGAGAAAAUCGGCUCCGGUGAUUUUGAACAUGUGCAAAGAAGGCCGACUGACGCUCCGGUUCGAAGAUGUGACUACGGGACAGAGGUUCAGGGCCGAAGGGGUAGAGGAAGACCUAGGACAACUUUGGAAGAGACUCUAAGAAAAGACUUAGAGUACUUGGAUCUAACGGAGGACAUGACACAAAACCGAGCGCAAUGGCGUUCUAGGAUUCAUAUAGCCGACCCCACUUAGUGGGAAAAGGCUUUGUUGUUGUUGUUGUUGUUGCUGUUCCCGUGACCUCCCCCAUCCUCCCCUAUUGAAUUACCAAACACAAAAGACGUAACAAAUUAAAGUAAUGCAACUUAACAAAAACAAGGACAUCUGAGCUGUUCAAGAAAUAAAGUAAAAACAUUACCUCAAGAAUUCCAUGAAACCUGGAUAUAUCGUCAGGGGCAAUUCUGGGGGAAUAGUUGAUAAAGAAAUACGGCUCAAAUCCAUGAAAAUGGCAGCAAACACUAUGUCCUAGGAUGAUGCGACAACUUAUCAAAGUUAGAAAAUGUAUUAUCUCAGUUUAUAUUAGUUUAGUUUAGUUUGGUAGCAUAUAUGAUCCCCGUGCAGCAACAUAGAAUACCUAGUAAAAGUUGCAUUUCUGAGAACAAAUAACCAACAUGCUUGGCCGAAAAGACAAUGUGGAUGUUUUAGUAAUACAAAAGUACAGUUUUAUUCAGGUUUCUCAGUCACCAACCAAACAUUGUCAUAGCAGAAAAAUAACCCUAAAAGAAAUUUGGAGCACAAACUAACCUUCCUUCAUUGAGCAGCAAGGAAGAGGGGGAGAAAAUUGAUUCCACAUAAACCAAGGCAUAAGAUGCUUACCAAACUUUUCAAAUGGCUAAAUUGUUCAUUUAACUUGACAACUUCUUCCUGCAAUUCACAAGUAAGAUCAUUAGAUGCGGUAAAUAAAACAUCAUACUUCAUCCAUGGCAAUCUAGCAGAGAAACCAAUUACAUUCAGAUGGAGCCUAAUCUGUGGAAGUAUAGCUAUAUGCACUGAAAAUGCAUUAUCAUAUUGUCAUAUUUAAAACUGAGGUUUAUGCAGUAUGCUUUCUCUAGCGUACACAAUUUUUGCCCUUCAUUUUUGAAGUUCUGCACUUCAUAAUUCAUAUACUUUCAGUUUCCUUUCUAAUGAAGGUAUGGACUGCUUUCCAUUGGAAUUUUCAUAAGACAAUGUUAUGAUAUUCCUAAUUUAGAAUGUGUUCCCAUUCUAAAGAAUGCAAGAACUAAAUCAUAAAUAUUGUACAAUUAGCUCUCAAUUACUCUGAUGUGAUUGUGGCAAGGCAUGAGAAUCAGAACCACUCCAUGUUCUCCCCCUUCGUGAUUUGGUCAUUAAAAAAUACUUCAUUCCCUCCAUCUUUUAUCACGUCUUCUUGGUGAUGACUUGUUUGUCUUCGAACUGUAUCCACAAAAAAACCACAAAUUAAUCCCAAAAAAAUCAUUCCCUCCUCGUUUUGCACCUUGGACAUCGAGAUUUAAACCAAAAACCAAAAUCAAACAAACAUCAAUUUUAAACAUACAUUAAGAGGAAUCAAAUUCAAACUGAAAUUUGAAAUUUGGAAAAUUCCAACUUUGAUAUGCUAUCGCUACUUGUGUUCAUUAAAUUUGAUGGCACUGUCAGUGAAAAGUAACCUUAGGGCUACUAAUAUGUUCACUAAACGGCAAGGAAAUCAAUUUAGUGGGAUAAAUGGUCCCAUAUCACAAAACAUACUAUCGGACCUCUGGACAAUCAAAGGUGACACAGACAACCAAGAAUGAGAAACAAAGCAUAGAGCGGACGAAUAAUAUAAGCCGAAAAAACCAAACAAUCAAUUAAAAAAUCAUAAAAUUGCGCUAUCUAAAACGGAAAGCAUGGAGAAACAAUGUAUAGAAGUUCAGGACAUACCAAAGCCUUGAUUCAAACGUAAUGGCUCAAAAUCCCUAGAUCAAAAGCAGCAGCAAGAGCAGAUUAUGAUGCUGUGAUGAGAGCCCGAUCUAAACUACAAAAAAUCAGUGAGAUUACAUUGAAUCAAGGCAAGAUCGGGCUCUCAUCCCUAGAUCAAAGGCUGCAGCAAGAGCAGAUUAUGAUGCUGUGAUGAAACCCCAUUCCAAUCGAAGCGUAAACAAACGAACACAAUAAAAGUAAUUGAAACUGUGACGGUGCAAUGGACUCAAUCUAUGAUAGUGCACCAAACAAAGGGUAAGUCUCAGAACAUCAAUUUUCACUUCGUCCCCUACACUUGACCAAAGAUAAACGCACAAAUUUCCAAACAAAGCAUAGAAAUUGAAAUUGUGUCAUGAAAACUAUUGAGACAUCUUUGCUUGGUGCUUGGCAAUGCUCUAACCCACUAUGGGGUUUUAAAUUAUUCUAUCCAAGUACAAUGAUGGGGAUCCACUGCCAGCUAACGACCAGUCAUUUAUACUUGAUAAUGUUCUCAAUUACCAUCCGGAAAAAGCUGUUAAAUGCGUUCUGGAAUCGGUCAUCUCACAGGAUGCUUAUCUACCCUGUUCUUGCUUAACUGCAUUUUAUUUAGAAUUAUGUUUCAGCGCACUUUUGAUGCAUUAUGCUAAGAUUCUGUGAUUGAUUUCAUUGUUAUAUUGGUUAUUGUAAUGUUCAUUUCAUUGUAGGGCAGACAUGAAACAUUAAAAUAGUAAUGAAGCUCAGAAUAUUCCCUAAACACCAAAAUCCACAACACAUGCCCUCUACCCAACAAAGAUAAAAUAAAAACUACAAUUCAAUGUUGAAAAACUAAAGUGGCCAGAAACCAAAAAAUCUUAGUGACAACUUGUACAGACGUUACAAAAAUGCAGGACGCAAAACACAUUAAAACGUCUAGAAACUCGAAGUUAUCGCUAUUUGGUUAUGAAGAUAGAUAUAUAUCACCAGGAAACCAAAAAAAUGGCAAGGAUUUGCCAAAAUUUGUAAAUCAAACACAGAUGUUUGAACUCCUUUUCCUCUGUUAGUCUGUUAUCAUCUCACAUGCCACACUAUUCAAGACUGGAUCAAUUCGAUCACAACCAAACUGCCAGUAUUAAACUUAACUAAGUACUGGUCAAAUGAUCUAACCAUUGUUUAUUACAGAUCCAAAUCAACAGUGGUAAUAAAUAAAAUAAUUUCAGUUGCCAUUUGCAAUUAAAAUUGAACAAUGCUUACUCCCAACGAAUAUCAUCUAACAUUGAUUGCAGCAAUCACAUGUAAUCGAAUUAGCUAUGUAUUUGAGGAUUUGGGAAAGGUUUUUUGAGAGUAAACAAACGUUAAUUAUUAGCUAUGUAUUUGCUUAACAAACAGUAGAUGAAAUUGCUAUGUAUAUUUUAAUGGGGAAUUUAAAAACCAAUCCCAAUUUGUCAUUGCUCAAACAAAUUGGAAUUUCAGAACCAAUCUCAAUGAUCAAAUUAACAAAAUAUUCAAUUUUAUGAAAACUCUUAAGCUAAUUUAGAAAGGCAAAUUGCAAGAUUUUGAAGGAAUUUUAAAAAUGAGGGAGAAAAAUUAGAAGGUCUUGCCUUAUCUCCCUCACAAAAUCAAUCGCAUAAAAACCAUAGCUUUUGAUGGAAUUUCAAAACCAAACAAAUCUCUAAGAUGAAUUUGUCAUGUAAACAUGUUUAACACAGAUUUCUCAAUUAUAAACACUACUCUUUCUCAAUUAUUAAAAACAUAAAGAUCAAAGUCAAUUGGGUGUAUAAUAAUAUACCUCAUCAUGUCAAGCAAAGCAACCAACUUCUGCCUCCAACGACCCAAAAUUCUGAAAAUUCCAAAAAAAUUAAUUUAAAAACAAAACAACAUAAGAAAGAUAAAACUCGGCAUAAGAGAAAUCUACAAAUCGGAUGCCAGAUCAUCAAAGAUUAAAAACCACUCAGAAUCUAUUAGCAUUUGAGUCUAAAUAUGAGAAAUUGUGAACUUUGUUCCAUAGGAUAGUUAACAGGAUACUAUCAUAUCAAAACCAACGCUGAAUAAAAUCCAACAAUGAGAUUACGUUGAUAUAACGUCAUUUCAUUAAAGCUGCAUAUACUAACCAAAAAAAGAAAAUAUGGGAAGAAUAGACUGCCUCCAUUGGCCCUUCAAGUCUCCUAACCACCAAACAACCCGUCUAGAUGCAUUUGCCUGUUCUUUCCCACAAUUCUUAGAGAUCAAAUAGAACCCUCGGAUUGACUGGGGACAAUAUGGAAAUCCUUUUUGAUACCGUAAUACGGGAAGACAUGAAUAAUUUUGACAGAAAGACACAAACUGUUAAGGGAGGAUGUGAAGCUUCUGUACGGAAGGUUUCUACUCUUGUGCAUCUAAAAAAAUUAAAUGAAGCAAGAGAAAUUCAACAAAAAAACUUGAAAACCCUUGCCCAAAAAAAAACUCACUAAAUUCAAAGCAUAGCAUCUACACUGAGUCACUAACAUACUGCUCAGUUAUACUCAUCAUCUCUGAUCAAUGUAAUCAUAUAUUUCAUAGCUACACUCCCCAUUGACAUACACUGACAUAGCAUCUACUUUUUUGCUGACUUUAUUUGCUCAGUUAAGCAAUAACCAACAUACACAAUCUGACAAUCAUAGCAGCUACACCAAUCAUCCAUAAAUGGGCAGAAAUACAAAUAUUAUUAUAUUGGGGUUUGGAACAAAUAAAUCAAUCAUCCAAUUCAAAUGUCGUAAACAAAUACACCAACCAUUCAAUUGGAAUGGGGUUUGGUACAAAAACAUUUUUCCAUUAAUUGGAUAUUCAAUUAACUGGGAUUAAAAAAAGAUUACCAAACAAAAGCCAAUUUUCUAAAGAAAAUUAGUGUUUUAUACCUGCCAAUUCCAAAGGCCUGUAUGAGCCCAAAAUUGAGGGAUGGUGACAUCUGCAAUUUGUAGUUGGGGAUCUGCAUUUCCUGCAAUUCCAUAGUGUACAACAGCUUUCACCUUGAAUAGGGUUUGUAGUAAUUGAGUUGAGAUGCCUGCAUUGAGCUUUUCACAGGUUUCUACAUCAAUUUUUUUUCCAGCAGGUUUCUACAGAAAAUACUUAAAGAAACAGAAAACUUCCUCUGUAAGUUUUCAAUUGUAUUGACUGAAUGAUAACUUUACACAUUGUGUAGGUAUAUAUAGCCUUUUUGGCUAUUUACAUUAAUACCCCUAGCUUUCUAACUAUUCACAACUAAUUACAUUCAGUUAUUUAACAAUAACAGAAUUGUUAACAGUGACAGAAUUGGAUGACUUGUCAUUCUCCCUAAUACACCCCCUCGAGCUAGAAGGGAAAUCAGAAAUGACUCCAAUGGGAAGCUUGGAGCACAGAUAGGUGAAUAUGUUUUUAGAAAGGGACUUGGUGUGAAGAUUUGCUAAUUGGUCUUCACUGCAAACAAACUGUACUUUGAGGAGUUUUGCUAGAACCAAUUCUCUAAUAUAGUGGUAAUUGAUCUCAACAUGCUUUGUUCUCGGAUGAAAGACAGGAUUAGAUGCUAAUGAUAUUACUGAUAUGUUGUCACCAAAGAGUAGGCAAUGUAGAUAGAGGAUAGUGUAGAUCUUUGUGAAUCUUACAAACCUAAGUGAUUUCAGCAGCUGUGUGAGCUUAGGAGCAAUAUUCAGCCUCUGUAGAUGAGCUGAUAAGAUUAGAAUCCAGGAAGACACAAUAACCAGUGGUUGAUCGCCUGUCAAAUGUGCAGCCAGCUCAAUCAGCAUCAGAGUAUGCUGAAAGGUAGACAAGACCUUUAGUAAACCACAAACCAUGUGAAAUAGAGCCUUUGAGAAACCUGAGAACCCUUUUUGCUGCCUGAAGAUGUUAUUCCCUGGGAGCAUGCAUGAAUUGCCAGAUUUAGUUCACAGCAAAGGCAAGAUCCGAUCUAGUCCAAGUGAGAUAUUGUAAACCACCAACAAUGGAACGAUAUUCAGUGGGAUUGGACGAGAGAGGCCCACUGUGAUCUAGUUUCUGAGAACCAAGAUGAGUGCAACAAGGUUUUGCACCCUCCAUGUUUGUCUUCUUGAGAAGAUCCAAUAAGUACUUGGUUUGGUAGAGAAAUAUGCCCUGUGAAGAUCUCUGUACCUUUAAACCCAAGAAAUAAUGUAGAGGACCAAGGUCUUUGACUGGAAAUUGGGCACUUAGUUGCUGAAUAAAGUGUUGACAAAGUUGAGGAGAGGGUCAAGUGACAAGAAUAUCAUCAACAUAGACAAGAAUAAUGACUAACUGAGGACCAUUGAGAACAAAUAAAGAAGCAUCUGAUGAGGAUUGUGUGAACCCAAGAGAGUGAAGAGCUUGAAACAGUAUAUCAAACCAAGCUCAAGGAGCUUGUUUGAGGCCAUACAAGGAUUUCCUCAACUUACAAACAGAGGUAGGAUGUAAGGGGUCAACAAAACCAAGGGGUUGUUGCAUGUAGACAUCAUCCUUUAAGUCUCCAUGAAGAAAGGCAUUACUAAUGUCCAAUUGAUUUAGAAACCAAUUAUAUUGCACAGUUGUGGUUUGAUCCUAAUUGAAGAGGCAUUUUUUUUUCCUUCUGGUUUGUUCACUGUUCAGUUGUGGUUCAGUUCUCCACCUUUUGGUUGGAGUACAACAAAUGCUUUUAAAUUAUUAAAUUAGGAGAGCUAAGAAAGAUAUUUUGUGCUAAUUGCUAUUUGAUAACUCUGGUUUUCUCUUUUGGCGACCACCUUGCUCUCCAUUUUUCUUUUUCCUCUUGCUCUGCUGGUUUUUCAGUGUUACAACCUCUCUACAAAAACCACACUAUAUGUGUUUUGCAUGUUUGUUCAUGCUUCUAUUGUUUGUUGUUGUGGUGGUAACCCUGUGAAUGGAAUUCUCAGUUAUCUAUUCCUCUAGAAUACAUGAUGCAUCUGAUUUUUGUUCAUUGACAGAUGACGCCACAUGCUUGAGAUUUUUAUGCCAUCACUCUUGGUUCUUUUGUGAUUGUUAUUGUUUGUUUUAAAAUGUGUAUGUUGAGUGUGAUGCGUUUAAAUUGAGCAGAGGCCAUAAUUUUUUUUAUCAAAGAAGGAAUCAUUGAGGUCACUUUAGAAAAUGGAUGGGUGUCUGGUUAUUUUGUCAUUUGAGUGGUGUAGCUUUGUUAUGAUCUCUAUUCCGGCACUGUGUGAUUAGUGUUAAUGGUUUUUCAACACUGUUUGUAACCUAUUUUCGUUGUUGUCAUGUAACUUAGUACUGAUGGCUGUGUUUGUGAUUUUCAGAAAUUUGGAUCGUUAGAGGGAGUCUUAGUAUCACCAUUCUGCAAUGGAUUAAGUUCAUGCCACGGCCUCAAUGCAUUUUAUGGGUGGGGAUGAGUGGUACAAAUUUUUUGUUUUAGCAUGUUUUUGUGUUUGUUGGAAGGUCUCAAUUAUUAUUUUUAGAUAAUCUAUCAUCUCAUAUGGAAGAGUUGAAUGCAAAAAAGGUCAUGAUGACAAAUGAUACCUUCCUGUUAUUAGCUGCUUUUCUUUCUUGAAAUGUAAUUCUGUUCUAGAUUAAGUUUGUUGCACUGUCACAGAUUGAGGUAUUUUCCUGUGUCCGUUUAUUUGCGCUUUGAACUCUUACUUUGAAUCUCAUUGAUUUUUUUGUAGUUUAGAUCGGACUAUCAUCGCAACAUCAUGAUCUACUCUUGCUGCUGCCUUUGAUCUAGGGGUCCGGAGCGAUUGCACUUGAAUCAAGGCUCUGGUAGUGAACUUUCUCAUUCUUCCCGAAGUGCUUUAAUAUGCGUUGUUGAUAACUGCGCUCUCUCAACGAACCAUAAAUAUUUUUAAACAAAUCACAACUUCCAUAUUUAAGAAAAUGAGUGGCUUUUUAACAAUGCAUGAACGUAGCUUACAUGUUCAGCAAAAUUCAUGGAUAUUUACAUUCAACCUGCAAGUAUCAUUAACUCAUAAAAAAUUAAGUUUAAUUCAUGGAUGUUUAUAUUGAACCCGCAAGAAUCAUUAACUCAUAAAAAAAUGUUUUGUAUUUUCUUUAUCGACUAUCGCUUCAAAUUUUUAUCUAAAACAUUGUCUAAAUGCUUAUUGGUUGCGUUUUUUGUCCCUCUAUUCAUUCAUGAUUGCAUUGAAUUUAUUCAGGUCCUGCUGCAACGCGCGAGCCUAUUUUCUAGUCACUUUAGUCUAAAGAAGGCUUUUCAAUUGCACUGUACAAAUGAAUAGUAACUUGGAGUGGAUUUGGAGUUAUUUACAAAAUUACCAUCAUCCCUUCACUGCAAAUUGAAAAUUUCGAUUUAUUUACAAAAUUACCACCGCUUUUGCAUAGUUUAAAAGCGCCCACGCAUCAGUCAUCGUGGAUUGCUCUGCUUCGACUACAUUUCGACUGUUUCCAUCCCCAUUUCUUUCCCUCUUUUUCUCUCCCGACUCUCUCUCUCACUACCCUAUUCUCUCACGCCCGCUCACCAUCUCACUCCAGGCAAUACAUACAUGAACUCGAUGAGAAGCCACCAUCCCUUAUCUACAAAGCGAAGAAGAACUCAGCAGAUUGUAUGUUACUCCUCCCCAAUAUUUUCUGUAUGUUUUCUUCAAUUAUUUGUUUUUGGGUUUGUUUCUUUCUCGAGAAUAAGAAGAAAGAAACAGGAAAAAUUAAUAUUGGGUAGUUAAUUUAUCUUGGAGUGUUAUAUUUAUUCAAGACAUCUGGGGAAUUAGGUACAUAAUUGAUUGAUUACCUGAGUAAAUUUCUUUGAUUUUUUCUGAAAGAAUUUGUUUUUUUUUUUUGGGAUUUUGAUGUUUUCUUGAAUUUUACCACUUUGGUCGUGGCUUCCACUCAAAUGUUAAUUUAAUUUAAUUUUUUGGGGUAUUACAGCAAAUUAUAUAUAUAGUUUGCCGUUAUAGUUUGGUCCUUUUUAUGCAGUAGAUUGUAGAAAAAUGAUCAAAAACAGCUUCAAGCAAGCACAUGAGUUUGGUAAGUUUUGGUGUUCAUUUGCUGAAUUUGUUUAUGCUUUGUGUAUUGUCUGUUCAAUUUAUAUCAGUUUCAGAAUUUAUAACUGUGAUGUUUAUAAAUAAGUCUACGGAGUAAGUUGCAUAAUUGUGCGGCAUCUUUUAUAUGCAGAGAAGAGACGCGCUGAAUCUCACUCUGCCAUUCGCCCCUCCGUCCUCUCAUGAUCUCUCACACCCUCUCUCUAAUUUCAGAACAAUAUUAAGCAGCUUAAGCUCUCUUUGCAUUGAAUCAAUGGCAGUCAUCUAGAGGUGAUUUUCUUUGCCUUUUUGUUGGGUUAGUGAAUUUUUAGCUUAAUUUGGGUAGUGUAGGUUUCGUUUUGCUUAAUUUCGAUUUUAAACUCUAAUAAAAUAUUGGUUUUAGGGAUUUCUUCUUUGUGAUCAUCUUCAUGUUUGAUUGGUGAUUUAGCAUGUGGAUUGUCUACUUCUUUGAUGAAAACUCUCACCGUUGGGACUAAUAUAGGUUUCUCAUAUUUUCUUGCACCAUUUGUGAGGGAUUUAAUUUUCCUUUUCUGGGUUUUCUUAUACUCAAGGUAUGAUUUACAUUCUGGAAUUCAUGGUUCAAUUGGAAAUCACGAUGACAUAUCAACAUGCGUUGGACCCUCGAUUUUGUAUUAUUUACAUUCCUGCCAUUGCCAAAAAGCAUGGGCUGCAGAGACAAAGAGAGGGAGAUAGGUGGGGGAUGGCAGGGAGGGGAAUGGAGAGGGAGGAGUGAGGUUGCCAUAAAAAGGGGUUAUGGUUGAUUUUUUUUUCUCCUCAAAUCAAGGGUUGGUGUCGGGAUUGAGGGAUGUGUCAAAAUUGCCAACAACAACAACAACAACAAAGCCUUUUCCCACUAAGUGGGGUUGCCAAUAGAAGCCUAAAUUAAUGGGUAGCUGUCGGUGAUUGAAAGAUUGAGAGGGAGAAAAUUGGGGGAGGUUGUCACUGACCCGAUGGAGUGAGCGAUUUUGUGAGGAUUACACUGACUUAUUGACUAGCAACACAAGACAAGACAUGCUUCCGGUAAACCGCCUCCGUCGUUUUCCUCUUCUCGCCUCCGUCUACCUCCUCUCCCCUUCUUCGUCUCCCUCCUCCUCCUCUCUCUCUCUCUCUAUGGAAUCGAUCGAUCUUCGAAGAGGAUAAAAGGAUCUAAAAUGGUGUGUUUCCUACUGUGAUUCUGUGUUUUUAAUUUUUCUGGGUUUGGCUUCUUCUGUUAUUCCACUACUAAUUUACAAAAAUAAUGAAUUUUGUACAUUUUGUUUUUAUUUUACUUUUUGUUAUAUUUCAUUGCAAUAUCAAAUAAAGUUGGUAUUUUAAAAUCUCACUGCAAUUUUUUUUGUUAUAUUGUUGGUGGGUAUCUUUAAUUAUGCCCUGAAGGAGGAAGGCAAAGAGAGGACAGACCUGGGUUUGGGGCAUAAAAGGGAUCUUUAGAUUUCUGUAAAAAUACUUUGUGCCUUUUUGCUAUUGGUGAUGAGUGUUCAUGAAUAUUUAUGCUUUAAUAUAGCUGUUACAGGAGCAAGUUGUUUAGUUAAAAUCCUAAGAAGAUUAGGGUAAAACAUUCCGGCUGUCUCAUUAUUGAUAGUCUGAAUUUCUGCAAUCUCUGAGAUAUAUUUGGGAUAGUUUUAUAGUGAUAUACGUCAAGGUUCAAGAAACAGUUUGCUGCACUGCAUUAUAGGAGUAUCUGGUUGAUGAAAUUUUCUGAUUUAAGCAUUUAGCUCCUCGACUGCAUUAAAUCAGUAUUUAAAGAAAUUUUUGUAUGAGAAUGCAUUGAUAGAAUUUUUUUUGCCCAAAAAUCAACUUACAGAGCUUCAUGUGAGUUAGUCUUAGCUUUUGAUUUAAUUUUUUUUAGAAUUAUUAUCAUUUUUUUUAUCUCUGCUGCUGUUUUGGAUUUUUUUUUUUUUUUAUGAUUUUUACGCAAUGUUCAUCUGUGUAGGCACUCAAAUUAGUGUUUUGGAGUGCAUCUUGACCAGACCACCACAAAAGAGAAAAUGGAAACCAAAAUCAGAGCCAUCAAAACAAACAAAUGCUGGUAUGUCCUAAAAAAGGUUGGUUUGUGUACUUUCAAAAAAUAUAUGGAAGAUGAGAAUAUUGAUCAUGGUGUAGAAUGUGAUGGUAAUGUGGUUGAAAAAGAUAAAAUGUUGCACGAAAAGAUCUCGGAGCUCAUUGACGAAAAUAUGCAGCACCAGGCUGAGUUGAUAAGGAGAAACAAGGAGAAUAGUGAAACAAUUGAGUGGCUUUUAUCCCAGGUGCAUAAGCUAACAGAUGGGAACAAAAUUUUGAGGAUUAAUCUGGGAAUCCAUUAGGAUACUACUGAUCAUACAAUUGCAAUCCAUAAGGAUGCUACUGAUUAUACAAUUACAAGGCAAAACAAGCCUCAGUUUUCAAAGUCUAAGUCCAUGGGGCCAUCUUUCCCUAGAAGGCUCACUGGAUGCCUAGAACUUGAUCUUAAUUAGCUACUUUUCAAAUUUAGUAGGUAGAGUUAUAAGUUUUCAAAUGUAUCUGUUUAUAUGCUUUCAUAAUACAUGUGAAGAUUCCGAGUCAAUUAUAACAUAUUUCAAUUUUAAUUUUAUGAGUAUAGAAAAGGAACUGAAUGCUUUGUUAUUUUGAUCUUGUAGCUGAAGCCAAGUCUGGAUAGAGAGAAAGAUCUCAUGGCAGGAAUCAUGGACUUGAUGAAGGUGAGGUUAACAAAGUGUGCUUUAGCACCAAGAUUGGAAUCUGGGUGUUCUGAGUUUUGUUUUGUUGUGAUUUUCUAUAAUCUAGAUGCUGAAAUACUUGGAGUUGGAAUUAAUAAGAAUUGAUUGAACAUGGAUUUUUUAUUAGAUUGGUAUGGCUGACAUAGUUAAGAAGUAGUUUAAGAUGCAGUGAUUAGGGAAUUUCUUUAACUGAACAUAUUUGUUUUCACGAGGUAGAUAGAAUCCUCUGUAAUUUAAUUAACUAGAUUGAAAUUUGGGAUUUGGAUUCUUAAACUAUGGUGGUUAAUGUCGCUUUUUUGGUGAAUUUUUCAAGUGUGGGAUUUAUAUUGUUAUUCUCAGUUGGUAUAUAAAUAUUUGAGUGUGCAAGAAAUGGUUACCAUACAAGAAACACAAGAAUUGAAAUUAGAAGGGAUAAGGGCAGUUUGCAGAGGGUUGGUUCGGGGAUGGUAAAAGUUACGUAGGUGGCGAGAUUAAUGGUGGUGGUUUCGUGGUGCCGUAGUUCUCCGUGAAAAAUGGCGACGGUCGUCGCCUUGCUAUUUCUGUGCAGAGCAACAGUAUCGAGAGAGAGAGAGAGAGAGAGAGAGAGAGAGAGAGAGAGAGGUGAGGGAAAUAGGGAGAGUAAUAGAGAGGGAGUGAGACAUGAGGGUGGUGGCAAGUUGGUGCAUCGAGGGAGUGGCAAGUGAGGUGGUGGUGGUUUCUCGAACGGGAGAUUUAUGGUGUACUAGAGAACUUGACUCCUCUCUCAGUCUGGUCUCUGGAGAAGAAAACCAAACAUAGCUAUGCAUUAGCAAAGUUUGAAAUGAGGAUUUUUAAUCUUUGGCAUGCUAUUGUCUUUAUUUGAUCAUUCUUUGAAAAAAAUUCUGAUGGACAAGUGAAAUAAACUGAAUGAAAACUUGGAGAGAAGUUCUGAUUUUUAAUAUCUUUAAUCGGGGAUUAUUAUGAUGCCCUUUGACAAUUGAAAUGUGAAUGCAUUAUGUUGUUUAGAACACAAGUCAAUAUUUUUUAAACUGGAACAAAACUCCAUUAUCUAGACUCGAGUUUUGCUAAAAUUGUUUUAUAAAUUUCAUUAUAGUUAACAAAAAAUAAACUUAUGAAAUCUCAAUUAUGAUUGUUCAUGUGCCCCUACUGAGAAAUGUGUUAGGUAUGAUGAUGGAUGCUAUAGAUAGAAAAAUGUUGGCUUAAGGUUGGAUUGCAGGUAAAUAUGUGCUAUCCUGGAUGAUGGAAUUGCAUAGCAUCCUAAGUUUCUAUAUUUUUCUCAACAGAUUUACUGAAAAUGUUUUCAAGGAUAUUCAACAAUAACUUUAAUCUUCAGACUCUCAUUGUUGCAGUCUCUAAUGCUUUAGUUAAUCCUAUUAGCCUAUUGUUAGAUCAAUUAAAAGAGUGUUUUAGCCUUCUGUUAGUGUUUCGUCUUAUAUACUUUCUCAUUGUUAGAUCAGUUGUGAUUCUGUGUGGUUCAUGUUUCCGGGUGUAAAAUUGUUCAUACAAUCUCACUUUUGCAUCUAAUUAAUGAGCCAAAAAGAAAAUUUUUAACAUUUUAAAUCCUAAUUAUCUCUAUUUCAGCCAAUGCAUAUUUUUUCCACCUAAAAGUCUUUGAUGCAUGUCUUCUUUUUUUUUAAGUAUUGAAACAUACAUUGUUCUAAAUUUGUUGAGCACUUGAAACUUUACAAGUUAAGACUUGGAAUUUUAUGAUAUAUGAUAACUGUUUUGUAUGUUUGUUGUUGAUUAAGCACGUGGGAUACAACUCGGUCUUAGACACUUAAUAAAAAUUUAUUGUUUGAAAUUAAUGGGGCACAGGUUAUUCUCAUGAUAUUGGCUGCAAAUGCUGCAGUAGGAGUGAUUACAGAAACCAACGCAGAAAAAGCUUUUCAAGUAACUUUUACAUUUAUAGCAUUUCAGAAUUCGCAUAAAUACCAUAAAACAUCUUGAAAGACUACCAUUUCAAGCGGAUCUUUUCUUUCAUGCGGAAACCAAGCUUCCUUUUUCUUAACUCAUUCUACUAAAACUUCAAAUUAUGUUCAAUUUGUUGAUUGGCUGUUAGCACUUAAGUUGAUCUAUUUAUUUCCAAUGUACCCUUUUUUAUGCAUGACUGCUUUUCUGUUGCAUGUUUAAAAGAUGAAUGCAUCAAUUCUUAGGUAACCUUCUUUUUGUUCUGUGAUGUAGGACAGAGUAGGACAGCGGAAAUAGAUUGUUUAGCGGAAGUGAAUAGACAUAAAACUUAAAUUCAAACAUCAUUUCCAUUUAUGCUUCUGUUUUAUAGGACUGGGGGGGGGGGAUAAAAACAGUAUAUUUUGUUGUUGCAUGUUUCAUUAAUUCAAACUUACAAAUAUACACUCUCUUCAUUAUGCACAGUAUGUUGAUGUGAACUGAAUCUAAAUAAUUUGUCUUUCUGUCGAAAAUAUUCAUAGUAUGUCUUGCAUUACAGUUUCAAAACCCACAGCAGCGCGUGGGCAAUUUUAUUUUCCCUCUCCCUAUAUGUAGUUUAAUAUAAUUCAACAAGUUCAAAGAGAAUGAUCAGAAUGAAGGUUUGUAUUAGAUCCGAUGUGCUUCCUCUUUCUAUGCAUUUUGGUUCAAAUUAGGGUUUUAGGUUGAAACCCGAAAUGAAAAGAGAAUAAAGUUUUCAGGAUCUUUGGAUUUUGUGUUUCGAUGAGAGGAAAAGAUGAGAAAUUUAUUAAGAAAAGUUGUGAUCGGAUUUUGCAUGUUUACCGUUUUCAAGGUACGGUGUUCAUUCUUAACUUUAAAUUUGUUUCUCAAUUUUUUUUGUAGUUUUGGAUUUGUAAAAACCCUCGAUUGAAUCGGGAGCCUUGUGCACUGGGUACGACCGACAAAGGAACUUAGGUGGUAGCUGUAUUACUAAUUAGCUACAGAAUUUAUAUAUUCUUAUGAGUACGGUAUGGGUGCAGGUUUGCUAGUUUGCUUUUUGGGAUGAAAUUACUUUAAAUACAAAGGAAAAUUUGAUUGAUAUUAUUGGGUUGUAUGCAGAAAUUUAAGUUUUACCUAUUUUGAUAAUGCUCGGUUUUUGUGUAUUGAGUUGGAUAGACAGUUCAUAAGUUUGGUUCCAUAUUUAUUCGGAGAAGAAAACACAAAGAGGGCAACACAAUAACCCUAGGAUGAUUAUAUAUGGAAUGAAUUAAAUCUAUUAAUGAAUUAUAUUUUGGGUGUUGUUAGGAAGAAACGCCUACACUCCAAAUAUUUAUGAAUUGGAUUCAUUAUAAAAUAGGUAAAUUGUAUGCAUUACUUUGGCAUAAAUCUUUUGUUAAAUUUUAUUUUGCUGACUUUUAGUUUUUGACUUUCCUUUGGCAGGACUUUUAAUUAAGCAUGCAUCUUUGGUGUAAUAUUAUCAUAUUCUUGAGGUUUGAAUUUUUUACUCUUACUUUUGUGACCAUUAUAUGUUUGCAUAUCUAUCUUUUGGGUUAUCCAUCAAUUAAAAAUUAUUAUGUGAGGAUUUUGAUUGUUGACUUAUCAUUGGUAUAUUUCAAGUGGUUUUUGAUAUUUUGAUAGGUGUUGGAAAAAAAAAGAUGAAAUUGUUUUGCGCUCAAUGCAUAGUUAAUCUUAAAAUAGGGUUUAUUAAAUUGGUUUGAUGAUAUAUAGGUGGUAACAAAUUAAUGAUGUAAACUUCUACAAGGAAGAGGCUGAUGAGAGACUUCGAGAGGCUGCAACAAGACCUAUCUGCGAGGAUUAGUGGGGCGCCUUAGGAUAACAAUAUAAUGUUGUCGGCGAGGUUAGUUAUUUUUGAGGCUUUGCUUCUACAAACGUGAACUCAUUACAUGGAAACCGAAUUUUAUGUGAAUUUUAAUUGUUAUAUAUCAAACUCCUCUGCACUGAACUCUGUGUAUUACAACAAUUAUAAUUAGAACUUGGAUGAAAUGGGCUCCAUACAACAAAACUCAUGCCCUAACAAUAAUAAUUAGAACCAAAUUUGAUAAUUUCUCAUAGUUUAGGCCAUUUGGCGAAGUCAGAAUGAGAAACAUAGAUGUUUUCUUUAUCUUAUGCUAUUUGUUUGACUGUAAAUCGUAUGGAGUAAAUCUUUUGGUGUCAUUCUAAAUAAAUUGGAAAUAUGUCUCAUGCAAAAUUAAUGUUGAUGUUUAUCAAUGGAAAUAAGUUUUGAAGUGAUUACCUUUCUUUAUACAAGUUCUCUUCACAAUGAAACCUAUAUUAUAUAGUCACUUUUACUUGCUUUCGCACAGAGGGGUGUCUGGACAUGUAAUUGGCGUGUCAUUACUCACUAAAUCUUUUUUAUCCUUAUCUUCUAUAUUAAUAUCACCAUUUUUUGGGGUGCUCAUUGAGUGGUUUGGCAGGUAAUAGAUAAAGGUUUUAAUGCAUUCAUUUAAUGUUAUUGCAGAUCCGCUAAAUUCUUCAAGAAGUCCAGUUUACAGAACUGAAGCUGUUUAAGCACAAGGUGUCCCAGUUUAUAGAUGAGGUAUUAUAAAAUUUAAAAAGGGUCAAUAUUAUCAUUAUUGAUCCUUAACAUUUAACUAUCAAAGCUUGAGUUUAUAAUAAUUAAUUCUUCACUGAUGAUAUGUUGUGAUGGGGUUUACUAAUUUUCAGUACUCUUCAAUUCUUUUUAAUCAGCAAAAUCAAAUAACCCAUGGAAUUUAUGGCAUACAAUUAGUUUCCUUUCAGUUGGGUUGAAAUGAUAUUGAUUGUGCUGUUAUGAAGCUCCUUUUUAUAGUUGGGUUGAAAAUCAUAUUGAUAGAUUCUUUAUUUGGUUGAUCCUAUCUGUAACAAAUGGGGUUGUUUUGUUUGAUGUUUGAAUCAAAAUUUGAUCUUUUUUUGUGUGAAAUUAUGAUGGAAUCACAAAUUUGUGAGGUAUAUCUCAGCGCCAAACUAAUCCUCGCAGGCAGGUCUUGUUGCAGCCUCUCGAAGUCUCUCAUCAGCCUCUUCCUUGUAGAAGUUGACAUCAUUAAUUUGUUACUACCUAUAUAUCAUCAAACCAAUUUAAUAAACCCUAUUUUAAGAUUAACUAUGCAUUGAGCGCAAAACAAUUUCAUCUUUUUUUUUUCCAACACCUAUCAAAAUAUCAAAAACCACUUGAAAUAUACCAAUGAUAAGUCAACAAUCAAAAUCCUCACAUAAUAAUUUUUAAUUGAUGGAUAACCCAAAAGAUAGAUACGCAAACAUAUAAUGGUUACAAAAGUAAGAGUAAAAAAUUCAAACCUCAAGAAUAUGAUAAUAUUACACCAAAGAUGCAUGCUUAAUUAAAAGUCCUGCCAAAGGAAAGUCAAAAACUAAAAGUCACAUAUUCGGUGAGGGUUUAGGGGAUGGGAGGCCAUGCCUCCGAGAAGAGGGAGAGAGGAUCUCAGCGCCAUUGCUGCAGAUCCUCGAUUUCAUGAGUGGGAGAGAUGUUUGGAGAUUUUUUUCCCACUUUUUGAGGGACGGAUGGACAGGGGAAGAGAGAGAGAGGGCAGAGAGCAUGAUGUGCGUUUUUUGGGGUUAACAGGUUACCCCACGGGGUUGGUGAGCAGAGGAUGUCUGAGGGAGGUAUGGGAGAGGAGAGGGUUUUCAGUUUUGUCAUCUGAUUCAACAGGUAAAACAUUGUUCAGAAAUCAUUGUUUAUUGUUUGUUUCCCAUUUGCUUUGUUAAAACUAUGAUUGACAUUUUUUUGUUUCGACAAAAUUGUAAUGGAUGGUUAUAGCCUGUUUAGUUGGGUGUUAGGAAGAUAAGUCUGUUUGGUGCACUGUUUUGUACACUGUUAGAGUAAGGUUGUGUCUUUUAUACUUGGGGUAUUGCACUGUGCUCAUUUCUGUUUUCUUCAUGCUUUGCUGCUGUUUCCUUCUCAACAAGUCGAAUUCAAGUUCCUUUUCUGCUUUUCAUCCUUUGAAUAUCCCUCUGUUGCUAGGUUGUUUCUCCAUGUUUUGUUGCUUCUCUAUUUGUGUGAUAAGGGUGUUAGAAGGCUGUUUUAUUUAUUGUUUUAAUCCUCUGUUGCUAGGUAGUAUAAUUUUGAAACAAGUUUCUUCAUGUGUUCAAAUGCAUCAUUGUUUUUCGUUCUUCAGUUUCUUUUUCAUCAUUAGCUAUCUUAUGAUCAUUGAUAGUUUAAUACCAUUUGGGAAUUCACAUGCCACAACAAUAUUAAUUUCCAAGCUCCCCUGUUUGCAGCUUUAGCACGGUAAAACUUUAGUUUGGUUUAGUAUUGUGCUUUAGAGUGAACUUUGAGUGUUGAUAUAGGUGCAGGCAAGUAGUCAAACCACGUACAAAGUUUGGUGUUCAUGUUCUUUGAUUGUAUUCCUAAAUUUGUGUUGGAUAUGCAAUUAUAUGUUUCAAUAUUUUUCUGGAAAAUGUUGAGAUAAUUGGAAAAAAAAAAUUGGCUGGUGCUGAAUGAUGUCCAUGCCAUAGUUUUUAACAAAUUUCAAUUAGUUUUAAACAAGCAAGAAGCCACCUUUCAAGGACUAAAGCAUAUGUAAGAGAAUAUGUAAAACUGAAAACCAUUUAUAAUUAAAAAAAAAGGACGGAUUUACGGGCCACAUGAGAUUUUGACAUUCUGAUCAAAAAGUGGGAAAAAAAUCUCUAAACAUCUCUCUCACUGAUGAAAUUGAGGAUCUGCAGCAAUGGCGCUCAGAUCUCCACUCCUCCCUCUCCCUUUCUCUCGCUCCCAAAACUUCUUUAUUCCAAGUUGUAAAUAUGUUGUGAAUAUGCGUGAGUAGAGUUGUAAAAUAGAGAGAGAAAAUGAACUUUAAACAGAUGAAGGAAACAAAAUUUAAGCAAAAACUUCCAAUCUUUAAAAAUGUGAGGCUUUUCAGUAGGUGUGUUUUGUAAAAAGGUUUUAAUCUUUCUUAGAAAUGUAGCUUUCUCAGUUAUGCAAUGCUUUUAAUAGGCAUAUUUUUAUCUUUCCUGAUUGCUGAUUUAAUUUGGGUUUUGUUAAUAGUUUAAUUUGGAGUUUAAUUGAAGGUUUCAUUCAGGUUUGUAGUUGGGGAUUAAUUGAGGGUUUUACUUUACUUGGCUUAAAUUGCAGAAUGUGGCUUUAAAUUUGAAAGUGUCUAGGUUGCUAACAAAUCUGCUUUCUUUGCAGAUUACAGAAAUUUGGAUCAUUUGAGGAAGAAGUUGGUUCCAUGCUGUUUUGAGGUAUAUAAUUAUACGCAAUCAUUUUUGUUCAAAGCCUACUUAGCUAUCUACCUUCCAACCCAGCCUCAAAUCCCAUGGCUUUGUUGUAAAUAAAACAAAAUCAACAAAAAUUUGAACAGUGCCUGUACUUUAGACUAACGUAAUGUCUUCGUUCCCAGUCCAAACCCUAACGAGGUAGAACAGAGUUUGCAUAAUCAACUGGUAAAUGAUACAGGAUUAUCUUCUGGCGUGGAUGAGCAUCUAGCUAAGGAGGCAAUAAAAGCAGGUAGACUCUUCAUCUUCCGUUGAUUGUCAUGUAUAUGUUGGUGAUAUACAUUUUGCCAGUGCAGAUGGUUGGUACUAAAGGACUCUGUUCUUGAUUUCUGGGCCAGUUUCUGCUGAGAAACAAAGGAUUGCAGGGGAGAUUGCAUCAUUGCUAAAGCUCAGUGUAUAUUUGAUACUAACCUGUCUGAAAGGUUAGCUCAUCUCAUUUAGUUUUAUUGUUUGUUAUUGUUAAUUCGACAUCGUCAAGGUUGGUUUGUGUCUACCGAUUAUUCUUGUUUAAUGGGUUUUUUGAUGUUCAAGAUUUAAGAGAAACUUGUGGUUGUGUCACGUUUAUGUAUGAUUCUACUCACAUUAGACUAGGAAGAGAUUAUAUACCAAUUUGUACCGUUUGCACGGUUAUGUAUGAUUCAGCACUCAACUUAAAGAGUGAUUUCAUAUAUGUUGUAUUUAAUCCUUUGCUGUUAUGGUCGGCAAAUGCUGUGCAAGUUCCUCUCCUUCUUUUCUUUGCUGUCGUACUGAUUUUUCUUGAUCUCAAUUUUAGUAUCUCAGCGUCAUAUAGCCCCUUCUUUCUCAUAUUAGUUGUGUUUAUAACCGAGUAGAGUAAUAUAGUCCAACUGAAUUUCUUGUUCGCUUUGGCGUGUAAAUUGUUUUCUGCCAGCUUAGAGAAGACCAUUGCUGCAUAGCGAGCUGGGGCAGAAGUUGCUGGACUACCUGUAUGCGAUUGUGUUCUUAUUGCAGGAAGCCAGUCUGGUGUAGCUGAAGCUGAGCAAGUGGGCAUGCCAUGUGUUAUUUUAAGAAGCAGGUGGAGGCAUUUUUUGCUUCAGUAUUUUCCUGUUGCAGAUUCUCACAUACAUCUACGAGCUUUAUUUUUUAAUUGCUCAGAACAAAUCUCUGCCAGUUUACAAUUUCUUUAAAUCCUUAUCAUUUUUAUUUCCAGUGUUCACGUAGUUUGACGACUAGAGCUGAUUUCCCUUCAGCAAAUGCGAUGAUGGAUGGGUUUGGAGGAGCAGACCUGACCGAUCAAUAAACUGCGCAACAAGAGACGGUCAUGAAAUUCGAAUCAUGUUCCUCUUUUUGCGAGACUACUAACAGAGCUGUAAAUCUUUUUUUUUCUUUCCAUUAUUGAACAGCGUAAACUGACAUGAAUUUCAUAACUAGAAACAACAUAAACUAAUGUGUACCUUCAACUAGAAGCAAUCUUUUUUUAAGUGAUACUGGGGAAGUUAGAUUCGAACUCGUGCAUAAAGGAAAAUGUUUUAAACCAAUUUAGCUACAAAUCAGACAAAUUUAACUACGAACGAAAAAUAAAAUUGGACAUUAAACUACUAAUUCUAACUGAUUCCAAUUAAUCAAUCUGGUAUUGAUCAUAAAAGUGGUGGGAUCAGUGGCGGAGCCAGAAAUUCAUGCCAGGAGGGGCCUUUAAACUAAUGAAAGAAAUUAUUAAAAAAAAUUAGUAAUAUCAUGGAAAUUUUGAAUCAAACAAGAGUGAUGGAGCUUUAAAAUUUGUAUGAAAAAAUUAGUAUUGAGAGAUGUCAUAAUAAAUAGAACCUGUGUAGACAUCUAACGCAACAUUGAUAAUAACGUUAUAACUAGCUCAAACUAUUAUUGCGAUAUUUUUCUUUUAAUAUUAUUGAAUCUUCCUCUCGAAUAUAUAUAUCUUGUUUUAUAUGAACUACAAAAAAAUAAUCUAUUAUUACGAUACUUUUUUUUUAAUAUCAUUCAAUCUUCCUCUCGAAUAUAUAUACCUUGUUUUAUAUGAACUAACAAAAAAAUAAGGGAAAAUUUGAAAGAAAUCCAAUUUUAUAGUCCAUCUUUUGAAAUAAGUCCAAUUUUUAGUGACUUUUGACUUUUGAAAUAUGUCUAAUUUUUAGUACAAUUGGACCCAUAUCAAAAGACCCAAAAAAUAAUUGGUUUAAAAGAAAUCAGAAUGUUAGCAGAAGGGUAGUUAUAUAUGGUAAUUGGUAAAAAAAAAAACCAUAAAGUAGCUUUCUGUCAGCAGGCGUCGACCCCGGGACCUAAUGAAACCUUUAAAACCUGACAUACCAACACACCACAUGCAUAUUAUUGCAAAAAUUACUACAUAAUCAAUAUAAAUGUAUUUCCAGGAUGGGCCCUGGACUACCCUAGUCUCUAUGUGGCUCCGCCAAUGGAUGGGAUUCCCAUAACUGCGAGACUCACAUUAACCGCAGCGGCUGCCGUACCAAGUGCUAUUUUCCUCGCCAUUGUCCUUUUAUGGCGCUUGUGAGCUUCCUGAAAAUACAAAGCAGCAAAUUAAGUAUUAUAUUAGCUUGAGUUAACUCCCCAUUAUCUCUAUAAAAGCUUCACGGUAUUUUCAACUUAAAUGUAAAAUAAAAGCUGAUCCGUUAUAAAAUAUACCAUGGAUGAAGUAGCUUCCACGAUAUAUUUCUGAGUCAUUUCUUUGAACUUGUACCACAGUCGUUGGCACUGUACCGGUGUGAAUAGGGUAUCCUUCAAGGAAACCUAGUUCAGAAUCAAUUCUCAAUAAGAAACUGCCAGUUCAAUUAUAUAUAUCCUAUCUAUAUCUAUACUAUUGUAUCUUUUAAUAAAAUCCUCUUUGUUGACAAAAAAACUAAUGAAAUACUAUUACACCCAUCCAUGCAUAAUUGAAAGAAAAUAUUAGCUAAAAAAAAAAGUCAUGGGCAUUAAGUAAUUUUGCACAAAAAAUUUUGUUUUUUUCUUUCCCUCACCCGCAUAUGUAACCAGAGUUUUACUUCUUCACUUUCUCUCUCCCACUUCCUACUUUUCUUAUUUUUUUUAUUUUAAUUUCCAUUCAAUUAAAAAUCUAUUUUAAUUUCAUUUUUUUUAAAUUUCCAUAUAUAUAUAUAUAUAUAUAUAUAUUAAACUAAGCAAAACACAUUAAAUUAGUAAUACAUUGUUCCAACUCGAGGGAAGAGAGUCUUCAAUUUCUUUCGUUAAACAAGAAAAGAGUUCAUCAUAAUUUCGUUUCUCAUCCAAGUCAAUGGUAGCCAUAACCGCCAAAAUCUUAAGAGACUGCACAAAAAAGAGAGUGAAAAAAGGUUACUAAUUAAACAAAAACAUAAUAAUGUUAUGUCAAUGUUAAACUUCCGUUGAUUUAUAUUAAAUUAAGUUGUUCUCAGUGAUUACAGCAGAAUGGGCUUCUUCUGUAGCAACUGUGAUAUGCUUCUUCUUUUUCCAAGCCCUAGGCUGUGAAUUGCUAUCGUAACAGAAGACCCUUGAAAACCUGAAAAUUGUUAACCAAUUAAACUCUGAUAAUUAAGCAACCAAAAAGAUGACAAGAGUAUAUAUAUAUUUAUAUAUAUACAGUGAGAAAUUUGCUUUACCUAUCUUUCAUUUCGGUCAAAACUUUUUCAGCAACAAUAUUGUCUCUUGCUUUUUGCUCCACCACGUUUCUGGCAAUGUUGCUUAAAUAUUGCCUCAUUGCGUUGAAUUCUUUUUCUUCCAACUCAAAACCCUGUAUAGAUAACCUUGAUAUUGCAUUUUCAGUCUCAAGCUUAAGAAUUCUUCUUAUUGAAACCCACAUGCCUUCUCCACCAUCCCCAAACGCAGGGUCUACUUGACUAGUUAAAGAUGCAACAAGUUGUUCCUACAGUCAACAUUAUACAAAGUUUCCCAAAUAAGUAAUUUUCUUUAAUUUAUAAUACAACGAUAUGGUUUACGCUAAAGGGUGGUUGAAUAUUUCAACUAAGCUGCACAAUACCAAGCCAUAAUAAAUUGAUAUUGAACUCGUCUUCCAAGGAAGUCGAACCUGAGAAUUCACACUUGCAAAUGGAGAGUAAAUAUCAUUAUACCAUUACCAUAGCACUAGUUGCCCUCAAAUAAGUAAUUUAAGUAAUAAUACAUAAUCAACAUAUGAUUUAUUUAAUAAUUCUACAUACUAAAGCACGUAAAACUGACUACAUUGAGUUUAAUCUCUAAAAAUUGACCCUAUAAUUGCUCAUACACUAUCUAAUAGUCUUUAAUAGAGUUCACAAUAAGUUAUUUGAUGCCAGUCAAACUGAAGACAUGUUGGACUUCAGAUGUCACACAAAACCAACAAGUUACGGAAGACGGUCUUUAAUGGAGAUUGACUCUAUCAUUGUAUGGGCGACCAACACAUAUUAGAUAUUGUGUGAGGAAAGAGAUUCAUUUUGUGUAGAAAUACUACCUUAUAUUUGAGCUUCAAUUCUGACAACUUUGCACUACGAAUAAAUGAUGCUGCAUGUACAUCUAUAUCGCGUUGAAGCUUUUCUACAAUGGUUGAAAAACUCCAAUUUCUAUGUUGUAAGGAAGCAUCUGAAAGGAUAACUUAGCAUGGUUAAUUCAACUCAUCUAGUUAAGUAGAUGAAAUGCCAACAAUGAUGUUGUUUUAAAGAAAUUUGUAUGCCUUGAGAAACAAGUAACAGAAUCACAAAGGAUAUGAUAUAUACCAGCACACCAUUGGCGAAAUUCACGCAUGGAAGAAAGAAUACAGGCACGAAGAGAUUCAUCAAAUCCUUUUUCUGGGUUAAGUGACGCCGCCCUCACUUUAAACCCUUCAAAUGCUUUAGAGCAUAAGUGUACCAACAUGGUAUUGUACACAGCCUGGGCAGACUGUACAGUCCAGAGGAAAGCAAGAUUAUGAAUAGGAUUAAUGGUAAUAAAUAAGAAUAAAAUAAAAGGCUCAUUGACUUUGAAUUAUGGAUCGGUUCAAUGCUUCAUUUUAUAUAUCCUAUCUCUUGAACAAGCAUACCUUAUGCGUAGAACUGCGCCUAAGAAACUGAACUUAUUUUCCAAGAACAUGAACUUACAAGCAAAAAAUAUCAUACUGAUGUGCCCCUAUUUCCUUGAGCUGCAGUGUGCAGACCUAACUAAAACUUUGUUAACUACACUACUAGAAAACUACACGUACAGCACAAACUUACAAGCACAAAUAUCAUACUGUGCCCCUAUUUUCUAACAUUAAGCACAAAGUAGUUCUAUUCGUACUCUUUUCUUUUCAGGCACAUGUAACCGUGUUGUAUCCUUACUUAUUGAGUACAAGUUUACAUGGGUCCCAAAGGACCAUCCUAACCUGAGAAUAAGUAUUUAACUGACACGAAACGAUUAGCUAGAGAGGAAGAUCAUAAAGUAGCCAUACCUGCAAUGCUCUCGACUCCAACAUGUGUCGUUUCGACUUCCUUACACCUUCGUCAAAGUCCACGACCUCCUUGUCAUAUCUAUAUGUGAUGCACAAAUAAGCAAGAUAUAUAUUUAUCAAGGCAUACAAAUAAAGUAUCAUAAGUAGUAGAAACUAGAGUGGAACUUACUCAGAAAGAUAGUAGUAUAGAAUUGAGCUGACCCUUUUACCGAAAUCUUGUACAGGACCAGUUUCAGCAGCUUUUUGUAAUGACAACCAGCGCUAAAUAAUGUUCAUCCAAGCAACAACCAAUAAAACUUCCCUUAAGUUAGCAUCUAACAAAUGGAGAUAACUGAUUAAUACAUACCUCACUUUCCAUGAAUUGUCCCAAUGUCUUGUCGGCAGUUGCUUCACAACGCAUGGUGGCAACCAUAACCUAAUAUAAAAACAUUAUUUGUAGAUGGUUAUCUGAUUAUGAGAAGUCCUGACCACAAAUAUUGUUACGUCCAAUGGGAAAAUUUAAUAAGAAACAAACAAAGUACCCUUUGAGAAGGAAGAUCCAGGUCUUUGUUCUGUUUGAUCUCUUUCCAAAUCUGCUGUAUCAUGAGAGAAAAUGCAGAGGCAGGGACAGCACGCCUUCUAUAACCAGGAAGGCUUCCUGAAGAAGUAGAAUUGACAAGACGCUGCUUCAGUUGAGCAACCUGCAUGAUACAGUCAAAUGUACGUAAGUACCACGCUCCACUGUAAAGUUCUAUACGAAAACCAUGGUUUAACACCGCAAGGGAAUUUGGUCCUUGCACACAUUGAUCUGAUAGAUACUGGGAUCGCUCACUUUUCUACUCAAGGAGUUUUGUGCAGUCACAAUUAAUAAAGUGAUUUUUAAAACUAGGUUUCGUCUUCCUCGGCGGACAACUAAAAAUUGGUUCAUUUGCUAGCUCAAACUUUAAUUUCUUUCAAUUUCUUUGACGCGGUCUUGCAAAUAUGUCGCCGCAGAUUGUGCUUCUUGGAACAUAUGAUGCAGAUGGAGUCGGAGUGGAUUAAAGAUCAAGUCCACGAGCAAGAAUUACUUUGCAAAUUUGGACUCCCGUCCCGUUACAAAGACUGCGACAUCACAAGUUCAACACACAGCUUUGCUAUGUCAUAUGGACUUUCUCGGCAUAUUUUAUCACCAUUUUAAGUUUUUACGACGUGUUGGGUAUUUUGUUAUUUGUUUAAUUAUUUUUCUACCAAGAAAAUCUAGAGCUAACAGUCAUUAUGUAAGGCUUAUUUUUAGUUAUGACACAUGUUCAUCAAAUCUCACUUUACUACACUCGAUAUUGUCUCACUUUGACACCUACGCUCUUCCCCACUUAAUCCCUUACACUCUAUAUUAUCUCACUUUACUAUUUGUACUUUUCCUCAAUGCCCUACUUUUUACCUUGUUCCAUAAAAUAGAUUAAGAGAAUUGUUAAUUGUGCUAAGUCAUGGACAAUUUAGUCUUUUCAACUAUUUUGAUGGGUUAAAUCUAUGCACAUUGAUCUAAAAACUUUGAAAUUGACUUGCGAAUCCUGAAAUUCAACAUUCUCUUCCUCUUUUUUCUCUUGAUCUAAAGAAAUCAAAUUCUUCUUUGAGUUUAACACACCUCCUUUUACCCAUAGGUUCCACUAACAUGAAAUGUUAUAUGCUACACAACCAACUUAGUUGAUGGAAUUAAUAGGUUAAUUAAAGUGGGACAUAAAGGAAGAGUGCAUAUAGUAAAGGGUGACAAUAUAGAGUGUAGGGGGUAAUGAGGGACAUGAAGAAAGAGUGCAGGUGGUAAAAUGAAACAACAUUGAUUGUAGGGGGUGAAGUAAGAUUUGGUAAAUAGUACAUAUGCCAUAAUUUAAAAUAAGAAAUGCUAAUGAAAAUGGCUCAAAACUUUGAAUUCUAUCCAAAAGUUAUCUAAUAACUUUAUUCAAUAAUAAGGACAAAAGAAAGGAAAGGAAAAAAAAAACCCAUCCAAAUGCGCAUGCAACGUGCUCGCCAACCCACGUUUAGUUUCAGAAAUAAUACCCGUGUUCAAUUUUAGAAAUAGUCAGUUUAAGUAAUAGUGGUAUCAUGUUCAGUUUAAAAAAUAGUCAAUUUAAGAAAUAAUGGUAGUACCAGUGUUUUGUUUAAGAAAUAAUGAUAGCACUGUGUUAAGUUUUUAGAAAUAGUACCAUGCUCAGUUUAAGAAAUAGUGUAGUACCCGUGUUUAGUUUAAGAAAUAGUUAGUGUUCAAUUUAAGAAAUAAUGAGGGAGAUGAGAGAGAGUGUGUGUGAUGGAUGCGAUAAGUUUAAGCCAUUUUCAUUAAAUAAAGUUAUUAAAUGGUUUUUUGUCAAAAUAAAUGUAAUCCAAGCAUUUUUCAUUGAAACUCCCUUGAAAAGAAGCCUUGUACAAAACUACAUAUAGGCUUCCUUAGGUUUUUUUUUUUUUUUUUUUUAACAAAUGAUAUGCUUAAAUAGUUAGUUGUUAGGGGGAUGGGAAUCAAAGGGGAUCGAAUCUGCACCAGAGUGUAUAGACAUGAUUGAUUUCUACCACUAUGCUAAAGCAUCAGUCUACCUAGUUACAGUUUGUUAGCUUUCAUAUUUUCAUUCAAUAAACUUAAUUUGAGGUUCUUUUUGGUGGGUUCUAGUUUACUUGUUUUUUAAGGUUAUCAUUUGAUAUCUUCUCUUUGACAAGCUAAGUCACCUUAUUUACUUCUUCAACAAGGCAUUUUGAAGACAGCAAGGUGCUCUCUCCCCUUUGAAGGGAGUUUAACAACAAGGUCCUAACUAAGCUUUAACUUUCCUCAAAACUUGUGGGGAAAGUUUCUUGUACAACCGACAAGGUACCUAACUAAACUUUAGCUUCCCUCAAAACUGGUAGGGAAAGUUUCUUGUACAACCAAGGACUAAAACCCUAUCAAAACAUACCCAACCCAAAUCCCAAAAAGCGAAAGACCAAAACACCUCAACCCAAAACCCAAAUCACAUGAACUAUGUCCUUAGUUGUUAAAGAAAGUAAUCAUCAAAUGUUUAUCGGUGAUCUAAUAAUUUCUUAAGCCCCUAUUCGUAUUAUUCUAUUAUCGGAGUACCCACCUAUGACUUUGUUCGAAACUGGGAGCAGUGGGUGAGAUUUUAUAAGUGCAGGACAUUCGUGCUCCCUUCUCCCAUACCCUUUCUCUAUAGUUCUAGAUCUAUCUAGGGUUAUAACCAUAACUCUUGGGACUUGGGAGUUGAAUAUCAUGGGGCAACUCGAAAUACUUUAGCUAACCCUCUUGAUCUUUGCGAAACUUGUCCAAUGGAGGUUCAAGGUGGUUCAAGGCACGGAAGGCUCGCAAUUAACAAGAAGCAUGGAUCGUUUGGUUGCACUUCCGCAUGAGGUAUAAUCGGAUACCUUGACAUGAGAUAUAUAAUGAAUUGCUUUUGAUAAAGCAAGAGAGGGGUACCUCUUCCUCAAACUUCUCCUUCAGAAACUCAUAAUUUGACAAACCAACUACGUGUACCUACGUAUCAAAGGAUGUCAAAAUCAGAGACAACAUAUACAUAUAGAUAGAGACGAUCGAUCGGGAAACACAUUGACACACAUUUUAACAGAUUUUCUUGUAGUUCACAUUCCGUAACUUUUUUCAACGCUCUGAAAUGUCUAUAUUAUAAUUUAUCAUUCAUAGAUCAUUUUUACAAAAAAUUAGACAAAUCUAAAAUCAUUAAGAUAUUUAUUUUCAGUGAAGAAAAUUGAAGAAUAUGGUUUUACAAAGAAACACUAAAAUGACCAUAUUUUAGUUGUCAUAUUGUUUCAGAUUUGGGUGAUUUUUUAUAUAAAUGAUUUGAGGAAAAACUUAAAAGAUAAACAGUUAGAUUGUUGAAAUACUUAUGGAAUGGGCCUUGAGAAAUUGUGUCAAAAUUGUGUGUCCCGAUCUUAAUCCAUGAUUGGGAAGAUGAUCAAGAAUAAUCAAGACAAGAGAUCUAACGCUAAAAAAUUCAGAGAACGGGGUCCUUUCAUGGGCUUGGGGCUUCGGAACUGCAUCCCAUAUCUGCAGAAUUUGUUCACACCAUUAUAGUGUAAGGCAUACCGAAGAAAAGGAAAUAACCAACAAAAUCAAAUCAUAGAUGAAGGCAAAAUUAAUUACGUAGUACGAAUACCUUCUUUAUAUCCUUCCUUAAAUCAAGCUCCAGAUUUUUAAACGGGGUCUAAAUUAACGAAUGGCCACAAACUAGAGAAUUAGUUUGUAAGGAAGGACUACAACGUAAUUGAACAGAAUGGUCUUGUACAUAUAUUACUAGCCAAGUAAGUUAUAUUAUAUAUCUCCAGACCUGUGUCGAUUUAUCACGAAUGAUAAAAAAACAACGCAGUUUGUCCAUCAGGGGUGCCGAUUAAUCGCAACCUCGCCUAUAGUACACUCAAAAGUUACAUAAUAUCCACCGUUAGACGACAAUAUACUAGAGAAUUAGGGUCUCGUUUGAUAUUUAAGAUUAAAUUAGAGACAAACACGGUCAUAUAUAAUCAUAGCUAUUGAGUACCUGAAAAACAGUUCUUAGUAAAGGUUUGUUAGCAGCAUUCUCCCGACCAAGAUCAUGGCACCACCUGUAUAGAUAAUUGAAUCUCCAAUUGAUAUCUAAAAUAAUCUGAAAUCACAUGUGUGUAUAUGUAAUUGAAUCCUUAUGAACUGAUAUGAAUUUUGUUAGAAAGACCCAAGAAACCUUAGACUAAGUCUUUCAACUGAUGGGUUCAGUCCCCACAGCUGUUUGAAAACUUAUAGUUGUUGGCCUGUAAUACUUGUCAACCAUAAUCUUCCUUCAUACUUGUGCAUUAUAAUGUACACAUUCAUAUAUUUAUAAUGUACCCAGUUUUCAAAAAAAAUUCCCACUUUGUAUAUGUAAAAUGCACCAAUUUUUUUUAAUGUAAAAUGUACCCAUUUUUAAGUGUAAAAUCUAUUCACUUUUUAUUAUCUAUAAUGUACCCAUAUUUUAUAAUAAAAUGUACCCUUUUGUAAUUUAUAAGGUAACAAUAUUUAAAAAUAAAAAUACUUUUUUUUUUCACUCAAUUAAAAUUUGAAGAAAAAAUUAAAACUCCCUAUGCGGUAUUAAUCUUUGCACAUUUUAAAGAGGAACUGUUAAUUUUCGUUAUAAAUUUCUUAAUUAAUACUGAAAUUUAAUAUUUUGUCCUUCAAUCAAAUUAAGUAUUCAAAUUAAUGAAGUUUCAGUUUAAAAAUUUUGGUCAAUCACGGACCAGAAGCAAAGUUUUCCGAAAUAAUUUAAAGAUAUAUUAUGUAUAUUAUUGAAGUUUUGGUUUCAACUUUGUUGUUUUCAUUCUUAUUUUUCUGCUGCAAUAGCAGCAUUGUUUAUAUACAUACAUCUUACAUACGCGCAUGCAAUAAAGAAAAGCAAUACAGGUGUUGUGCUUGCUGUCAUGAUGCAGCAACUAGGGAAAAAAUAAACAGCAAACCAUAGCAACAAAACCAUGUGAUAGUCUAUCUGUCAAGGAAUAUACAUCAUUCCUUUUCACGAGCAAUAUUCCCUCUCUCCAUACUGUCAAUAUCUUAUUCCCUCUCUCCCAUACUGUCCUAGCUGUCAAUACUCCCCCUCAAGCUGGAUCAAGGGCGUUGAUUGAUCCAAGCUUGAACAAUAACCGUUGAAACUGUGUAAAAUCAAGAGCUUUCGUGAAAAUGUCCGCAAGUUGAUCAUGACUUCUAGUGUACACAGUUUCGAUGAUGUUGGAUUGAACUUGAUUGCGGAUGUAGUGGCAGUCAACUUCAAUGUGUUUAGUCCGUUCAUGGAAUACAGGAUUGGAUGCAAUAUGCAUGGCAGCCUGGUUGUCACAGAAUAAGGACAUGGGUUCCUUGCUGGUGAAGCCAAGAUCAAGAAGUAGACUCUUCAACCAGAUGAGUUCAGAAGCUGUUGCUGCCAUGGCCCGAUAUUCAGCUUCAGCACUGGACCGUGCAACCACUGUUUGUUUUUUACUUUUCUAGGUGACAAGAUUUCCACCUACAAAGGUACAAAAACCUGUGGUGGAUUUUCGAUCAAGGGAAUUACCAGCCCAGUCCGCAUCGGUAUAGGCCAGAAUGUGGUUAGACUCAUUUUUCUGCAUGAGUAUGCCUCUGCCGAUCGAGCCCUUGAGAUAUCGAAGAAUUCUCUUGACAAUUUCCCAAUGUACCAAUGUAGGAGAAUGCAUAAACUGACUGAUAAGGCUUACGGAGUAAGCAAUAUCAGGCCUUGUGAUAGUUAGGUAAAUGAGUUUCCCAACCAUGCGUUGAUACACAUUAGGAUUUGAAAGAAGGGUACCUGGAGCAUCCAGUUGAAGUUUGCUAGCAAGAGGGGUGCGGGCAGGUUUGCAGUUGACCAUAUGUGCUUCAUCAAGAAGGUCAAGGACAUACUUCCUUUGAUUUAAGAAUAAACCCUUAGAGGAGGUAGCCAUCUCAAUUCCCAGAAAAUAUUUCAAGGAUCCCAAAUCUUUAAUGGCAAACUGUUGGUGAAGUGACCCUUUAAGAGCCUCGAGUUCAUCCAUGUUGUCCCCCGUGAUGAUAAGGUCGUCAACAUAUAUAAGAACUACAAGCUUCCCUUGGACACCAUUUCGAACAAAGAGAGAGGAGUCAGCAUGACUCCUUUUGAACCCUGCCACUUCAAGAACGGAGCUCAGUUUGGCAUACCAAGCUUGAGGAGACUGUUUAAGUCCAUAUAUAGCUUUAUGAAGCUUGCAGACUUUGGAAGGUUCUUUUUCUUGAGGGUGUCCUGGAGGUAGCUUCAUGUACACCUCUUCUUGGAGCUCACCGUGAAGAAAUGCGUUUUUAACAUCCAUUUGAAACAAGGGCCAGUCGUGGUUGACUGCUACUGAUAACAACACCCUCACAGUGUUCAUUUUGGCAACGGGAGCAAAGGUCUCCUUGUAGUCAAUGUCGUAAGUUUGAGUGAAACCCCGUGCAACUAAUCGGGCCUUGUGUCUUUCAAUGGUACCAUUAGAAUUGAAUUUAGUCUUGUAAAUCCAUCUACUCCCUACGGUUUUCUUCCCUUUGGGAAGAUCUACUAUACUCCAAGUUUGAUUUUCAUUCAGUGCUUUAAGCUCAUCAUGCAUGGCAUCUCUCCACACAGGCAUACAUACUGCUUCUUGAAAGUUUUUAGGCUCAACAUUGUUUGCCAACUGACUUAGGAAAGAUGCAUGAGAUGCUGACAGUUUGUGAUAAGUAAGGACUUCAGAAAUGGGAUGCCUUGCACUGUAAGUAAUGUACUCUUGUAGCCGUCGAGGAGGGUUGCGAUCGCGAGUUGGAUUUCGUUUUGGUGCUGCUACAAUUGGUUGUGUGGCAACAACUGAUGCUGGGGCACGAGGUAUGUCUUCACUGACCAUCUCAUCAACUGGAGGAUCACUUAUAGGGUGAUAUGGGGGGGUGUCUGUAUGGAUUUCAGCAAGAGUUGGUAAUGGAAACAUAUCCAUUAGACUCUCCCCCUGAGAACUAUUUGGGGAGUGAUUGUUGAAGAAAGGAACGUGUUCAUCAAACCGUACAUCCCUAGAGACAACCAGCUUCCCAGUGUGUGGGUUAUAACAUUUGUAUCCUUUUUGAGAACUUGAGUACCCCAUAAACACACACUUGAUAGCUCGAGGUUCGAGUUUAUCACGAUGGUUUGCUUGAACGUGAACAUAACAAGUGCACCCAAAAAUCCUGAAAUGAGUUAAAUCAGACGUUCUUCCCUUCAUAACUUCAAAAGGUGAUUUGGAAUUUAGGACACGAGUGGGAAGUCUGUUAAUGAUAUAGGCUGCAGUAAGGAGUGCUUGGGACCAGAAUCUCUUGGGAACUUGCAUCUGAAACAUAAGAGACCUAGUUUUCUCUAAUAAAUCCCUAUUCUUGCGUUCGGCUACACCAUUUUGUUGUGGUGUACCCACACAACUAGUUUGAUGCAAGAUACCAUGACUGCUCAAGUAGUUUGACAGAUUAUUGGAGGUAUACUCGGUGCCAUUAUCUGAUCGUAAGGUACAUAUUUUUUAGGAGAAGUGGUUGGUUAUUAGCUUAUGAAAGUCUUGAAACGCUGUAAAAUUCACUUUUAGACUUUAAGAGAUAUAACCAAGUAACCCUAGAGUAGUCAUCUAUGAAUGUAACAAAAUACUUGUACCCAUCAAAUGACUCAACACGGGAAGGUCCCCAAAUAUCUGAGUGUACAACUUCAAAGGGUUUACUAGUUCUAGAUUUAGAGGGUACAAAAGGUAGCCUAGUGGCUUUUGACAUUUGACAGAUCUCACACUCAUGUGUGUUGGUACAAUAAUUUGGAAAUAACUUAGACAUUACUGGUUCGGAGGGAUGAGCUAGGCGUUGGUGCCAAAGUUGAUGCUUCUGGACAUGGCUUAGGUUGGCAAUGGGUUCCUUAACUUGAUUGAACUCCUUUGAGAGGUAGUACAGACCAUUUAAGAAAAAACCCUCACCAAUCUUCUUUUGAGUGACUCGAUCCUGAAAUACAACUGUGUGAGGAGAAAAAAUAGCAAGACAGUUCAAAGUAUGUGUGAUUUUUCCUAUGGACAGAAGCUGAAAUGGAAAUGAGGGUACAUAUAGUGCCGUAGACUCUACAUCACUCCCCAUCAAUUUAAUUUUUCCUUUUCCUAGGACUGGUUCCCCUUUCCCAUUUGCUACAGACACAUGAGUAGGAUUAGGUAAUUUUUGAAACUCAUGUAGACAAGCUUGUUUGUUGGUUAUAUGGUCAGUGGCACCUGAGUCUAUAAUCCAAAAAUCGUGUGUGAGGUAUACAUUGAGAGCCGUGGAAAGUGCACAAAUGAUACCUGGGAUAUUGCCGGAUGUAGUGGUGUUUGAAUUUGCCAAAAAACCAGCAAAUUUUCCAAGCAUUUAUGUGGGAUUUUCCGUGGUGACAUUGUUACCUUCAGCGAUAUCACUCUUCUUUUGGAGAAAGGCGGCAAACUCAUGGAUCAGGGAGAUAGGAUUUGAGGUGAAGUUUGACAUCUCAUUAGAUUGACAACUCAGAGAUUGGAAAGCUUUAGGCGCAAACCCUUUCCCAUCCCUGAUCAUUUUCCUUCCUUGUUAAACUUAGGUUUUAACUCAGGAUGUAAAAUCCAGCAUUUUUCCCGUACGUGUCCCUUGGUGUUGCAGUAUGUGCAUUUCCAGUCAGCUUUUCUUCCAUUAAAAGGCCUUUCACUAGUGGAGUUGUGGUUACUAGUGAAAACUCUAGCUUCUGAGCUAGACCGGGGCUCAACAUGCAUUACUUUCCUUCGAGUUUCUUCUCUUUGGAUUGCAUGACACACGUUGACGAAAGAUGGUAGCUCAGGAGUCAUUAGUAAAUGGCUACGCAAGUCUUCAUACUCAACUCCCAAACUUGCCAAUAGUUGGAACACUUUAUCUUCAUCAGCCCUUUUCAAGAGUACAGCGGAUUCAGUGGUGUGUGGACGGUAUAGAUCAAGUUCAUUCCACAUAGAUUUCAUGCUUCCAAGAUGCUGAAUGAAAGUUUGAUUACCUUGCUUAAGCCCAGCGAGGCUUUUCUUCAGUUCAAACACACGAGCAUUGUGUUGACUGUCAUACAUUUCCUUGAUCGAUUCCCAUAAGAUGUGUGAAGAAUCUGAGUAGCUGAAGAUCUCAGACAACUUGGGCUCCAUCGAGUUAAGUAUCCAGGACAUAACAAGCUGGUCAUUUGAUUGCCAUGCAUCAAAGGUAGCUGAGGAAGUCUCUGGAGGCUUGAUGGUUCCAUUUACGUACCCUAGUUUCGAUCUUCCUCCUAGGGCAAGAGAUAUAGCUCGUGACCACGACAAGUAGUUGAACUCAUUCAACAACACAGAGCACAGUCGUAGGUUGCUCUCUCCGUGUAUCAUGUUGGCUGGUGUUAAGGUUGAGGAACUUGUAGCCUCAUGACUAGAUGAGGUAUCUUCUGCCAUCACAACAAAUGAUGAACAGAGGAAGAAGAACAGGCUAGAAAGAUAAUCAACAGAGGCAGGACCCUAUGGUUCCUGCUCUGAUACCAUAUUGAAGUUUUGGUUUCAACUUUGUUGUUUUCAUUCUUAUUUUUCUGCUGCAAUAGCAGCAUUGUUUAUAUACAUACAUCUUACAUACGCGCAUGCAAUAAUGAAAAGCAAUACAGGUGUUGUGCUUGCUGUCAUGAUGCAGCAACUAGGGAAAAAAUAAACAACAAACCAUAGCAACAAAACCAUGUGAUAGUCUAUCUGUCAAGGAAUAUACAUCAUUCCUUUUCACGAGCAAUAUUCCCUCUCUCCAUACUGUCAAUAUCUUAUUCCCUCUCUCCCAUACUGUCCUAGCUGUCAAUAUAUGUAUAACGUAUGGUUUACUAGUAACUAAUAGCUGUUGUGUAUGAACUAUCCACACAUGCCCACUACCCAAUUGAAAUAUCCAUACAUCAAACGUAUGGUUUACGAGUAACUAAAGUCAGUAAAAUGGUCCAAUAGCCAAGGCGCAAAUAAUCCCAGAAAACUAAAGAACUUACAUAUUUAUCAUCACAAUGUCGGAUAUUGCCAUAGCAAAUAGAGCGCUUUUUUUCUCGAAUGCAGUAUCAUCCUGGAAAUGCCCAAAAUUGCAGAGGAAAUUGAGUAAAUCCAAGGAUGUUCAACAAUAUUUCACAAAUAGUAGCUCCUAAGGUUUGUUUCUGUAUCAAAUUCCAUAAAUUUUCUUUACUGAGUAAGUUAUCUAGUGACGAAAACUAAUCUCAUAGCUAACACACACUCUUAACACAUAACAAAUUACUCUCAACACAAGAUUACCUGGCCUCUCUCACUUCCAUCAGUACCCUCAAUAUCCAAGGCGAGGGUGCAAGGCUCAACGCCAACACACUUGGCAAUCCAAAUGCCCUUCGUUGUUUGGCUCCUGAAACGUAUAUAUAUACACACACAAAUACCGACUUGUGCCGAAAACAAAUAAGCGUACGUGCUAAAUGGUGCAAAUUCAUAAGUCACAAUUACAAACCUCCUAUCUGGAUUCAUCUCCUGAAACUUAGUGUCGAACAGAUGGUUCAUCAAAGUGCUCUUUCCUGUGAUUUCAUGUAGGCAACCAAAUUUCAGAAAACUAUAUAUAUAGAGCGCAACCAAUCAAACUGAAUAUUGAAGGUAAAGAUCACUUAUUCAUUACCUCCACUCUGAGGACCUAUGAUGGAAACAACAACAUAUUCUCUACACUUGGGAAACUUCACUCUCUCUACGAAGGUGUCGAGCCCAUAAGAAUUAAACUCGCAGUUUCCAUAGAUGAGUUGUGUGCCGCAGCUAUCUUCCCUCUCCAUUCUCUGCCCUCCCUAGCCUUCUAAACAGAGAAACUAAAGCAAAUGCAUGUGUGCGUGUCUUUGUGCAGUAGGGAAGUAGUGAGAAAAUAAUGGGAGACACUCAGAGAGAGAACUGUGUACACUAUUUACAUGCAUGUGUGUGUGUAUAUAUAGGACUUGGAUUGUCUGCCCUCUCAUCCCCUCCUAUUUUUGUGGUCAUGGUUAAGCCACAUCAACAUUUUAUAUUCUCAUUACUUUUUACUUUUUGUCUUAUUUUGUUUAUAUUCAAUUUUAAAUAAAAAAUUUAUAAUGAUUUAUGAUUGUACAAUGUACGAUGAACGGACGUGAUUAAAAGAUCCCCGGAAUCCUCACAAAGUGAAUCCGAAGAGGAUCCUCAUUCCACUCCAAAAAUGUUAGAUGUCCUGAUGACCACUCAUAAGAUCUUAUUUUACAUUUUUUACAAAUAUCUUUUUCUUUCUUAUUAAGUAAUUAUAAAAAAUUUAGAGUGCAAAAUGAUAUUUUUAAAGUGCUAAUAUAAUUUUAUAUUAUUUUAAAAUUAAUAGUCAAUUUUUUCUUCUUUAACAAAAACAUGGAAAGGUACAUUGAAAUAAGUAAUUAUCAGUAGCGUACUACAUAAUUCUCUCAUCUAUAUAGCCAAAUGUUACUAAAUUUCUUACAUCUUAAUUGGGACUGAGAUAAUUUUGUAUGUAUGUAAACAACUUGCUUUCUCUCGGUCCAUAUAUUUGCUACUAACGUUUUAAUUGGGACGACUAAAGUACUUUUGGAUGUAUAUAAACUUGCUUUCUCUUAGUCCAUAUAUUUGCCAGUAACAUCUUAAUUGGGACAUAUACUUUUGUUUGUAGGUAAACAACUCGAUUUCUCUCAGUUAAUAUAUUUACUAGUAAUGUCUUAAUUGGGAUUGACAUACUUUUGUAUGUAUGUAGACAACUUGCUUUCUCUCAGCCUAUAUAUUUGCCAGUAACAUCUUAAUUAGGACGACUGAGGUAAUUUUGACUUGUUUUCUCUCGGUCUAUAUAUUUGCUAGUAACGUCUUAAUCGGGACGACUGAGAUAGUUUUGUAUGUAUGUAAAUGACUUGCUUUCUCUCGGUCUAUUGGCCAGCACAACGUCUUAAUUGGGACUUUAAUAUUUUGUAUGUAUGUAAGCAACUUAGCUUCUCGGUCUAUAUAUUUGCUAGCAUCUAGGAAAAUUCGUAGAUUGCUAGCAUCUAGAAAAAUUCAUAGUUGCGUACCAGUCAACGAAUUAAGAUCCAACUUUUGAGUCUUGACUAAUAGUAUCAAUUAAAAUGUUCUGACAGACAAAUUCAUCUUGCAUAAUUUUUCAUUUUUAAAAAAAUUAUAUAGAAAUGUAUACGGCUAUAAAUUUUUAUCUAAUUAUUUGUUAUUUUUGGAUUAAUUUGCAAUUUUAGGUUUAUAUGUUACUGAUUUUGUUUUUAGAAAACUUCAUUUUAAUCCUUAAAAAAGAUGAGUUUUAGACUAUAACCUUGUGUACGAUUAAAAUCCAAUUUUUAUUUAUCUUUUUUUAUAUUUUAAUGUAUUAAUUACAUUUAAAUUUAAUUUUUAUUUCAUUCAUCAUAAUAUAUUUUAAUGACUACAAUUAAGCGACUAAUUUUUUUAUAAUAUAUAUUCCGAUAACAAUUUUGUAUGUUCUUUAUUUAGGUACAUUGAUACAUUUGAAUAUGUCGGUAUAUCAUCGGUACAAACAUAUAGGUACAUUGAUUCAAUAUAAUGCACUUCGUUACGUACAUUUAGGUACACACAUUUGAGUAUUGCCUUUUAGGUACAUUAAUUCAAUAUAUUAUAUUUCAGUACAUACAUUUAGGUACAUAUAUUUUAGUACAUACAUUUCGAUAUUGACAUUUAUGUACAUACAUUUUGGUACAUACAUUUCGGUAUUGACAUUUAGGUACUUACAUUUUUGGUACAUAUAUUUCGGUAUUGACAUUUAGGUAUAUUAAUUCAAUAUAAUACAUUUCGGUACAUACAUUUAGGUUCAUUAUAAUAUAUUUAGGUACAAUCAUGUAGGUACAAAUAUUUCCGUUCAAAAAAGUCAAUUUUAUAUAUUUCGGCACAGUCAUUUCUGUAGACUUAUGUAUUUAUAUAUUUUUGUAUCACAAAUUUCUUUUAAUAUUUUCUCAUUUACGUUCUUUUAUAAUUAAAAAAAACUAAAUAUGUGUAUAUUAAUAAAAUUAAAAUUUAAUGUGGAGAGAUUAAAUAAAAAUACACAUUAAAUAACAAAAAUUAAAUGUAAAUUUUGAUAAAAGUACCUCACUAUCUCAUAAUUUUACCUUUAUCCCAUUGUUCCACGUGGUUCUCCAUGCAAACCCAUUCAAACAUGGAACCCAUGCAACUGACCAGAUACCAAGCUGCACGACAAGACCUCCCAUAACUCUUACUGCCGUAUUAAUUGUAAAGGGUUGGCAAGCAGCCAGCUGUGCAAUUUGGCAUUAUGCGAAGAAGUAGUUGAUUUUUACCUACAUCCACAUCCCUAUAUGAAUGAGAACAUUCAAAAACGCAACUGCAAGUUGCGUAGAGCUGGGGUAAGCGUAUAAUACAAGUCGCAUUGUUGAAAUUUUUUCUUUUAAGUUUUCAAUUGUAUUAUUACAUUUAGAUACAUAAUUGCAUUUUCACUCGUGCAUGUACUUUUGGAAUCUCAUUCAUCGUUUGCAGUUUUGGUUAGCUAGUUUGUAAAUACUGAGCACUAAAUUGCUAAUUCUAUGCCUUGAAGUAACGAACCCUAACUGAAUUAUAAGUUCUAAAUUAUAUGGCUAUAAAUCUGUAAUAAUAAGUUAUAAUAACACUUAACAAAAUCCCAAAAGGCAAUGUUGCCAUUGCUUGAAGGAGUGAAAAAAAAAAAAGAACAAAACUUUGGAUCGCCUAAGGAAUGGAGUUCGGACUAGGGUUGGGUGGGGACAUGUGACGAGGAAAAAGAGGUCGGGGGGGGGGGGGGGGGAGUGGGGAGGGAGAGAAAAGUUAGGUAAAGACGUGUGAAGAGGAUCGUGGAAGAGGAAAGAGGAACAACCUAUCUUGAUAAUGUAAUAGAAAGUCACAAUAUAAACACAAUCUUACAGUAAUAAUUUCAUUGUGUAAACUUAGAUUGUAUAGUGUAACUUUACAUUUGUUGUAAUAUCAGACAUUGAAUAUUAACGUUGGAAAUUUGGUCUCAGAAAGAGAGAGACGCUUUCAGCUUUCCACUUCCGAAGCGUAUCUAUUUAUCCCGAUUCCGUGGCUCCUUGCCCUCCGACACCACCCUGGCGUUAGCUAGGCGUCACUUGGGCUGGUCCCAAUGUCUGUCAAUUUUAGGCCGACCUGUGGACUGGCUUGGACUGAGUGCCAGUCGAUUCCACAGGCUGGAGUGGAUUGGCUGAGUCUCAACCUGUUUUUUCCACUGGGUGCCGGCCUAUCCCACCCCCAGUGGAAAUGCUCUAAGAAUAUGAAUGUAAACAAAAAGCAUCUGCAAUGCUAAUAUUUCAUCAAUAAAAAUGAAUUAUAGUAUCUACUUUGACUAACGAUAAAAUUGAAUAUCACAAAAAUAUAUUAAAUUGAAAUAUAACUAAAUAAGAAAAAGUAUAUGAAAAUACACAUAUAUAUUAUAUUAUGUAUGAAUUAACUAACUGUAACAACGAUGACACUAAUUUUUAGGCCUUUGACAAAGUAAGAUAACACGAACACAUGUCUAGUACUAUAAUCUCGUAAGGUGUAUAUUCAUGUAUAUAAUAAAUAAUAUAUAUAUAUAAGUAAUGUAUGUAGAUUUCACUUGUACCUACUUAAGGCAAAAGAAAUAAUAUACAUAUAUACACAGUAGUACUGUUAAGUUUCAUAAACAAUAUAAUAAGUUUCAUAAACAUUGUAGUAUCAUUAAGUUUCAUAAAUGGUGUGAUACCGUUAAGUUUCAUAAAUAGUGUAGUAAGUUUCAUAAACAGUUUUUCUGAUGACGCACUGGUCAUUACGUCAAUUUUUUUUAAAAUUUUUAAUAUUAAAAUUAUGUCUUUUUCAUUAAAAUUUAAGUCUUUUUCAUUAGGCUAGUUAAACGAGCCCCAGAAAAUAUAAAUUUAAUUAGAGCUUUGCAUAGUCUUGAAAAUCAUGUAGUAUAUUACACAGGAAAAUUAGAAAAAAAAAAUGAAAUCAAAAUAUAAAAUAUAGCACUUAAAUCCUACUACAAAGUUUUUUUCGUGUUCAGCAAAAUAUGAAUGGUUGUGCAUGUAUGUUUCUUUCCUUUCUUCAUAAGAAUAUGAAUGUAAACAAAAAGCAUCCACAAUGCUAAUAUUUCAUCAAUAAAAAUGAAUUAUAGUAUCUACUUUGACUAACGACAAAAUUGAAUAUCACAAAAAUAUAUUAAAUUGUCUGUAAGUUUGUUUUCCUUUUCUUUUCUUCUACCUUGACGAGCAGUAGCCUCAAAUUUAGAUCGUGGGUGGAUUUUCUCAAUUAAGAUGCAGUUGGGGAUCAAGAUUAUUUUACCUAUGUUUCUGAAAUUGAUUUUUUUUUUCUUUUUCUUUUCGUUCCAUUAUAGUUGGAGAAGAUUGGCUUUUCUUUUCCUCGUGUCCUUAUGAAGCAAGGAAAGAAACUAGGAAGAAGACUGCAACGGCAGAGAGAAGGAAAAAUAGAAGAAAGGAGAGGAAAAAAAUAUGAACGGUUAGAUUAAUCUCAUGGUGUAUAUUAUUAGUAAAAAAGAUAAUUAUGAAAAUUUUAAAAUAGAAGAAUGAUAAGAUAUUAUAUUUUAAAAACUUACUAUGUGUCGUGUUUAACUGGAUUCUAGUGUCACUUAACAAAAUCCAAUGGCAACUGAACUCCACACAACUUUUAUCUCACAACGAAGAGGAUGUACGUUUGGUUCACCCUAGUUUUUAUUAACAUCUCACUAAAAAGAUUUAGUUUUAACUUUUUCUAAAGAACACCACUUUUAUUACCAAAUUACCCAUAAACAUCACAUUCGGUUCACCCCAAUGAAAAGAUGCUUUGUUUUUAAAGCUCAAGACAAAUUAAAUAAUACGUCCAUCAUUUUUUAAAAUAAUAAAAUAUGUAUGAAAAUAUUAUUAAGUCAAAAUUGAAACUAAAAACUGCAGGUCACGGGUUCGAAACUCAUUGAUGGUGUGGAAGCCAGACUUGUGGUCAGGAAGAGGUUGAAAUGUAUCUGUGAAUCCUCCCAACGCCCGAAAGGGAUGAAUAACCAUGACUUGACACCAGUAGUCCCUCUUUAAAAAAAAAACGAAACUUGAAAAAUGAUUAUAUAGGGUACUCAGUAUUCUAGUGAGUAAAAAGUAUUAUCCUAAAUUUUUUGCCAACUGAGAAAAUGGUGGACUUUCAUGGAGUAAAUUAACAAGUUUGACCUCUUUCUUGGUGAGUAUUUGCUGCUUUGCCAUUUGUUGCAGGGUCUAUGGAAGUAGUAUGCUAGAGAUUUUCCCAUGUAUCAUAAACGCAUUUCGAUACAUCAAGUGUAAUAAUACAAUUGAUUGUAAAUUUAAAAAAAAAAAAUUCAACUAAUUAUAUUAUAAUACUUGAUGUACUGAGCUAUAUUUUCAGCAUACUGAAAAAUUUCUUAUGGUAGGCAUACGUUGUCUCUUUCCCUGCAUUGCACACCAUUGUACACCUCACGGGUCCAUGUGUCAAUGGAUGCAUGGUGUAAAUAAUGUCUCGCUCGUUGGUUAACUUUUCUCCUCUACAAGUUUACGGACAUCACCAUCUUCCAAUAUCAAACCCGAGAACGAUGAUGCUCACAGUUUGAUGAAAUAUAGAUUAUGAGUUUGGAUAUUGGCUUUGCAAUUUUUUCCAUUAAUCUAGUUAUUCGUUCAGUCUACAAUUCGGUUAGACUUGCCAAGAUUCUUUGCAUAAUUUUUUUAAAUUACAUAAAACUACCUCAACUAUUGGGUCAUUAACAGUUUCAUACCUCGUCUUUGAAAAGUUUCAAUGUCAUACCUUAUCUUUGAAUUUGUUGCAAUGUCAUAUCUUCCGUCAGUUGUCUGUCAAUUCCUCUGUUAAAUGCUGACGUGGUUUGAGACAGGGCCUACUUUCUAUUAAAAAAAUUAAUAAAAUAUUAUUAAAAACAAACAAAAAAAUCAUUUAAUAUUUUUAAAUAUUAAAAUAUUAAUUAAUUAAAAAGUUAAAAAUAAUUAAAAAAUAUUAAAAAUAUUUUAAUAGUUAAAAAUAUUAAAAAUAUUAAUUAAUAUUUUAAUAUUUAAAAAUAUUAAAUGAUUUUUUUUUAGUUUUUAAUAGAAAGUGGGCUCGUCUCAAGCCACGUCAACAUUUAACAAAGGAAUUGACAGACAAUUGAUGGAAGGUAUGACAUUGCAACAAAUUCGAAGAUAAGGUAUGAUAUUGAAACUUUUUAAAGACGAGAUAUAAAACUGUUAAUGACCCCAAUAGUUGAGGUAGUUUUAUGUAAUUAACCAUUUUUUAAUUUAAUUGGAUCCCUCAGUAAAAAGAAGGCUUCGAACUUAAAAAGUUUUGUGAGUUUUUGAACAUUGAAGAUAAUAAAGUCCAUGGUUUUGUACUAGUUGCUUGUUUAGUCUUUUUGAAUGAAUGGAAACUGUUGGCUGUGAGAUCUAAGGUUCUAGGUCUAACAGUUAAAAACACCAGGAAAUGUGUCGGAUUCAACUUUAAAAUUCGGAGAUUUUGGACCUUGAAGCUUUUCUUAGGGAAUAAAAUAAAUAUCAGAAUCCUUCUUUUCCUAUUUAAACACUAAUUGUUUUAUUGUGAUUUUGUAUGUUUUCUUCGACGCCUGCUAUUCUUAAAUUAAGAUAGUGUUUAUUUUUAGGAAGUGAAGAUGAAUUUUAGAGACAGAAAAACAAAAUCAGUAACAUAUAAACCUAAAAUUGCAAAUUAAUCCAAAAAUAAAAAAUAAUUAGAUAAAAAGUUAUAGCCAUAUACAUUUCUAUAUAAUUUUUUAAAAAAGUAAAAAAUUAUGUAAUAUGAAUUUGUCUGUCAGAACAUUAUAAUUGAUACUAUUAGUCAAGACUCAAAAGUUGGAUCUUAAUUCGUUGGCUGAUAUGCAACUAUGAAUUUUUUCAGUGCUAGCAAUCUACGAAGACCGAGAGAAAGCAAAGUCUUUUACAUACAUACAAAAUAUUAAAGUCCCAAUUAAGACAUUAUGCUGGCAAAUAUAUAGAUAGAGAGAAAGCAAGUUGUUUACAUACAUACAAAAUUAUCUCAGUUGUUCCGAUUAAGACGUUACUAGCAAAUAUAUAGACCGAGAGAAAACAAGUCAAAAUUACCUCAGUCGUUCUAAUUAAGACGUUACUAGCAAAUAUAUAGACUGUGAGAAAGCAAGUUGUCUACAUACAUAGAAAAGUAUGUCAAUCCCAAUUAAGACGUUACCAUUAAAUAUAUUAACGGAGAGAAGUCGAGUUGUUUAACUACAAACAAAAGUAUCUUAGUUCCAAUUAAGAUGUUACUGGCAAAUACAUGGACUAAGAGAAAACAAGUUUAUAUACAUACAAAAGUACUUUAGUCAUCCCAAUUAAGACGUUAGUAGCAAAUAUAUGGACCGAGAGAAAGCAAGUUGUUUACAUAUAUACAAAAUUAUAUUAGUCCCAAUCAAGGCUCAAGAAAUUUCAUAACAACUGGCUAUAUAGAUAAGAAAAUUAUGUAGUACACUACUGAUAAUUACUUAUUUCAAUGUACCUUUCCAUGUUUUUGUUAAAGAAAGAAAAAAGUGACACUUAAUUUUAAAACAAUAGAAUAUUAUAUUGGCAUUCUAAAAUUUCAUUUUGCACUCUAAAUUUUUUAUAAUAUUACUUAAUUAGAAAGAAAAAUACAAUUGUAAAAAAUGUAAAAUGAGAUCUUAUGAGUGGUCAUCAGGACAGGACAUCUAACAUUUUUGGAGUGAUAGCAUGAGUCAUGACUUGGAUGAGUGGUGAUGUAAUUAAAUGAUGUGAACCAUUUGGCGUUUGCAUGCAUGAUGAUGAUCUUGGCGUUCUGAAGCGAAGAAAUCGUCGAUAUUAACAGCAACUGCAAGUUGCUGCAGAUCAGGACAUAUGUUAUCUACAUCCCCAAGUGAAUGAGAAAAUUCAACAACGGCAAGUUGCUGAUGAGGAAAGCGUAUGCAGAGACUUGGUCCAAAUGUAAAGUUGGGUGUGAGAAUGUGAGGACAAAAAGAGACUAAAUUGUGUAAUAGCUUAUAAGAGAUUAGAGCACUUCUUAUAUUGUCAAUUGAUUUUACAAAAAUACUACUCUUACCACAUAUUUGUACCAUUA